UCCUAUCUCCACUGAUCUGCAGUAUCCUCCCUUCCUCAACCUCCACCUUUACUUCCUCUUUCUUUACCCCAGGAAGAUCGGCCUUGAAGACGUGGGCCUCCGGGGUCUCCUUCCAAUCAAUGCGUGUGUUCGCAAACGACGCCGUUUCUCCGGGAACCGAUAGAGCCCCGCCGGUGAAUGGGAAGUCUUGGAACGGAUCCCACAUGUCGAACAUGUUGUUCCGUCGACCGCCUAAGAAGUUUGGAAUUAGAGACAUUUUCUGAAAGUUUGUCGCAGGAGAGAGUGAGGGAAUUGGAAUAUUGGCUUUGCGCUAUGAGAAAUCAACACCUGUUGCUAUGGUACUGGUUGAAGAAAGUUCAGACUCAGAUAUUUAUAGGUGCAGAGGAGGGUAAUUGCGUCAAAUUGUGUAGUGGAUUCCAGAUGCUUCAAGAAGAUAGAGAAGUAUCUAAAGAGAGUGGAUAUGAAUGUUGUCGCGAGUACUAAUAUCGGAAUACUCGCGAUAUGGUGUUGCUCGAAAUCUCUGGAAAGACGCGGGACAGCUGCAACAUCCAUCCUUUUGGAUAGCAGUACACAUGGGCCUAAAGUAGUCAGCCCAUAACCAUAUUCCAUAAAUCCAAGCCCAGAUUACAAAUAUCUUAAAAUGCGUCAUAAAAGGGAAGAGUUUUGCUUUGAGGGCUUUUUGUGAAAAUAAUUACAAUGCAAUCCCCUCUUUUCAUGUUGCUCGGCUGAAUACCUUAUUUUAAAAAUAUUCACUUUUACGAAUCAUCAAAUAAUAGCUUAGAGGUUAAUUUAAGGUUUAAGAUCAAAUUUUACUUUUUACUGCUAAAACAAAAUUAUUUUAUAAAAAGUGAUAAAUUAAAAAUAUAAAAAAAUUAUAAAAAUGACUUAAGUGUUAAACUAAUUUGGAGACCGCUUGACAAUGUAAUUAAAAAGUAGUUUUUUGUUUUUAAAAAUAGAAAAUCGUCUUUAAAAAUUCAUAAUAUUGUUUAAUUGAUAUGUUUUAUUGUAUAGUUUUUGAAAAUAAAGUGAAAUAUAAAAUAAUUUUUAAAAAUAAGGAUAUGUGUUUUUUAAAAUAGUUUUGAAAAAUAAUUUUUAAUAAUAGUUUUUGGUGUCUUUAGUAAUAAAAUUAUGAUUGCAAACUAAAUUUCAAAAAAUAGUUUUUUUUUCAAAAAAAAAUAUGUUUGAUUCAAAUGGUAAAAAACAGUUUUAUUAAACAAGUAUUUUUUUUUGUACUUUAUGAGAUCAACUUAAUAUUGUAAAUAUAACUAAUUUUUAGAUAAAAAAAAAUUAUAGAUUUUCAUAAUUUUAAAAUUAAAAAUAUUUUAUCCAUUCUUAAAUAUAAAAAUUGCUUUUUUCUUUUAACUUUUUUUUGGCUAUCCACCCCUCACCCCUAAUUUUCUUUUCAUCUAUACACUUUCUUCUUUCCUCCCUUAAAAUCUCUCUCCCUCUCUCUUCUCAUCACCUAAGUUUCCCCACUCAUCUUCCCAUUUCUCUUCUCAGCGUCUCAAUCUCCCUAUAACACCUCUCUUUUUCUCUCUCUCUUUUUUUUUUUUUCUUUAUCUCCCUCUUUCUAUCUUUCCCAUAUAUUUUCUCAUUUAAAAAUCACCCAUAGUCAUACCUUGCUCCAUAUUCACCUCUGUCGCCCCAUUUAUGUCUAGAUUGUUGAUGAUACCAGGUCAAUUGAGAAUGGAUUCCUCCUUUAGUUAUGGCAGUAAAAGCUUUUGUCCAACUACUGGAGACUGAGCUUUCUUCUUUCCUACAUAAAGGAUAUCUGGAUACACUCUCCGAAGCCUAAGUCAGGUAUUGAAAUGGGUGGGAACCCUUUGAGAGAGAGUAGAUGAGAGAACCCUUGGUGUUGCAUACCUGAGUUCUCUUUCAGUGGGGUUUUUAUAGUGCUAAAGGGGGGAAAACACUGUAGUGUUGAGCCGACACCUUAACCUAAUAUUGUAAUGAUGGUUGUGCAAUAAGUGACAAGGCAAUCAUUGCAAUUGCAAGGUAGCUGGUGGCUAUGUCAGAUGGUGCGUUAUGAUACAGUUUGCUGUCGUUUUAGCCCGUUGACGAUAUGAGACUGGGUGUGAUGGUCCACUAAUGUAGACGUAAGGAUGGGGAGGGUCCCAUGAGUCACUUCAGUGUUAGAUGACCAUCAUAUCACAUACCAGAGAUGAUUUGGGGCUGUCAGGAAGAUGUGGUCUACUUAGUGGGCCCAUAUGGUCCGGAUAGAAUGCUCUGAGGGUGCCUUAAAGGUUGUUCGGGCGGUAAUGAAGGAGGUAACACGUGGUCCAACAAGGGUACUGCCACGUGGCUGGAUGCGUGGGGGUACACAUGGACAGACACGUGGAAAAAGGUCCCUACAAUUACAACAUUGGCAGCAUCUUCCAUGACCACUAUUGUGGCCAAUCUAUUUUCCCCGUUGGACAAAUUUUUUUUUUCUUAAAACCUUUUGCUAGAUAGUCAAAUGGGAUUGAUGAGGUUAAAUGGAUUUGGAGUUUGUUUUAAUUCGUUGUAUGAUGCAUCUUUUAAGGGUUUGUUUUCUGCUGUAUUUUUUGUAUUCUUCAUGUUUUUUUAUUUAUUUAAAAUUAUUUAUUUAUUUUUGUUUUUUUUAUUAUUUUGUUUAGUUAGUAGUAUAAAAACAUAGAAAACAUAAAUUUGAAAACAUAAACAACAAUGCCAAAUGACUUUUCAGUAUUUUUUGUUUUAAAAAUACUUAAUGUAUUAGAUGUGUUAAUUAACAAGUUUAGUAAUUUUUAAAAAUAAUUUGAAACUGAAAUAGUGUUCUAAUAAAUACCAAAAUUUAUGAACAAAUAUUGAUCUACAAUGAAUCUAUUAUUUAUUUAUUUAUUUACAUAUAAUUAUAUUUUUAUAAAUUUUCUCAAUGGAUAAAUGAACUUCAAAUCUAGUGAUAUUUUGUAUUGAAUUAUUAACCGUGUUUAAUGAUUUUUAAAAAUAAUUUAGAACUCAAAAAAUAUAUAGAUCAAUAAAAAAAAAUCAAAAUUGAUAAAUUAGAAGUCAUGACUUUAUUGUUUGUUCUUUACACACAACCAUAUUUUUUGAAUUUUGUUACUAAGUAAAUAGAUUUGAAAUUAAGACAGUUAAGAAUUUAAAUUUUUAAGGACAUAAGAUAAAAUGAAUACAUAGUUUGACACUGACAUAGCAAAAAUCCAAAAGAAAAAUCAUAUAGUAAACAAAAAAACAACCCUCAAUUAUGCUCCCUAUCAAUUAUGCAACUUAUAUACAUCAAAGACAAUUGUUCCUUUAAGAUAUUUGUAAUCUGGGCUUGGAUUUAUGGAACGUGGUCAUGGGCUGACUACUUUAGGCCCAUGUGUACUGCUGUCCAAAGGGAUGAAUCUCAUGAAUUUUGUAACUGUUCCGCGUCUUUCCAGAGAUUUCUAGCAACACAAUAUCGCGAGUAUUCCGAUAUUAGUACUCGCGUCAACAUUUAUAUCCAGUCUCUUUAGAUACUUCUGUAUCUUCUUGAAGCAUCUGGAAUCCACUACACAAUUUGACGAAAUUACCCUCGUCUGCACCUAUAAAUAUCUGAAUCUGAACUUUCUUCACCCAGUACCAUAGCAACAGGUGUUGAUUUCUCAUAACGCAAAUCCAAUAUUCCAAUUCCGUCACUCUCUCUUUGCGACAAACUUUCAGAUAAUGUCUGUGAUUCCAAGCUUCUUCAGCGGUCGACGGAACAACAUGUUCGACUUGUGAGAUCCGUUCCAAGACUUCCCAUUCACCAGCGGUGCUCUAUCGGUUCCCGGAGAAACGGCGUCGUUCGCGAACACUCGCAUUGAUUGGAAGGAGACCCCGGAGGCCCACGUCUUCAAGGCCGAUCUUCCUGGGGUAAAGAAAGAGGAAGUAAAGGUGGAGGUUGAGGAAGGGAGGAUUUUGCAGAUCAGUGGAGAUAGGAGUGUUGAGAAGGAGGAGAAGAAUGACAAGUGGCACCGAGUGGAGCGCAGCAGCGGCCAGUUCAUGAGGCGGUUCAGGUUGCCGGAGAAUGUGAAGGUGGAGGAGGUGAAGGCUGCCAUGGAGAAUGGUGUUCUUACUGUUACUGUUCCCAAGGCAGAGGUCAAGAAACCCGAUGUCAAGGCUAUCGAUAUUUCUGGUUGAGAAUUACGUACAUGAACUUAUAUGAUUAAAGCUUAAUUUUGUCCGUGUCUUAAAAUGCAUCAUAAAAGGAAGAGUAUGCUUUGAGGGCUUUUUGUAGAAAAUAAUUAACAAUGCAGUCCCAACUUUUCAUGUUGCUCGGCUGUACUCAUUUUAAAAAUAAUUACUUUUAGUACCUUCAAAUAAAAACUUAAGAGGUUAAUUUAAGGUUUAAGAUAAAAUUUUACUUUUUGCUGCUAAAACAAAAUUAUUUUAUAAAAAGUGAUAAAUAAAAAAUAUAAAAAAUUAUAAAAUGUUGAACUAAUUUGGAGCUCAUUUGACUGUGUGAUUAAAAAUUAUUUUUUUAUUUUUAAAAAUAGAAAAUCAUCUUUAAAAAUUCAUCAUAUUGUUUAAUUGUUAUGUUCUAUUUUAUGGUUUUUAAAAACAAAGUGAAAUAGAAUAUAAUUUUCAAAGAAUAAAGGCUUGUGUUUUUUAAAAUAGUUUUUGUUGUUUUUAGUAAUAAAAUUGAGGAGUUUGUUUCAAUUUGUUUCAUGAUGCAUUUCUUGAGGGUUGUUCUUUGUGUGUAUUUUUUGUGUUCUCCAUAUUGCUUUUGAUGAUUUUUUUUGUUUAAUUAAUAGUAUAAAAAACAUAGAAAACAACUUUAGAUUGUUCUUAACAUGAGAAUAUAGAGAAUAACAUUGAAAACAUGAAGAACAAUGCCAAAUGCCUUUUUCAGUGUUUUUUGUUUUAUAAAAUAGAAAACAAUUUUUGGAAGCACUUUCAAAACAUCCCCUAAGUAUGAGUUAUUUUCAAAAAAAUUUAAAAUAAAAUAAAAAUAUAGAGAAAUAAAAAAAAAAACAAAUAAAAUUGAUUAUCAUUUUUUUCUCCUCUCCACGAUCCAAUACCAAUAUGAAAAAAAAAAAUCUUCAAAUAUGAUAUUAUUUUGAAUUAGUUGUAUUUAAUUUUUUUUUAACUUCUCUAAAAAUUUUCAUUAAGCAAAUAAGUUUUAAAUCAAACCAUACUUGAUACAUAAAAUUUAUUAAUUUUUAAAAAUAAUUUAAAACUCAAAAAUCGAUUUAAUUAAUACUCCAAAGUCAUGAAACUCAAUAACAUUAGAAAGUCAUGGACUAAAACUCAAUUUGAAUGAAUUAAUUAGCUAGUUUCUGCUUUGCAUGUAAUCAUAUUUUGCAAAAUUUCACUAGGAAAAUAAACUUCAAAUAAAGCAACAUUUAAUAUAUUGGAUUCGUUAAUAAGUUUAAUAAUUUUUAAAGAUAACUUGAUACUCAAAUAGUGAACCAAUUAAAACUAGAAAUUUAUAGAUAAAAAUUGAUUUAUAAUGAUUUGAUUGUUUCUCUUCUCCCUAAAAUAAUUUUUAUUUUUAUUUUUUAUUAAACAAAUAAACUCCAAAUAAAAUAAGACUUAAUGCAUUAAAUGUAUUAAUUAACAAGUUAAGUAAUUUUAAAAAUAAUUUGAAACUUAAAUGGUAUUCCAAUAAAUACCAUAUUUUAUUAUUUUUGAGUUUUUCUUAAUAUUUUUAUGAUUUUUUUUAAUCAAUUUUUAUUCACUGAUAUUUUUUGUUAAAAUAUCUAUGAUAUUUCUCCGUUAUAUCCGAUAUAUUGGUAAAAUCUAAAUACCGAUAUAUUCAUAAUUAUCAAUAUUUUUCAUAAUUGAUAUUAAUAUCUAUAUUUCACUAAAAAAUAUUUAUUUUUUAAUUUACUUGUAAUUACACAAAUAUUUUCAUUUUUUUUAUAAGAAUUGAAUUGAAUUAAAUUAAUAUUAUAUAAAUUGAAUUCAUAAUAUUUUAUAAAACAACUUAUCCAAGAUUGUUAUUUUUUAUUUUUUAAAAUAUGUUUUUAAAAACAACUAACCAAACACACUUAAAUUUAUAAAAUACUAAAAAACUGUUUUUGUUCUUUAACUUAAAAACAAAUUUUAAAAACAAAUAUAAUAAUAAAAAAUGAUGAAAUAGACCCUUAUUUUUUUAUUUUUUUAUUUUGACACGCUUCUUCUUCUGUGUUUUUGAAAAAAAAAUUGAUAGUCACUUCUAUCUAAAAUGAAAAGAACUCUUUGGGUCUUAUUUUAGAAAGAUAAUAACUUCUAAAAAUUAUUUCAAAUAAUAGAGAUAUUAAGGUAAGUUUAUAUAUAUACUUUUUAUAUUAAAGGUACUAUAUUUUAUAUAAAAGUUAUCAUUAUUUUUUAUUUUUAAAAAUGUAGAGUGAGAAAUAUAUCUGAAUACUUACAAUAAUUUGAAUAUAUUUCUUAUUUUUUUAUUUUUAUAAAUAAAAAUAAUAAUAACUUCUAUAUAAAAUAGGAGAAGUUUGAAAAAUUACAAAUUAGCAAGUAUAAGAGGAUUAAUAUUACAUCCAUCCCCAUUGACAAAUGAAUGAUUUACCCAUUCACUAGGGUUUCUUUUUAAUAGAAUAUAUAACCAGUCAUGAAAAAAAUCACCGGUUUUGCUCGGUGGGCUGGGAAUGCCGAUCUUAUCGAUUUAUCUAGAAAAUUAUAAUGAUUUUAAAAUUGAUUAUAAAGAGUUUUAGUAUCCCAAAUUUUAGAAUUAUUGAAAAAGGGUUUUAAGUACAGAAGAUAAGGAAUGCAUAGCUUGACACUGACAUAGCCGAAAUCCAAACGAAAAACCAUACAGUAAACAAAAAACAACCCUCAAAACUCACGGCCACUCCGGCUGUCUCAUCAUUCUUGUAAAAAUUUAAGUGCAUGUACGUAAUUCUCAACCAGAAAUAUCGAUAGCCUUGACAUCGGGUUUCUUGACCUCUGCCUUGGGAACAGUAACAGUAAGAACACCAUUCUCCAUGGCAGCCUUCACCUCCUCCACCUUCACAUUCUCCGGCAACCUGAACCGCCUCAUGAACUGGCCGCUGCUGCGCUCCACUCGGUGCCACUUGUCAUUCUUCUCCUCCUUCUCAACACUCCUAUCUCCACUGAUCUGCAAAAUCCUCCCUUCCUCAACCUCCACCUUUACUUCCUCUUUCUUUACCCCAGGAAGAUCGGCCUUGAAGACGUGGGCCUCCGGUGUCUCCUUCCAAUCAAUGCGAGUGUUCGCGAACGACGCCGUUUCUCCGGGAACCGAUAGAGCACCGCCGAUGAAUGGGAAGUCCUGGAAUGGAUCCCACAGGUCGAACAUGUUGUUCCGUCGACCGCCGAAGAAGCUUGGAAUUAAAGACAUUUUCUGAAAGCUUGUCGCAGGAGAGAGUGACGGAACUGGAAUAUUGAAUUGGUUAUGAGAAGUCAACACCUUUUGCUAUGGUACUGGUCGAAGAAAGUUCACUUGGAUAUUUUAUAGGGGGGACGAGGGUAAUUUCGUCAAAUUAUGUAGUAGAUUUCAGAUGCUUCAAGAAGAUAGAGAAGUAUCUAGAGAGACCGGUUAUAACGCAAUGAUGCGCGAGUACAAAUAUCGGAAUACUCGCGACAUGGUGUUGCUCGAAAUCUCUGGAAAACGCGGGACAACUGCAAAAUCCAUCCUUUCGGAUAGCAGUACACAUGGGCCUAAAGUGGUUAGCCCAUAUCCAUAUUCCGUAAAUCCAAGCCCAGGUUAUAAAUAUCUUAAAAUGCAUGGUAAAAGGGAAGUGUAUGCUUUGAGGACUUUAUGUGAAAAUAAUUAACAAUGCAGGCCCCGCUUUCAUGUUCCACCUUAUUUAAAAAGAUAGCCUUACAUGAUCCACCAUAAUUCAUGUUUAGUAUACAUCACAUAUAUUAACAUAUUUUAAGGCAUUUAUCAUGAGAAAUCCAUCAUGAGAGUGAUAACAAAUCGUUCCUCUAAUUAGAAGGUAAUGCACUACAACUUUUAUUGUAUUGUCCAAAUUUAUGAACUAAUUGUGAAUAACUUAUUUAUUUACAAAAAAACCUAUGACUUAUAUCAUUUGUGUAAUUUCAAAUGUAUCCAAAUCAUGUACAAUGUAAAAAAUAUGAGUUGAAUGCUUAAAUUAAUGUCGACGUAUAGAAAUAAUAACAAAAUAACAAUCAAGUUCAACUUUAUUAUAUCAUGUCUUGCUUUCUUAAUCCCAACAUAGGCAAUAAUAACAAUUUAUCACAUGUCUCAUUGAAAAACACAGUUAUGAAAUUCCAAUUAAAGAUCUUGACCCUUUACAUUAUUUUCUUGGUGUGGAGAUUAAAUAUUUAGAUAGAAGAACAUUUCUUUCUCAACAAAGAUAUAUGCAUGAUCUACUUUCAAGAACUAAAAUGCUUGACAAUAAUCCCAUUCCCAUACCUCAAGUUCUUGCAAACAAGCCUUUUCUUUUAGACAAUGUCUUAACCGAUGCUAUUGCUUUCCAAAGUAUUGUCAGAAUCCUUUAAUACUUGACUUUCAUGUGGUUGGAUAUUAUUCAUACCGUUAAUUGGGUAUGUCAAUAUUUUUAUAACCUUGUUAUGACUCACUUGAAGGUUGUAAAGUGCAUCUUAAGAUACCUUAAGGGAACCCAAUACUUUGGUUUAUAUCAUCUUUCCAUCAGUUCAAUAUCUUUUUAUGGGUUUAGUGAUGUUGAUUAGGUAGGUCGUCCCAUUAUAAGAAGGAGCACCAUUGGUUAUUGUGUAUUUAUUAGAGCAAGUUACAUCUUUUGGUGUUCAAAGAAACAACCAAAGGUUGCUAGCUUGAGCAUCGAGGCAUAAAAAUGCUCUAUGACCUUUUUCACUACGGAGUUAACUUGAAUUACUUAUUUGCUAUGAGAUAUUAGUGUCCAUCUCUAAACCACCACAAUUAUUUUGCAACAAUGUUAGUCUCUUUACUUGUCCAUUAACUUUAUGUUUCAUGUUUGUUUUAAAUAUAUUGAGUUUAAUAAUCAUUUUGUACGAGAUGAAGUUGUUAUAAGCAUUCUUGUCACUUGUUAUGUUUCCACGCAUUCUUAAUUUGCAGAUAUUAUUACCAAAUCUUUAUCACAUGAUAUCUUUACUAUGUUUUGCGACAAGCGAGACAUCCAUAUUCAUUCCCACUCUAACUUGAGGGGGCAUGUUAAAGGAGAUAUACCACAUAAAGGGUAAGAACACACACAAAAGGUAAGAGCCCUCUCAUUAAUAUUUUCAUAAAUAUAGAGAAAUCAAAUAUUGGUAAUAUUUGAUUUUUACAAUACUUGAUUCUCCUAAUUUUAGGAUAUUUUCCUUAAUGUAUUUUUGUUAGGAAUAUGUUUUAUUUCUUUCAUUGUAUACUCAUCUAUAUUUUUGCAUAAAGUUCCGACGGAAGUAAUAGAAAUUAUAACUUCCAUUAACAAAAUACACCAAGCUUUACAUUCUAAUGAUUGGAAGUGUAUUUAUUUAAUGUAAUUUAAAUUUUUUAUUUUUUUAAAUAGGUAUUUAACAAUUUUUUUUAAAAUCAAUAUAAAAAAUUUGAAAUUUUACUUGAAAUGAUUUCGAUAAUUACUUGAUAAGUGACUAUUGAUAUCUCUAUAAAAAAAUAAUAUCAUAAUAUUUUUAAUUUUAUAUUAAAUACUAAGGAUUCAUCUUAAUACAUUUCUUUAUUUAUGUAAAAUUUGCUUUUUUUUUUCUUUUUUUAUAAUUAAAUCUUUCAUAUAUCUAUAUAACAUUAAUAGUUAUUGUAAGAGUAAUUUUAUAUGAGUAAGGAUGAUAAUGAGAUAAGUUUUUUCGGGUACCUGUCUGACCCCUAUCCUAAUGGGGCAAUUACAAAAUUUAAAUAAACUGGUUUGAGAUUUUUUUAAAAUACUCGGGAUGGGUUUAGGGUGGAUUGAGUGUUACCUUGUCCUGCCUUGCCCUCUCCGAUUAUAUAUAAAAUUAAUUUAAUUUAAUUUUUAUUUUCCUAUUUUUAAUAAUAAUAAUAAUAAUUUCAAUAAAAUAAGUUAUAAAAAUUAUAAUGUUUUAUUUAUUUAUAAAAUAAAUUAAUUUUUAAUGUAAUUAAAAAAUGUAAAAAUAAUUUUUUUUAAAAUUUAUUAUUAUUUAAAAAAAAAAAAAAAGUUAAACUCCCUACCGUCUCACCCUAUUUAAAUUUUUAAAUGCAAAGGGGAUGAAAAUUAUUUUAAAUAAAUGAGGUGAGGUUGGGAUGGGGUGACCUGUCUUGAACUCACCCCAUUGACAUCCUUAAUGAGAGGUUAUUGAAAAUAGAUGAUUUUAGAAUUCAUUUCUUUGAAUUUCUUUUCUUGGUUUUUAUUUUUAUUUUUUAUCUUUCUUUUACAAUAUUGUAGAUCCCCUCUCUUCACCUCUUGGAUAUUUUUAUAAUUUGAAACAAGAGGGCAUGAUGACAGCCUGGGAGAGUGAAAAAAACUUCCUAUUUUUUUAAGGGAGGGGAGAGGGGGGGAGGGGGACCUUCUUAUGCAGAAAGGAACAGCACAGGACGUGUGGCAAGAGGGAAUGGCUGCCCAUGAAAGUGGUUGCAAGGCCAUGCUUGUUGAGGGGGAAACAGGGGAGUGGGUAUAGCGGAGACAGGGGGUUUUCAGAAGGGCAAGGGGCCGGGCUGCAGGAGGAGGUUGAGAGCUUCAGGGGGCUUUCCUGGAGGCGAAACACCCAGAAAGAGGGCAAAGAGCUCCGGAAGGGGAAAUGGGAGGUAUGGUUACCAUGGAUCCUUGGGUUUACUUUGUCGGUAUAUAGUCUCGUUAUUUUCCUCUUAAUCGUUUAUGUGGAUUAUCUGAUUAUAUGAUUAGUUUCCUAGUUCAUGCUUGAGUUAUUGGUUCAAUAUUGGAUGUUUUGAGAGCAAUGCAGCUCUGUUUUAGCUUCAUCAUCUAUUAUGCAGGAGUCUUGCUCUGUUUUCAUUUUCAUGAGACGCCCUCAGGUUCGCCCGCACAUAGUUGAAUCCAUUGAUCAAAACGUGAAGCAUGAUUUGGGUUGCUUUAUUUUGCUUUGACAAUUUAUGCUCUGUCUUGGUGUUUAGACUUUCCUCUGUUCUUGAGGUCUUACCUUGUCACAUAUCAGUGCACAACUUGCCACCAUACUUCGCCUCUCGACACCCAUUUUCUUUACCAUGCUCAUCAUCCACCCCUGGUACCCACACAGUCACCACUCCAGUAUAUCCAACGCCAUGCACUAUUCGUCAAGCCUCAUGCACGUUGAAUCCAUCUUUCUUCGCACCCAUCACCCUUCAAAUCGCCAUUUUCCAUCACUCAUACCCAUCCCCCUCAUUGCCCACGGUUGCACUUAACACUCAAACCUACAAACCCAUUUAUCACUCCCCUCCACGUACCAUCCAUGCACACGGCCAUCUUCACCCCCCCUAUUUCCGUCGACAUUUUUUUUUUGUUUGUUUCUCUCUUUCCUUUUCCUGGGCUUCUUCUCCGGCGAUGCAAGGUGCGCGGUGUCUCCGGAGGUUAAUGCAAGAUGGCGUCCACCUGGAGCUUCCCGUCACCACCACCUCUCCGCUGGCUGUCGGCGCCAUUGAGUCAGCCAAGAUGAGGAUCCUGUGCCUCGUCUCCGAGAACCCCUGUCAUCAUCUUCAGCCGCCGCCCCCCCCUCCCCCCUCCUCUUUGCUGCGUGCGCCGCGUCAAUGAAGCGCUUGCUCUCCUCACCUUCGACGUCACCAGCUCUCAUGGCCAUCUCCUCUCUCAACCAUUCGUCAUCGUUCCCGCAGUCUUCACCGGUGGCGCGCGCUUCAAGGCCCUGGAGGGCCUCGUGGCCUUCCCCACUCAGCGGCCACCUCGCCUUUCGUCAGGCUGGCGGUAGGAAGCUUCGUCUGAGGGUGAUGCCCAGGUGGAGAAGUGGGCUGUGAUGGAGUUUGGAGCCUUGGGCUUGCCCAUGGUGACGGAUAUGGGCUUGAGUUGGAGCCCAGCCCAAGCAUGUUGAUGGAGGGCCUCAUGCUCUCCAUGCCAGCCACCCUCAUGGCCCAUGUCCAUAUUGAGUUAGCCCAUUUGGCUGCUUCAAUUCUAAAUAAAUCUUUAAGCCUCUAAUCUUCGUAAUUUAUUAAUUAAUUAAUUUAUUUAUUCAUUUUUAUUUUUAUCUUAUUUCAUUUUUACCUACUUUUUUAACUUAAAAUAAUUUAUAUUUCACCUUCCCUUCUUUAGUUAUGUCUAAUCAUCAUAUAUGAAAAUUUUUAUAUAAUUAAUUUAUAUUGGUCUCAAUGAAUUUACUACAUUCCAAAUUUUAAAUCCCAUUUUCAAAACUUAUGUCUUUAAGCCAUUUAUCUUCGCUUAAAUAUUAUGUUUGUUAAUUAGUAUUAUUAUUCCUUAUUUAUUUAAAAAUCUCAACUACUCAAGUUCAAUUUUUCAAAAUCCGACUUUCAAAUUUAGCUUUCAACCCCAGAAAUUUCACUAUUCACUUUUAUUCAUUUAAAUAUUACGUUUGUUAAUUAGUAUUAUUUAUUCAUUUCAAAAAUUUCAACCAUUAGAGUCUAAUCCUUCAAAAGUACGACUCCCGAAUUUAAUUUUCGAUCUCAAAAUUCCCACUAUUCGCUUUCGUUCGCUUAAAUGUUAUGUUUGUGAAUUACUAUUAUUAUUCCAUAUUUAUUUAAAAAUUUUCAAUCAUUCAAGUUCAAUUCCUCAUAAUCCGACUUCCAAAUUUAGCUUUCAACCCCAAAAAUUCCACUAUUCACACUAUUUGCUUUUGUUCGCUUAAAUAUUAUGUUUGUUAAUUAGUAUUAUUAUUCCCUAUUUAUUUAAAAAUCUCAAUCACUCAAGUUUAAUUCUUCAAAAUCCGCCUUCCAAAUUUGACUUCCAACCUUAGAAAUUCCACUAUUCACUUUUAUUCAUUUAAAUGUUAUGUUUGUUAAAUGUUAUAAUUAGCUUCCAACCCCAAAAGAAUUUUUCAAUCAUUAAAGUUCAAUUAUUUAAAAAUCUGACUUCCAAAUUAAAAUUUCCAAUCUCUAAAAUUCUAUUUUUCGCAAUCAUUUACCUAAUAUUUAUUAUCUCGUUAUCGCUAUUAUUCCUUUCAUUUACUUAUUCACUUAUCUACUUAUUUAAAAUCUCUAAAUUCCAUUUCCAAUUUCCAAAAUUCUCAUCUUCGUAAUAAUUUAUCCAAACAUUAUUAUUUUCGUUAUUUUAUCCAUUUAUUUAUUCGCUCGUUCAUUUAUUUGAAAUUCCAUCCCUAAGUAAUUAAUUAAAUUUCCAAUCCCUAAGUUCAAUUUCCAAUUUUCGAGAUCCUAACUAUCACGAUUAUUUAUUCAAUCAUUAUUAUUUCGUCAUCAUUAUUCCAUUCAUUUAUUCAUUCACUUAUUCAUUUAUUUAAAAUUCCGACUUUAAAUUAUUCUUCAAAAUUCCGAUUUCCAAAUUUAGUUCCCUGAAAUUCCAAUUUUCUAAUUUCGAACUUAAUUUUCAAUUUCCAAUACUCCAAUUUUCGCAUUUAUUCCGUUACUUAUUUAUUAUCAUCAUCAUUAUUAUCAUUUGAUUAAUUUAUUUCUAAAAAUUAUGCCUUCAAAUGAUUUCCAAGAUUUUCCAUUUUUUAUAAUUCAAUUCCCAUAAUUUCUGCUCCUCAAAUAAUUUUCAAUUCUGAUUUCUUUUAAAAUUUAAUUUCCAAAGUCCCAAUUUUUGUAAUUUAAAUUUUUUUAAAAAUCCUGAACUCUCAAAUAAUUUUCAAAAAUUCCCACCUCUUUCAAAUUUAAUUUCUAAAAUUCUCAUUCUUACAUUUAAUUUCUAAAAGUCUGAUUUUCAAAUGAUACCUAAAACUCCAAUUUUCAAAUAAUCUCUAAGAUUCCAAUUUUCCAAUAAAUUUCAAAAAUCCAGUUUUUCCUCGAACUGUUUUAAUUUUUGUUUGGUGAUGCAUGUAAUGUGUUUUGUGCUCUUUAUUGUACACUGACCCCAUUUUUUUGAUAGCACAUUGCUCAUUCAUAGCCCAGGUACGCAUCCACUCCCAUUCUGGUCAUUCUCUAUGCAUGCUUUGAUUCCUAUAUGUGCAUGAUCGAUUUGAAUAUCUAUUGACUUUUUUAUUGAUUGCCGCGUCAGCUCCAUUUUAUUAGUAGAUACCCAACUUUAAGGACUUAGAGAGGUGUACGGUCUUUACCAUACAUUCUCGAUAAGUAACCUAACCUUUGAGCCCGAUCUGGUUUUUCACAGACUAUUUUUUCCAAAAUAAGGAGUCACGCUUAGGGUUUUCUUUUUUAUUUUGUUUACCUUUUUAAAAAUAAAACAAAAGUAAGUGGUGACUCCAAGUCAUUUCUUUUUUAAUAAAUAAAAAUCAUUUUCAAAUAAAAAUCGAGCUUGCCAUCGAGUGGAAAACGCAUGAGCUGAAAUGCAGGGUCCACAAAUAUAUUAUCAAUAUAUUGCAUUUUACCUUAAUUUUUUAAAUUCUAUUUAAAUUAUGUUAUAGCUUUGAUAUAGCUAGAAACUAUAAAGUAAAUAAGUAAUUCUAAAAUACUUAUGUAGCCAUAAGUUAUAUAUCUUUUUAUAACUAGAAGCUAUAAAAAAAAAAAAAGUAAAAUUGUUUUUUAUAGUAAAAAGCUAUUUAAAAAUAUUAUGAUUUCUCAACAAGAAGUUAUAGAAAAAAAUAAUAAUAACAAUAUAUUAUAUGAUUUCUAAUGACCAAAUAUCACGUAGACAAGUUAAUUUCGCAUAAUUUCUUAUAGCUAUAACCUUAGGUUAUGAAAUUUCCUCAUUGUCACAUGGUUUUCAUAGCUUUAAACUAUAAGAAUUUCUCAUCUUUGCAUUUUUACAUUGCUUUUAUAUAUAAUUUAAUUAGAACCCUCUAAAAAAUAAUCUAGAAAUAAAGCAUCAUACUUAAGAAUAUUUAAAUAAUAAAAAAAAUCAAAUAAUUGUUUAGCUUCUAGUUAGGAUAACAAUUUAAGCAUAGCUUCUAGCUAGUAAUAAGUCGUUCUUUUUUUUUUUUUUGAUAUUUGUAAUUUCAAUAUAUAAAUUUAAUUUCUAUAUGCUAUUCGCUUGUUGUAUGAUUUUGUAAUACUACAUUUUUGUAUAUAAAAUUUCACAUUUUUUCAUAAUAUAGAACUAUUAGUUUAAAUAUAUUCAUAAAAUUAUUGUAUCAACUUAUAGUCUGAAAAUAUAUAAAUUUUACAUAUUUUCAUAAACUGAAAUUAUGAAGAAAUUAUGUGAGCUGUUCAUUUAUAAAAAUUAAACUAUUGGAAUUCUUAAUUUACUACUAUUUGUUACAUCUCCCUUUAUUUUUUGGAUACUUUAACAGCAUUUUCUUUCUAUUUGAGAAUAUCUGAUCUUUUAAACCAAAUAUUCACAAAACAAAUUGGAAUUUUCAGGGGCAUGCGGCUUCUUAAAACUUGGGCUGGCCAAUAUCCCUAUUCUAUUGAGAUGCCAAUUUGGGCUGUGUUUGUACUGCCUCAACCCCAAUUGGGCCGAUACAGUUGAGCCCAAUAUGUAGUUUCUGCCUCUUUUAGUUUCCAAUGUCCACAUCCUUUAUUGAAAGACACAAAAUUUUGUAUUGAAACACAUCAGUACUGGCUCUGGUGAUGAGUAAAUGUGGUGCCAUCGUUGAGUAAUAGCUGAAUCCAUAUGUUAUGGGCUUGUUUAGAGAGUGGGCCUCUCGUAUCAUCCAGUGACCAUGGGUUCUUGAAUAAUUCUCAUUCCAGAUUAUAUAUCAAGUUAGAAAAUUGGAUUAGGCCCAAUGGGCUGAUCAAAUAUAUUGCAACCUCAAAACUUAGAUCAGAUUCAAACUUUAAAUAAGCCCAGCUCCAAUCGCUUGUUCAUGCCGACAAUGAGUCAACCAAUAGCAUAGAACCAAACCUUUACAUUUUAUUAUUAAGGAAUAGUUGACUUGUACAUAGUUUGACACUGACAUAGCCAGAAAUUCAAAAGAAAAAGUGAAAAACCAUACAGUAGGGCAAAACCCUCAACACCCUCGGCCGCUCACAUCAUUCAUUUAUAAGUUUAUGUGAAUGUAAUUCUCAACCAGAAAUGUCGAUGGCCUUGACAUCAGGUUUCUGGACCUCAGCCUUGGGAACAGUAACUGUAAGAACACCAUUCUCCAUGGCAGCCUUCACCUCAUCCACCUUCACAUUCUCCGGCAAUCUGAACCGCCGCAUGAACUUGCCGCUACUGCGCUCCACUCGGUGCCACUUGUCAUUCUUCUCCUCCUUCUCAACACUCCUAUCUCCACUGAUCUGCAGAAUCCUCCCUUCCUCAACCUCCACCUUCACUUCCUCUUUCUUUACCCCUGGAAGAUCGGCCUUGAAGACGUGGGCUUCCGGGGUCUCCUUCCAAUCAAUGCGAGUGCUCGCAAACGACGCCGUUUCCCCGGGAACCGAUAGAGCACCGCCGGUGAAUGGGAAGUCUUGGAAUGGAUCCCACAGGUCGAACGUGUUGUUCCGUCGACCGCCGAAGAAGCUUGGAAUUAGAGACAUUUUCUGAAAGUUUGUCGCAAGAGAGAGUGACGGAAUUGGAAUAUUGAAUUGCGUAAUGAGAAAUCAACACCUGUUGCUGUGGUACUGGUUGAAGAAAGUUCAGACUAAGAUAUUUAUAGUGGCAGACGAGGGUAGUUUCGUCAAAUUGUGUAGUGCAUUCCGGAUGCUUCAGGAAGAUAGGGAAGUAUCUAGACAGACCGGAUAUAACGCAUGAUGUCGCGAGUACAAAUAUCGGAAUACUCGCGACAUGGUGUUGCUCGAAAUCUCUGGAAAACGCGGGACAGCUGCAACAAUCAUCUUUCGGUGAUCGUACACAUGGGCCUAAACUAGUCAGCCCAGGUCCAAAUUCCAAAAAUCUAAGCCCAAAUUGUAAAUAUUUUUAAAUAGUCGUUCUAAAAGGAAAAAGUAUGCAUUCAGGUCUUUUUGUGAAAAUAAUUAAUAACGCAAUCCCUAGUUUUCAUGUUGCCCCGCUGGACAACUUAUUUGAAAAAUGAUACCUCUUAUGAACCAUCAAAUAGUUACUUAAGAGGUUAAUUUAAAGUUUAAAAUAAAUCCGCAUUUAAUUUAUAGCGCUUGAAGGUAUAAAAUGAACUUCUGAUUUAGGGCCUGUUUGAAAAACCGUUUUCUAGCCUGGUUGGAAAAAAGUUUCGAACUUAGAAAAUUGGUUUGUAAAAUUUUAACAGGAAUAUAUAGAAGUAAAAAAAAGAACAAAAGAAACUUUACCCUUUCCUGUUCCAUUGCACUUUCUGUUAUCAAAUCACCCACGUUCCGCUGCCCUGAAGUGGUCCAACACUUGGCCACGUCCUUCAUCAUGUAGCUGCUGUUAAGGAGCACGUUUCUCUCAACUGCUCAUCGUGUGGCAAAUCAGAGAAACGUGGCUUUGAUGGGAAGCCACGUUUUCUUUGUAUUUUAAAUAUCGGUCUUGGUCCCGAGCUCCUCUCUCAUGCUGCUGAAAAUCUUCAGAAACUACACCAUCCAUAAGGAGAGAUAGAGUUUUGGAAACCAAAGACUUGCAACCCAACAAUGGCUGGAGGUAAGUAUGGCAUAAGUUACAAAUUAAGAUUGUUUAUAUGCAUUAUGAAUUGCUCACAUUUGGUAUCAGAGCCUUGCAAUCUUGCCUCUGCCUUGGUGUUAGUUGCUUAGAUAAUUGUUUCCUUUCUGGAAAUAAAAUCAAAUAGAACAAGAAAUUGGGUGAAUGGUUCAGCUUUUGUGGUUUACUUCCACCUACAGCCAUGCCACCCAUUCAACUACACGUCUUUGAUCUAGAUUAUUUCUUCACCAUAAAACCCAUUUCUUUCUCUAUCUACAUACAUAUAUUAUAUAUAUAUAUUCACUACAUGNNNNNNNNNNNNNNNNNNNNNNNNNNNNNNNNNNNNNNNNNNNNNNNNNNNNNNNNNNNNNNNNNNNNNNNNNNNNNNNNNNNNNNNNNNNNNNNNNNNNNNNNNNNNNNNNNNNNNNNNNNNNNNNNNNNNNNNNNNNNNNNNNNNNNNNNNNNNNNNNNNNNNNNNNNNNNNNNNNNNNNNNNNNNNNNNNNNNNNNNNNNNNNNNNNNNNNNNNNNNNNNNNNNNNNNNNNNNNNNNNNNNNNNNNNNNNNNNNNNNNNNNNNNNNNNNNNNNNNNNNNNNNNNNNNNNNNNNNNNNNNNNNNNNNNNNNNNNNNNNNNNNNNNNNNNNNNNNNNNNNNNNNNNNNNNNNNNNNNNNNNNNNNNNNNNNNNNNNNNNNNNNNNNNNNNNNNNNNNNNNNNNNNNNNNNNNNNNNNNNNNNNNNNNNNNNNNNNNNNNNNNNNNNNNNNNNNNNNNNNNNNNNNNNNNNNNNNNNNNNNNNNNNNNNNNNNNNNNNNNNNNNNNNNNNNNNNNNNNNNNNNNNNNNNNNNNNNNNNNNNNNNNNNNNNNNNNNNNNNNNNNNNNNNNNNNNNNNNNNNNNNNNNNNNNNNNNNNNNNNNNNNNNNNNNNNNNNNNNNNNNNNNNNNNNNNNNNNNNNNNNNNNNNNNNNNNNNNNNNNNNNNNNNNNNNNNNNNNNNNNNNNNNNNNNNNNNNNNNNNNNNNNNNNNNNNNNNNNNNNNNNNNNNNNNNNNNNNNNNNNNNNNNNNNNNNNNNNNNNNNNNNNNNNNNNNNNNNNNNNNNNNNNNNNNNNNNNNNNNNNNNNNNNNNNNNNNNNNNNNNNNNNNNNNNNNNNNNNNNNNNNNNNNNNNNNNNNNNNNNNNNNNNNNNNNNNNNNNNNNNNNNNNNNNNNNNNNNNNNNNNNNNNNNNNNNNNNNNNNNNNNNNNNNNNNNNNNNNNNNNNNNNNNNNNNNNNNNNNNNNNNNNNNNNNNNNNNNNNNNNNNNNNNNNNNNNNNNNNNNNNNNNNNNNNNNNNNNNNNNNNNNNNNNNNNNNNNNNNNNNNNNNNNNNNNNNNNNNNNNNNNNNNNNNNNNNNNNNNNNNNNNNNNNNNNNNNNNNNNNNNNNNNNNNNNNNNNNNNNNNNNNNNNNNNNNNNNNNNNNNNNNNNNNNNNNNNNNNNNNNNNNNNNNNNNNNNNNNNNNNNNNNNNNNNNNNNNNNNNNNNNNNNNNNNNNNNNNNNNNNNNNNNNNNNNNNNNNNNNNNNNNNNNNNNNNNNNNNNNNNNNNNNNNNNNNNNNNNNNNNNNNNNNNNNNNNNNNNNNNNNNNNNNNNNNNNNNNNNNNNNNNNNNNNNNNNNNNNNNNNNNNNNNNNNNNNNNNNNNNNNNNNNNNNNNNNNNNNNNNNNNNNNNNNNNNNNNNNNNNNNNNNNNNNNNNNNNNNNNNNNNNNNNNNNNNNNNNNNNNNNNNNNNNNNNNNNNNNNNNNNNNNNNNNNNNNNNNNNNNNNNNNNNNNNNNNNNNNNNNNNNNNNNNNNNNNNNNNNNNNNNNNNNNNNNNNNNNNNNNNNNNNNNNNNNNNNNNNNNNNNNNNNNNNNNNNNNNNNNNNNNNNNNNNNNNNNNNNNNNNNNNNNNNNNNNNNNNNNNNNNNNNNNNNNNNNNNNNNNNNNNNNNNNNNNNNNNNNNNNNNNNNNNNNNNNNNNNNNNNNNNNNNNNNNNNNNNNNNNNNNNNNNNNNNNNNNNNNNNNNNNNNNNNNNNNNNNNNNNNNNNNNNNNNNNNNNNNNNNNNNNNNNNNNNNNNNNNNNNNNNNNNNNNNNNNNNNNNNNNNNNNNNNNNNNNNNNNNNNNNNNNNNNNNNNNNNNNNNNNNNNNNNNNNNNNNNNNNNNNNNNNNNNNNNNNNNNNNNNNNNNNNNNNNNNNNNNNNNNNNNNNNNNNNNNNNNNNNNNNNNNNNNNNNNNNNNNNNNNNNNNNNNNNNNNNNNNNNNNNNNNNNNNNNNNNNNNNNNNNNNNNNNNNNNNNNNNNNNNNNNNNNNNNNNNNNNNNNNNNNNNNNNNNNNNNNNNNNNNNNNNNNNNNNNNNNNNNNNNNNNNNNNNNNNNNNNNNNNNNNNNNNNNNNNNNNNNNNNNNNNNNNNNNNNNNNNNNNNNNNNNNNNNNNNNNNNNNNNNNNNNNNNNNNNNNNNNNNNNNNNNNNNNNNNNNNNNNNNNNNNNNNNNNNNNNNNNNNNNNNNNNNNNNNNNNNNNNNNNNNNNNNNNNNNNNNNNNNNNNNNNNNNNNNNNNNNNNNNNNNNNNNNNNNNNNNNNNNNNNNNNNNNNNNNNNNNNNNNNNNNNNNNNNNNNNNNNNNNNNNNNNNNNNNNNNNNNNNNNNNNNNNNNNNNNNNNNNNNNNNNNNNNNNNNNNNNNNNNNNNNNNNNNNNNNNNNNNNNNNNNNNNNNNNNNNNNNNNNNNNNNNNNNNNNNNNNNNNNNNNNNNNNNNNNNNNNNNNNNNNNNNNNNNNNNNNNNNNNNNNNNNNNNNNNNNNNNNNNNNNNNNNNNNNNNNNNNNNNNNNNNNNNNNNNNNNNNNNNNNNNNNNNNNNNNNNNNNNNNNNNNNNNNNNNNNNNNNNNNNNNNNNNNNNNNNNNNNNNNNNNNNNNNNNNNNNNNNNNNNNNNNNNNNNNNNNNNNNNNNNNNNNNNNNNNNNNNNNNNNNNNNNNNNNNNNNNNNNNNNNNNNNNNNNNNNNNNNNNNNNNNNNNNNNNNNNNNNNNNNNNNNNNNNNNNNNNNNNNNNNNNNNNNNNNNNNNNNNNNNNNNNNNNNNNNNNNNNNNNNNNNNNNNNNNNNNNNNNNNNNNNNNNNNNNNNNNNNNNNNNNNNNNNNNNNNNNNNNNNNNNNNNNNNNNNNNNNNNNNNNNNNNNNNNNNNNNNNNNNNNNNNNNNNNNNNNNNNNNNNNNNNNNNNNNNNNNNNNNNNNNNNNNNNNNNNNNNNNNNNNNNNNNNNNNNNNNNNNNNNNNNNNNNNNNNNNNNNNNNNNNNNNNNNNNNNNNNNNNNNNNNNNNNNNNNNNNNNNNNNNNNNNNNNNNNNNNNNNNNNNNNNNNNNNNNNNNNNNNNNNNNNNNNNNNNNNNNNNNNNNNNNNNNNNNNNNNNNNNNNNNNNNNNNNNNNNNNNNNNNNNNNNNNNNNNNNNNNNNNNNNNNNNNNNNNNNNNNNNNNNNNNNNNNNNNNNNNNNNNNNNNNNNNNNNNNNNNNNNNNNNNNNNNNNNNNNNNNNNNNNNNNNNNNNNNNNNNNNNNNNNNNNNNNNNNNNNNNNNNNNNNNNNNNNNNNNNNNNNNNNNNUUGUGAAAAUGUAUGGAUCAAUGCAUAUNCUUAAGGUCAGUGGGAGUAAAGUUGUUUCUUGUUUUAUACGUGGAUGACAUCUUACUUGCAACCAAUGAUAAGGGUUUACUUCAUGAGGUAAAACAAUUCCUCUCUAAAAAUUUCGACAUGAAGGAUAUGGGCGAGGCAUCUUAUGUCAUUGGCAUUAAGAUCCAUAGAGACAGAUUUAAAGGUAUCUUAGGUUUGUCUCAAGAAACCUAUAUCAAUAAAGUUUUAGAGAGAUUUCGGAUGAAGAAUUGUUCACCUAGUGUUUCUCCUAUAGUGAAAGGUGAUAGGUUCAAUCUGGACCAAUGCCCGAAAAACGAUCUUGAGAGGGAACAAAUGAAGAACAUUCCAUAUGCUUCUGCAGUCGGAAGUUUGAUGUAUGCUCAGGUCUGCACAAGGCCUGACAUUGCAUUUGCUGUUGGAAUGUUAGGACGAUAUCAGAGUAACCCAGGUAUAGACCACUGGAAAGCUGCAAAGAAAGUGAUGAGAUAUCUUCAAGGAACCAAAGAUUACAAGCUUAUGUACAAACGAACAAGCAAUUUAGAGGUAGUUGGCUACUCAGAUUCAGACUUUGCUGGCUGUGUUGAUUCACGUAAAUCAACAUCUGGAUACAUUUUUAUAUUGGCCAGUGGAGCUAUAUCUUGGAGGAGCGUUAAGCAGACCAUGACUGCUACUUCUACUAUGGAAGCUGAGUUCAUUUCUUGUUUUGAGGCUACUUCACAUGGUGUAUGGCUUAAGAGUUUCAUUUCCGGGCUUAGAGUUAUGGAUUCAAUAUCUAGGCCAUUGAGUAUAUAUUGCGACAAUUCAGCUGCAGUCUUUAUGGCAAAGAACAAUAAAAGUGGAAGUCGAAGCAAACACAUCGACAUUAAGUAUCUAGCCAUAAGAGAACGUGUUAAAGAAAAGAAAGUGGUUAUUGAGCACAUUAGCACUGAAUUGAUGAUUGCUGAUCCUUUGACUAAGGGCAUGCCACCGUUGAAAUUCAAGGAUCAUGUAAUGAACAUGGGGCUUAGUUCCCCUAUGUAGUUUUAUUGUACAAACUCUUAUUAUGAUGUUUUCUCAUAUUGAUGUGCACCUUUAUUUAAUUUUGAGAAAAUUCAACUUCAUUGGACCAAGAAUGAACAUAGGGUUUAUUCAUUAAGCAAUAUUGCCACAUAAAGUAAAAUGUUAAGAAAUGAAUACAUUGUAAUACAUGGAAGAUAACACUCGUUAUAAAGAGGACUUAUCGCCAUGAUUCAUAUAUUUGUUACUUAAUGCGGAAAAAUGAUGAUCUAAGAUAGGACAUGAGGUUAAAAGUGUGGACCAAGUGGGAGAAUGUUAUCAAAUCACCCACGUUCCGCUGCCCUGAAGUGGUCCAACACUUGGCCACGUCCUUCAUCAUGUAGCUGCUGUUAAGGAGCACGUUUCUCUCAACUGCUCAUCGUGUGGCAAAUCAGAGAAACGUGGCUUUGAUGGGAAGCCACGUUUUCUUUGUAUUUUAAAUAUCGGUCUUGGUCCCGAGCUCCUCUCUCAUGCUGCUGAAAAUCUUCAGAAACUACACCAUCCAUAAGGAGAGAUAGAGUUUUGGAAACCAAAGACUUGCAACCCAACAAUGGCUGGAGGUAAGUAUGGCAUAAGUUACAAAUUAAGAUUGUUUAUAUGCAUUAUGAAUUGCUCACACUUUCUCCUUUUUUUUUUUUGAUAUCUCAGAUUCUAGGCUAGAAGAGCCACUGCAAGAGUUUCCUCCCCUCAGAAUCAAAGAUAUUCCAGCGAUCCAUACAUGCGAGCUGGAAGCUUUUUAUCAACUAGUGGCAGCAAUGGUCAAUGAAAGUAAGGCCUCCUCGGGGAUCAUUUGGAAUUCCUUUGAAGACCUUGAACAAUCUGCACUAGCCACAAUCCACCAAGACUUUCAUAUCCCUAUCUUCCCUAUAGGCCCAUUUCAUAAAUAUUCACCAACUUCAACUACCUUAUCAAUCCAAGACCAUAGCUCUAUUGCUUGGCUAGACACACAAGCACCCAAUUCUGUGGUCUAUGUGAGCUUUGGGAGCAUUGCAGGAUUGGAUGAAACUGAUUUUAUAGAGAUGGCUUGGGGACUAGCCAACAGUAAACAACCCUUCUUAUGGGUGGUUCGACCUGGGUUCAUCCGUGGCUCAGAAUGGCUUGAACCACUGCCAAGUGGGUUCCUAGAGACCAUUGGUGGAAGGGGACACAUUGUGAAAUGGGCUCCUCAACAUGAAGUGUUGGCUCAUCCUGCUGUUGGAGCAUUUUGUACUCAUAGUGGCUGGAAUUCCACGUUGGAGAGUAUUAGUGAGGGAGUCCCUAUGAUUUGUUUGCCUUGUUUUUCUGACCAAAAAGUGAAUGCGCGGUAUGUAAGCCAAGUUUGGAGAGUUGGGGUGCAAUUGGAGAAUGGCCUGAAAAGAGGGGAAAUAGAAGGGGCAAUCAGAAGACUAAUGGUGGAGAAAUCAGGGCAGGAAAUAAGAGACAGAUGCAUUGCCCUGAAGGAGAAGGCAAAUCUUUGUCUAAAGCAAGGUGGCUCUUCAUACCAAACCCUUGAGGACUUGAUUAGUUACAUCUCAUCCUUUUUCUUCCAGUUUCAAGCAACUUCUUCAUGAUUACUGGAGGGUCUUUUAUAAUUGUUGUAGCGUAUUAUAAGCUGGUCAUUAGCUAGAUUUUCUAUUUUUCCUCAAAUUGUGACUGUUCUGCACCCACAUGGGUUACCAAAAUAAACCACUAAAAUUGUGGAGUUUACAUGCACCGGAGAAAGGGCGUUUGCUAAUAUUUCCUGAUCAUGGAUUCAUGGUAUCAUUGCGAAGUAAACUAAUUUAAUGCACUGUUCCCAGUCAACAAAUUUUAGAAAACCAUAAAACUUACACGUGAGGGAAAAAUGUGGUAAAUGGCAAUCGAAAGCCCCAAACCAUAUUCUGUUUGCUAGACGCUAUCGUGUGAUCCCCCAGUAAACACAGUAUAAAAAACUCCACUUUUCAAAAAAUUAUAUAGCAUCGCAGUAACGAUUAAUCAAUAAGAGAAGCAAGUCAAAAAGCACUUUGGGAAACAGAUCAUUUUAGCCUCCUGUAUUUAUUGGAUUUUGUUUGUUCCAUUGAAGCCAGGGCCAAUUCGAACGCAGCAGAAACUGGUCCCAAUCCUCAUAAAUAAUAGGCACCGUUUGCACCAACCUCCAAUUAUGCCUCCAUAAUUGUCUACUCACUAGGCCAAGUUUUCUGGGAAGAUCUAGACAACUUCGAAACUGAGAGAACACCCAGCCAAGCACCAUGGAGAACUCAAGAGAAACCCAUCAACAGAAGAAGGGUUUCCGACUGGUACUGUUUCCACUGCCCCUACAAGGUCACCUAAACCCCAUGCUUCUUCUUGCAAAUAUUCUGCAUGCCAAAGGCUUCUCUAUCACCAUCAUCCACACCCACUUCAACUCUCCCAACCCUGCCAACUAUCCCCUCUUCACCUUCCAUUCAAUCCCGGACGGCUUGUCUAAAACCGAAGCCUCCACCGCAGAUGUCAUAGCUCUCCUCUCACUCCUCAACAUCAACUGCGUCGCGCCUUUCCGGGAUUGCUUGUCUCAGUUAUUAUCUAAUCCUUCAGAGGAGCCUAUCGCUUGCUUAAUCACAGACGCUGUAUGGCACUUCACCCAGGCUGUUGCCAACAGCCUUAAGCUCCCUAGGAUGGUGUUACGCACCAGUAGUGUCUCUUCAUUUCUUGCUGUUGCUGCCAUGCCAUAUCUGCAGAAAAGUGGGUACCUCCCCAUAAAAGGUGAGUUUCUAAUUGAGUAAUUCCAUGAAACCAUAAUUACAACCAUUCAACAGACACAAAUGUACACUGUUCUAUGCCCAUAGGCUUGAGCUGGUCUAAUCAUCAGUCAGUGAUCAUACACAUCAAGGGAUAAAUAUAUGUAUUCUGAUCCUCUAUGUUUGCUCCAUGGGGAAUUCAUAUGCAUUUUCCUUUUCUCUUCUCAGAUUCUCAACUAGAGUCAUCAGUGCCGGAGCUUCUUCCACUCAAAGUCAAGGACCUUCCAGUGAUCAACACUCGGAACCCAGAAGAUUUUUAUCAAUUAUUUGUUAGCGCGAUCAAAGAAACCAAGGCUUCUUCCGGGCUAAUCUGGAACUCCUUCGAGGAUCUUGAAGAAUCUGCACUUGUCAGACUUCACCAAGAUUUUCCUAUCCCAUUGUUCCCAGUAGGCCCAUUUCAGAAAUACUUCCCAACCUCUUCAAGUAGUUUACUAGCACAUGACCACAGUUCCAUUACCUGGCUAGACACACAAACACCUAAAUCUGUGAUCUAUGUGAGCUUUGGGAGUAUUGCGACAAUGGAUGAGAAUGAAUUUCUGGAGAUGGCUUGGGGGCUAGCCAACAGCAAUCAGCCCUUCUUGUGGGUGGUUCGACCAGGGUUAAUCCGUAGUUAUGAAUGGCUUGAAUCACUGCCAAACGGGUUCCUUGAGAUGAUAGGUGGAAGGGGACAUAUUGUGAAAUGGGCUCCUCAACAAGAAGUUCUUGCUCAUCCCGCCACGGGAGGGUUUUGGACUCAUAAUGGAUGGAAUUCCACGUUGGAGAGUAUUUGUGAAGGGGUUCCAAUGAUUUGUCUGCCUUAUUCUGGGGACCAAAGGGUGAACGCGAGGUAUGUGAGCCAAGUUUGGGGAGUUGGGUUGCAAUUAGAGAGUGGGUUGGAGAGAGGGGAGAUAGAGAGAACAAUCAGAAGACUUAUGGUGGAGGAAGAAGGGCAGGAAAUUAGACGUAGAAGCAUUGAGUUGAAGGAGAAGGCAGACUUGUGUCUAAAGCAAGGUGGUUCUUCACACCAAUCCCUCGAGAGCUUGAUUAGUUACCUCUCAUCUUUCAAGGGACUCCUUCAUAAUUAAGUUCUAGAUGGUCUUCUGUUAUUGUUAGGAAUUCUCCUGAGCGAGGUUUCCAAAUAGGCUGGUUCUGUUUCUCACAAACGAUCCGUUGUCUUGAUUACUUCUUUAAGAUUGUGCUUAAAUAUUAUUUCAUACUAUUACCACAUUGAUGAUCACUAUACUCCUACGUAAAAAAAAAAUUUAGAGGUGAUUUCUAGCAAUUCUCCGAUUAAUUACCCUCAGUUUCUAGUACCACUAUUUUAUAAUAACUGGAUACAAAUAUGUCAGAUUGAUGACUGCUUCUUAAGUUAUCCUUAAAUGUAUAAGAGCUCGUUUGAUAGUGAUUUUAGGAAAAACUUUUAAUAUUUGAAAUUUUUAUUAUUCAAGUAUUAAAAAUAUUAAAAACGUUUUAUAAAAUUACUCCCGAACGCGCUCUAAGUCAAAAUUGUUGUUGGGGUUGUUGGUUCCAUUUUAACUUUUUUAAAUUAUAUUGUCAAGUCAAGGAAGCGCACUAAAAUACUUGGAAAACCAUGUUUGGGCUCCUUCAUUUAUUGGAUUGUGUAUGUUCAUUCACAUGGGUUGUUGGUUCCAUUUUAACUUUUUUAAAUUAUAUUGUCAAGUCAAGGAAGCGCACUAAAAUACUUGGAAAACCAUGUUUGGGCUCUUUCAUUUAUUGGAUUGUGUCUGUUCAUUCACAUGGGUUGUUGGUUCCAUUUUAACUUUUUUAAAUUAUAUUGUCAAGUCAAGGAAGCGCACUAAAAUACUUGGAAAACCAUGUUUGGGCUCCUUCAUUUAUUGGAUUGUGUCUGUUCAUUCACAUGGGCUUAGAUCCAAGUUGUACAAAAAUUGGUUUAGUUGGAUUUGCAGUUUUCCACCUAACUUUCAAGAUAUUGAGUGAGAGAUAACACCAAAACUGAGCAGACAAUGCUCAGCUAAGCACCAUGGAGUGAUUAUUUCAUUGAACUAAUAUGUACAUACCACUUUCCUAUGAAUCUUGUCUCUCACAAUUUAACUUUAGAUGAACCCUAGGCAGCUGAAAGGAACUUCUAAUUCGAUUACUGGUGAAGCAAUAAAGUUGGAAGAAACAUACAAAUAAUUAUAAUCCAUAAAUACUCAUAUUUAACAAAAUAAAGACUCCUAAUAAUAAAACAUGGAAACCUUCUCGUACUCUAAUAUUUGAAUAUAGAAACUAAAUUAAUCAUUCAAAUAAAAAUGUUCUCUUUGAUUUUUAAAAACUAAAUCUAGUUCUAAUUUUAGAAACUUCCUAAAUCAAGUUUAACUUUCUAUCAUGCCCUGUAAACUUGAUUUGUAACUCCAAGCACCAAGCACCAUUCUUAACCAUUUAUAAUCUUCAAAUUUGAAACAUUUUGUAAAAAUAUCCACAAUUUGAUUAUGAGAAUUUGCAAAUUUUAAUUACACUUUCUUUUUCAUGAUGGACUCCUUGACAAAAUGAAAUUUUGUAUCAAUGUGAUUGCUUUGAUCAUGAAAAAUCAAUGACUUCUUACCCUCUUGUUACUUGUAACUCUUUGGUAUCAAAUUUGCUUUGCAUCUCCCUAUUUUUCCUUUUACGUUCUUCUUUGUUUCCAAUACUUAUUUUAAUUGUUUUUUUUUCCUUUUAGAAGGGAUUUUAGUUUCCAUGUGUCAUUCUUUCUCAUUGCUUUUAUUUCCAUAACAUUUUGUCAUGUCUUAUCUUAAAUUACUGCUUUAUAAUCUAUUGGUUCAUAAUUUGUAGAAAGAUAAAAGAGAAUUAAAUUAUUUUGAAUAUUAUAUGUUACCUUAUUAAUAUUUUCUUACUAUUUAACAUACUUUGAGCGAUGUCAAGAGUAGUUUCAUUUUUUUUUUUCUCUCUAUUAUACUAUUUAUUGUGGAGGAUAUGAAAUCGUUAAAGUCGACAAAUUUUAUAAGCUUUACAAUAUUUUUCAAAUUGGACCUUAUAUGUCUACAUGGAUGAAUUUAAUUUAGAGGCUUUUUUACUCUUGUAAUUAUUUCCUUUGGAAAAAUUUUUUGAGCAUGUUUUUCAAGUAAGGGUCCUUUACAUAAUUGAUCCAUAAAAAGUAAUUCUUUCACCAGUUUCUUCUCUGUUAGCAACUUCAAUAUUCUAAAACUAAGAUGUCUAAAUCUUAAGUGUCAAAUCCAAGAGGAAUAAUGGACAUAAGAUUUUAAACAUUUUACAACAACAAUUUCAAUGUACAACAAAAAACAUUCAAUUUCUUGUUAUGAGCAUAUUAACAAUUAAAUUGGCAUAUUAUUGACCUCGUACUGAGAGACUUUGAAUUUCAUAUGAAUAUCAUAACACUUUUCUACGAGUUGACCCAAACUUAAUAUAUUAUUUUUCAUGUUGAACACAUAAUAGAUGUUCAAAAUAAAUUAAUGUCUUUCAUUUUUCAAACAAAUUCAGAUUUUACCUUUGCCUUUUCAUCAAAACUCAUCCAAAUAUGACAUAACCAUUUUUGGAUUCCUCAAGUGCUUCAAAAAGAUAUUUUUAAUAUCUACAUAUGAUUGUUUAUUUCAAUGUCAAGAUACCAAGUGUUUUUUUCCUUACUUUUCUCACUUAUAUACCAACAAUAAAGUAGGUUGUUCUUGAUUUUGCUUUUCAUAAUAUAUAUAUAGACUAACAUUAAAUUUGAGAUUUAUUUAUCAUACAUGAUUAUAACUUAUAUAUUGUGUCAUCUUCCACAUCCUCAUGAAUAAUAUGAGUCUUAACUUGUUCCUUCAUUGUUUGAUGAAUUCAAAUCACUUCUUCUUCUAUAAUCUUGACCAUAACCAUGUAUACGACUAUGCCCAUGAUUAUUUUGACUUCUUUCAUUAUCAAAAUUUUCUUCAUUCUCCUUUAAUAUAAGUUUAAUUUGUUUAUAGAAUUUGCUCAAGUUUUUGUUAGUUCUCAUUUUUAAUCUUUUCAUGAACUUGCAAUGACAACAUAAGUUACUCAAUGGCCAUGAAAUCUAAAUCUUUAGAUUCUUCAAUGGCCACAACAACAUAAUCGAAUUUUGAAUAUGUAUAUGAAUAUGGAAGUAUUUUUUUCAAUAACAUGAAUGUCAUUUAAACUUUCAUUGUGUCUUUUAAAUAGAAGAUUGUUUCAUUCUUUUACAUUCAAACUUUGAAAUUUCAUUUUUAUAUGCUUUGUAAUAUCUCACAAGCUUCUUUUAAGGUGGUUGUAUUUGAAAUCUUCUCAAAAGUACAUUCAUCCAUUAUUUAAUAGAUGGUGGGAAAAGGUUUCUUGUCUUUCCUUAUGUCUUUUAAAAAAGCCUUUUGAUUUAGGAAUAAAGUUGUUUUGACUCUUAUAACCUUUUUGUUACAUGUGUAAAAUUCCCACACAAGUUUUCGUGUCUAUGUAGCGCUUUGAAGCUCUCGAAGCUAACAACUUUUCCCUACAAGAUGACAACAACAUACAAGAUCCACAUGAGGUUUACAAGGCACCAACCCCAACUUGUAUUUUAUUAACUUACUAAAUAAGAAUACAAGACUUUAGCCAGACUCCCACAAUAACUUCAGUGAGUUGAGGCUUCUCUCAUGAUCUUCCUUUUUAGAUCUCUGUUAUGAGGCUCUUUGUAGUCUUUAUUUAAAGAGUGGCUUUACCCACUCUUUGUUAGACUAAGAUUACACAUCUUAGUUCUAAUGGGACUCUUACUGAUAGGUUGUGGCACUAACCACUCCUACAAGGGCUCAAAGUCCCACUUUUACUUAGACUACAAUUAUAAUAGGCAUUAAGACUCCCACUCAUGCUUAAUUUGUAAUCCCACUUUGAGUCCAACUCUUUGUGCUACUACCACGUACAUCUAUAUAUAUGGUUCAUGUAUACGCCAGAACCUCUUUUGGUAUACAUAUCUAGAUUGCAUUCGUAUCGAGGCAACAUGUUCUUGCAUCCGUCUUGUUGUUGCUACAACUCCAUACCUUGUCUAAGUUCUAUUCUUAGUGCAACAACAUGUCAUGACAUUGUGCUCAUGACUCUCCAUGCACAAGGCAUUGCGCCCUUAUGUAUUGAAUCUGAGUUGGCAUCGCUACUUCGUAUCGAUAUGCCUAUCUAUGUCUUUCUUAGUGUUGCACUUGCCAUGACAUUGCACCCAUGGCUCACCAAGUCGUCUUCCUUUACAAGACGUUGUGCCCUUGUACAACUUUGUUGUUGUCAUAGGUUACUCAUGAGGCUAAGGUGCUGCCUUAUGAGACCUUAGUGUUGCAUGGUCCAUAUCAAGGGGCUAACAAACCACCUUCACCUAAUGCAGUUGACGUUCUCAUCGACAUGGACUAUAGUUAGGCCUAUACUUUCUUUUUAAACUGCCAUAAUGUCAUAUCUCAUUCCCAACUUGCUGAUGAUUUAGGAUUGACUUUCCACUGAACUAGAUAAUCAACAUUUCAAUUUUUCUUGCUCAUUCCCAUAAUUCGAUGAUUCAAUAUUUCCUCUACCUCAUGAUGAAACUAUUUUUUGAUCAUAGGUGGAGCUCGUCUCACCUAUAUUUUUCUUGGGUCUAGGUCCUCAUGAUAAGGUUUUAAAAAGCUUACAUGGAUUAUGAGGUGUAUCUUUAACCUAUUAGGCAACUUUAAUUUGUAAGCUACAUAUCCUACCUUUUGCAUCACCUCAAAAAGUUUGUCAUAUUUGGGAACUAACCCCUUUGCACAGUCUUGCUACUAACAUUUUUCCAUAUCUAAGGGGUUAAUAUGAAAUUCCAAGGGUCUUUCGCCUUUGCGUUUGCAUACUUUUUCAUCCUUCUUGUGACUUUCUAUAAGCUCUCACAAGCUUCAUCGAGCAUCUCCUACCUAGACCUUGCAAAUUUGUAUUUUGUAGGACAACUACCACAAGACUUUGGCUUAGCCACAUCCAAGUGCAUAAUUGGCUAUUGCUCUGUGGCCAACUCGAAAUGACUCAAUCAUGUUGUCGAACUCUUCUACAAGUUAUAGGAUAACUGAGUUAUCUUCAUUAUAUCAACCCGGUUCUUUUAUGUUGUAGAAAGAUAGCGUUUGGGGUACUCUUCAAGUAAAAUGUUGAUAUGCUUUGUUUGGCGUCUGUUUGCAGAUAAUUUGUAGUUGAAAACUUCAACUCUAAACCGAGGAGUUUGAAUAUUUUGGUCUAAAACUAGCUAGUGAAUCAGACAUCACGAUCACUUACUAUGUCUUUAAGCAACCUGAAGUACUUGACCACAUGGUUGAAAAAUAGCCUAGUUGUCUCUUUUGCGAGACAUGCAUGUGGUGUAGGCAUGAAGACAACAUAUUUAGAGAAUCUAUCAAUUUAUUAUAAUAAAAAUAGAUUUGAAUUCCCCCACAUUUGGAAAGCCACCAAUGAAGUCUAUUGAUAUGCUUUCCUAAGGUCUCUCUAGGAUAGGGAAAUGUUGCAACAUUAACCCCACUACUUUCUUCUUCUCUGUCUUGUCUAAGCGACAUGCUAAAUAAGAACGGGCAUAUGCUUGGACAUCCUCUCUCAUUUCCGACAAGUAAUAGGACUUGGACAAUAGUGUUGGUGUCCUUUCUUUAAUAAGGUGACUUGUCCACUUGGCCUCAUGGGUCUUUUUUAACAACUUCUUACCUAAGCACUUCCUAGUACAUAUAGUUUGCUUCAUUUAACCACUAAGAGGUCAUCUUCUAGUUAUAUUUUCUUGUUGUCCCAUCUCUGACUUGUUAUUUCAUUUUCUCAUAAGUAGAAUCAAGCUUAGUAGCCUACUUGAUGCUUUCAUUAAAAUCUAAGAUCACAUGUGAUAAAACAGUUACAUACUUUGUCACCCUCUUCUGGCUUAAGGCAUCUACAACUACAUUAUGUCUUCUUGGUUGAUGCAACCAAUCAAACUUGAAGUUGGUCAGGAAUUCUUGCCAUCUAGCUUGCUUAAGGCUCAACUUUUUCUAAGUCUUGAAGAAGGUAUUAGUCGCAUUGUUUGUGACUAUAGUAAAUAUACUCCCAAAUAGAUAAUGUUUCCAUUGCUGCAAGCAAUGGAUAAUUACUGUCAUCUCUUUCGCGUGAGUGAAGUAUCUUUGCUUUGCCUCAUUGAGCUUCUGACUCUCAAAGGCUAUUGGGUGUCUUUCUUACAUUAGGACUUUUCCUAAGGCCUUGGCUGAUACAUCUAUCCGGACCUUAAAAAACAAAUCCAAAUUCAGUAGAUGUAGCACCGACUCAGUUGAAAUAACCACUUUCAACUUUUCAAAAUCUUUAUGGCAUACCAAGCUCCAAUUCUAGAGGAUAUCAUUCUUUAAAAGGUUAGUUAGGGGAGCUACUAUCUUGGAAUAACCUUUUAUGUUCAAUAGUAGUUUGGCAGUUCCAAGAAGGAUCUUAAUUUUGUCACCUUACUUAGAGCAUGCCAAUCUCUGAUGACUUGGACCUUUGCUUUAUCCAUCUUAAUCAAACCUUCCCUUAUCUUGUACCUUAGAAAGGUAAUAUGUUUUUGUGCAAACUCAUAUUUCUCCUUUUUCACAUAAAGUUUGUGUUCUCUUAAUCUUUAGAAUAGUAGUUUCAGGUGAUGCACUUGGUUUUCUUAUUCUCUCUAAGUGCAAAUUCCCACAUAAGUUUUCGCGUCUAUGUGAUGCUUAGAAGCUCUCUAAGCUAGUUUACACCUUUCCCCAUGAGAUGGUAACAACACACAAGGCACACAUGAGGUUUAUAGGUCACCAAUCUUAACUUGUAUUUUAUUAGCUUACUAAAUAAGAAUACAAGACUUUAGCAGCUUCCCUCAUGAUCUCCAUCUCUAGAUCUUUAUUAGGAGGGUCUUUGUCCUCAUUUUUUAUAAAGUGAUGCCACACACUCCUUGUUAAACUAGGAUUACACAUCCUAGUUCUAUUGAGACUCUUAUUGAUAGGUUGUGACAUCAACCAAUCCUAUUAUGACUCAAAGUCCUAGUCCUACUUAGACUACAAUUACAAUAGGCAUUAGGACUCCUACUCAUGCUUGACUUGCAAUCCCACUUCAAGUCCAACUCGUCGUAUUGCUGCCACAUGCAUCUAUAUAUAUGGCUCAUGUGUGUGUCAAACCCUCUUUUGGCCUGCACAUUCAAAUUGCAUUCAUGUCACGACAACAUGCUUUUGCAUCCAUAUUGUUGUUGUGGCAACUCUAUGCCUUACCCAAGCUUUUUUCUUGAUGCAGCAACAUGUCAUGACAUUGUAUCCAUGAUUCCUCGCGCAACAAGGCAUUGUGCCUUUGUGUAUUGCAUUUAAGUCAACAUGCUCCACAUUGAUGCCUCAUUCGAGUCUCUCUUGGUGCUCCACUUGGCAUGAUAUUUCACCUAUGGCUCACCAAAUUGUCUCAUUGCACUAGGCAUUGUGCCCUUAUAUAUGCCACCUUGUUGAUGUCAUAGGUUACUCAUGAGGCUAAGGUGCUAUCCCAUGAGACAUUAGUGCCACAUGGUCUAUGUCAAGGGGUUAACACUUUCCAAACAAGACAUUUAUCCUUAUACUCAAAUUAUCGUAAUUAUUUUUAUUGAAUUUGAGGAGUUCAAAUGAAUACCUCCUAUUUUUCAUUUUUUUUUUGUAAUAAUAGAGAAGAAUUUAAAAUUUAUUGUUUUCAUUUUCUUAUUCAUAGAUUAUAUAAUUUUUUAUUUUUAAAUACUCAUAUCUAAUAAAAUAUAAACUCAUAAUAAUAAAAAUAUAGGAAUUCCCAACAAUAAAAUAUAAAAACUUUUUACAAGUCAAUUACUUAUAUAUAAAAACUAAAUCCAAUUGUUUAAAAUAAAAUAUUUUCUUUUAACUUUUAGAAGUUAAAUCUAAUUCUAGUUUUCAAAAAUUCUCAAUCAAGUUUACUUUCCAAUAAUUACUUAAAUUAAAUGCCACAUAAAAACCAGAUAAAAGACUUUCACAAAUCUAAACAGGAAAAAAAAAAUAUAAAAAAACAAACUUGCAUCCAAACCAACUAUGGUCCUCUUAAUUAUCAUAUCCUGCUCUCUGGGGUCCUUUUAAUUAUAAUAUAUGCUCUCACAACGUGUUGAAAAAAGAAAAAAAAGAAAAAGAAAGGGAGAGACAUGAAGGAAAUAUUCCCAGAAAAAUGUCAAAAGAGAGGUAGAAAACUAUCCCAAGCACCCAAGCAAGAAAAAUACGUACGGGCUAUUUUAUUUUCUCACCAUGUUGAAAAGUUUUAAAAAUAGAAGGGAAAGUUAAGGUUUUGGGCUGGUGAUGUGAAAAAUAUAUGAUUUUAAAAACACAAGUAUAUAAAAUAUGAGAUUCAAUAUGAGAUUCAAUUAUUAAUAGGUAAAAUAAUAUCCAAAAUGUGCACUAUCUCCUAUUUACUUUUCUUCUUCCUGUAUUACCCCUAAAUUUCUCUGUGUCAUGAGCAAAUUUUCCCCAUGUCAGCAGAACAAUUUCAAACUUUGAACUCAUUCUCAAAGUUGAAACAUAAAGAAACCCAAACUGAGAACCAAAAGUAGGGAAUCUUUCUUCUGGUCAUUUUGCCCUAACCCCCAUAUCAGGAAAUUCCCAAUUUCUAAAUUUCUCGUCUUCUUCCCACAAGCCCCUUGUUGAAUUUGCUUGCUACCUUUUCAUGUCGCGACAUUUCGGCCGAAAAUAUCGAAAGCAAGACAACCCUUUCCUUUGGAACGUGAUUAUCAAAUCUUUCUCAUAUUUCAGAUACGUGGGUUUUCAAAACCAUAUAUGUUCCAGCCUAUAAAUACAACUUUUCCUUUUUAAUACGCUUGCUUCACUUGCUCCAAUUUUAAAGUGCCCAAAAAAAAUUUCACUUGCGUAAUUUCCUCAUGAAAAUGUCUUCCAUCGGAACUUCAAAGGGAAUCCUGGAAAUCGGAAAGUUCGCUCUCUAUGUCUCAAUCCCGAUUGGUCUGAUGUAUACUUUGGCAAACAAUUCCGAGAAUAUGAAGAAGCUCAUCCAGAAGGUUAUUCUCUUUCCUCAGCGGUGCUAUGAAAUUGGUGUGUUCUGGUUAUUGAAUCCAUGAUUACAUGACACUUGGGGAUUUUUUGAAGUACAAGAGAAGAAAAUGGACCAUUCUGAAGCAUUUUCUUUUUCUUUCAUCCGAAUGGUCCUUAGUUUGUGGAGAUAUUCUCGAUAGGGAUGAACUAGUUUUUCUUUAGAAGAUUGAAUCGAGAUUUAUUACGUUUUUGUGGUUUGGAAAAUCCUUAUUAAUAAUUUAUUUAUUUUUGUUUUUUGUUUUUUAUUUUUUUAUUUUGUUUAGUUAGUAGUAUAAAAACAUAGAAAACAUAACUUUGAAAACAUAAACAACAAUGCCAAAUGCCUUUUUCAGUAUUUUUUUUUUAAAUAGAAAAUAAUUAUUGAAAGCACUUCCUAAAUAUCCUCUAACUAUAAGUUAUUUUCAAUAAUUUUUUUUAUAAAAAAUAUAGAAAACUUUAAAAAAUAUAAAAAACAAAUAAAAUUGAGUAUGAUAUCAUUCUUUCACUCUCUUCACGAUCCAUUACUAAAGAAAAAAAAAAAAUUCUUCAUAUAUGAUAUUGCUUUGAAUUACCUAUUUUUAAAUUUUUUUUCUAACUUUAAAAUUUUUCAUUAAGCAAAUAAUUUUAAAAUCAAACUAUACUUGAUACGUAAAAUUUAUUAAUUUUUAAAAAUAAUUUGAAACUCAAAAAUCGAUUUAAUUAGUACUAAAAAAUCAUGAAACUUAAUAACAUUAGAAAGUCAUGAACUCAAUUUGAAUGACUUAAUUGGCUAGUUUCUUCUUUACAUGUAAUCAUAUUUUUACAAUUUUUUCACAAAGAAAAUAAAUUCUAAAUAAAACAACACCAAAUAUAUUGGAUUCAUUACAAGUUUAGUAAUUUUUAAAAAUAACUUGAAACUCAAUGAUCCAAUUAAAACUAUAAAUUUGUGAAUAAAAAUCGAUUUAGAAUGACUUGAUUGUUUCUCUUCUCCAUAGAAUCAUUUUUUAAAUAUUUUUUUAUUAGACAAAUAAACUCUAAAUUAAAUAAGACUUAAUGCAUUACAUGUGUUAAUUAACAAGUUUAGUAAUUUUUAAAAAUAAUUUGAAACUUAAAUAGUGAUCUAAUAAAUACCAAAAUUUAUGAACAAAUAUUGAUCUACAAUGACUCUGUUAUUUAUUUAUUUUACAUAUAAUUAUAUUUUUAUAAAUUUUCUCAAUAGAUAAAUGAACUUCAAAUCUAGUGAUAUUUUGUAUUGAAUUAUUAACCGUGUUUAAUGAUUUUUAAAAAUAAUUUAGAACUCAAAAACUAUAUAGAUUACUAAAAAAAAUCAAAAUUGAUAAAUUAGAAGUCAUGACUUUAUUGUUUGUUCUUCACACACAACUAUAUUUUUUGAAUUUUGUUACAAAGUAAAUAGAUUUGAAAUUAAGACAUAGUUAAGAAUUUAAAUUUUUAAGGACAUAAGAUAAAAGAAUACAUAGUUUGACACUGAUAUAGAAAAAAUCCAAAAGAAAAAUCAUAUAGUAAACAAAAAAACAACCCUCAAUUAUGCUACCUAUCAAUUAUGCAAUUUAUAUGGAUCAAAACUUAAUUUUUAGGGUCAGUUGGGUCCAAAACACAAUUGUUCUAUUAAGAUAUUUGUAAUCUGGGCUUGGAUUUAUGGAAUAUGGUCAUGGGCUGACUACUUUAGGCCCAUGUGUACUGCUAUCCAAAGGGAUGAGUCUCAUGAAUGUUGCAGCUGUUCCGCGUCUUUCCAGAGAUUUCUAGCAACACAAUAUCGCGAGUAUUCCGAUAUUAGUACUCGCGUAAACAUUUAUAUCCAGUCUCUUUAGAUACUUCUCUAUCUUCUUGAAGCAUCUAGAAUCCACUACACAAUUUGACGAAAUUACCCUCGUCUGCACCUAUAAAUAUCUGAAUCUGAACUUUCUUUCAACCAGUACCAUAGCAACAGGUGUUGAUUUCUCAUAACGCAAAUCCAAUGUUCCAAUUCCGUCACUCUCCCUUGCGACAAACUUUCAGAUAAUGUCUCUAAUUCCAAGCUUCUUCAGCGGUCGACGGAACAACAUGUUCGACUUGUGGGAUCCGUUCCAAGACUUCCCAUUCACCGGCGGUGCUCUAUCGGUUCCCGGAGAAACGGCGUCGUUCGCGAACACUCGCAUUGAUUGGAAGGAGACCCCGGAGGCCCACGUCUUCAAGGCCGAUCUUCCUGGGGUAAAGAAAGAGGAAGUGAAGGUAGAGGUUGAGGAAGGGAGGAUUUUGCAGAUCAGUGGAGAUAGGAGUGUUGAGAAGGAGGAGAAGAAUGACAAGUGGCACCGAGUGGAGCGCAGCAGCGGCCAGUUCAUGAGGCGGUUCAGGUUGCCGGAGAAUGUGAAGGUGGAGGAGGUGAAGGCUGCCAUGGAGAAUGGUGUUCUUACUGUUACUGUUCCGAAGGCAGAGGUCAAGAAACCCGAUGUCAAGGCUAUCGAUAUUUCUGGUUGAGAAUUACGUACAUGAACUUAUAUGAUUAAAGCUUAAUUUUUGAGCUCAAUUUUAUCCCUGUCUUAAAAUGCAUCAUAAAAGGAAGAGCAUGCUUUGAGGGCUUUUUGUAGAAAAUAAUGAACAAUGCAGUCCCAACUUUUCCUGUUGCUCGGCUGUACUCAUUUUAAAAAUAAUUACUUUUACGUACCUUCAAAUAAUAACUUAGAGGUUAAUUUAAGGUUUAAGAUUAAAUUUUACUUUUUGCUGCUAAAACAAAAUUAUUUUAUAAAAAGUGAUAAAUUAAAAAUAUAAAAAAUUAUAAAAUGUUGAACUAAUUUGGAGCUCAUUUGACUGUGUGAUUAAAAAUUAUUUUUUAUUUUUAAAAAUAGAAAAUUGUCUUUAAAAAUUCAUUAUAUUGUUUAAUUGUUAUGUUUUAUUUUACGAUUUUUAAAAACAAAGUGAAAUAGAAUAUAAUUUUUAAAAAAUGAAAUCCUGUGUUUUUUAAAACAGUUUUAAAAAAUAUUUUUUAAUAAUAGUUUUUGUUGUUUCUAGUAAUAAAAUUAUGUUUCGAACUAAAUUCCAAAAAACAAUUUUUUGGUCUAAAAGAAAAAAUGUUUGAUUGAAAUAGUAAAAAAUAAUUUAAUUAACAAGUAUUUUUGUAACUUUCUUUAAUCAACUUAAUGUUGUAAAAAUAACUAAUUUUUAGAUAAAAAAUUUGUAGAUUUUCAUAAUUUUAAAAUUAAAAAAAUUGUAUCCAUCCUUAAAUAUAAAAAUUGGUUUUUUCUUUUAACUUUUUGCACUAUCCUCCCUUCACCCCCUAAUUUUUUUUCUUUCUUUUAUACACUUUCUUCUUUCCUCUCUUAAAAUCUCUCUUAUGAUAUCUCUUUCCCUCUUUUUUUCUAAUUACCUUGGUUUCCUCCCCUGGUUCUCCUCUUCCCCUUUCUCUUCUCUUCAUCUCAAUUUCCCUCACUUCUUUCUCUCUCUUUCUUUCUCUCUUUCCCAUAUAUUUUCUCAUUUAAAAAUCACCCAUAAUCAUACCCUACAUCAUAUUCACCUCCGUUACCUCAUUUAUGUUCAAAUUGCAACGUCACUAGCAUCACCCACGACCACUAUUGUUGCCAAUUUAUUUUUUUUUGGACAAAGAAAUAGGAUUUUUUUUAAAACAUUUUUCUAGAUAGUAAAUUGGGAUUGGUGUGUAACAACGUGCUCUCAACCGUGUAGAUGUUAUUCGCUUUGGACCCAAGGAGCCAUCACGACUUUAAAACACGUCUUGAAAGUUAAGAAGAAUUUAUACUUAUAUAGUGUUAGGAACUUUCCCCCUAUCCGAUGUAAGAUGUCAUAAACACUCCUUAUGCAAACACAACAUUCUCGUUGUGUUCCACAAGAUUGCGAUAUCAAAUAAACAAACACCUUUUAUGGGGCCAAACAAACCCCCACAUCGGGGUCGAGGAUCAGUUUUGAUACAAUUUAUAACGAUCCGCUCUCAACCAUGUAGAUAUUGUUUGCUCUGGACCUAAGGAGUCCUCACAAAUUUAAAACACGUUUUCAAAAUUAAGAGGAGUUCAUACUUAUAUAAUAUCAACAUUUGUAACUAUCCACACCCAAUCAUGUAAAUAUUGUUCGCUUUUGGCCCAAAGAGGCCUCAUAGCUUUAAAACGUGUUUGCAAGGUUAAGAAUAACCCAUAUAUAGUGAAAAAAUAAAGGCUAAUCUUAAUUAGAAAAACACCCCAUAAAGGAAAAUGGUAAAUUGAAUUUUAAAAAUUCUUUUUCAAAUACAAUAAAUUCAAGAAAAAAACACAAAUAUAAAGAAAAUAAUGUUAGAGAGAGCAAACUCGGAUUUUAUAGUGGCCUACAUCCACUCAUUGAUGAAAAUGUCGAUAAUCACAAAUAUAUCAAUACUUCAAUUUUACGGAUAUAUCGAUGGAUAUUUUGAAAAAAAAUUUCGAUAGUCUAGAAUUGAUUAAAACUUAUGAAAAUAUUGAAAAAAAACUGUAAAAAUGAUAUAAUAAACAAUAAUAGACAUUUUAAAGUUGUUAUAUAAAAAAAUAAUAAUGUAUGUAUAUGAUAUAAUUAAUCAUAUUUGAUAAUAAUAGUGCAUGUGUACAUAAAAAAAUAUAAAUUUGAUCAAUUUAUUAAAUUACAUCAAAUGUUAUUCAAUGAUAAUAUUGUGAUAUUUGAUUAUAAUAUAUCUCAGUUUAAAAUUAUAAUUUAUUUAAUUUCAACUGUAUUAAAUGAUAUAAAAUAAAUGACGAUAUAUGCAUAAUUUUUUUUAAUAUUUAUAUUUUUUUAUAUUUAAUUAAUAUAUAAAUGAUAUAAAAAACUGUUAAGAAAAUUAUAAUGAUAUGUUUUAUAUUUUUAGUGAUUAAUGAAAUGAAAUUUAAAAAUAAAAUAAUUAGAAUUAAUUUGUUUAUUAAAAUAUUUUUUAAUAUUUUUUUUAUGCUAGUUUUACUAUAUAUUUAUCUUGUGCCUAUUAUUUAUCAAGUGGGCAAGUUAGCUCAGUGGCCUUACCAAGAUAAGACUGAAAAAUCGUUGAAACAAGCCGAAAUUUUCCAAAAAAUGGCCUCAUCGAUUUUUUGCAUGCUUGUUUCAAUAGGCUUUAUAUUUUUAGUGAUUAAUUAAAUGAAAUUUAAAAAUAAAAUAAUUAGAAUUAAUUUGUUUAUUAAAAUAUUUUUUAAUAUUUUUUUAUGCUAGUUUUACUAUAUAUUUAUCUUGUGUCUAUUAUUUAUCAAGUGGGCAAGUUAGCUCAAUAGCCUUACCAAGAUAAGACUCUAUUUGUUUUGGGUUUGGGUGGGGUUCAAGUCCCACCUCAUGCACAAUUUCACAUUUUUUGAGGCUUUGACUGUGCGUUAACUGAUUUGACUGCGCAUUAAUUGAAGUGAAAAAUUAGUAAAAAUCCAAUUUUUUUUUAAUGAAAAAUCGCUGAAACAAGCCAAAAUUUUCCAAAAAAUGGCCUCAUUGAUUUUUUGCAUGCUUGUUUCAUGUUGUUGGUCAUCAAUUCACAAAAUUUCGGUGAAAUUUUUCAAAAUUUUCAUCUGUGUCCACUCUUCUUAAACUCUUAAUCGAGUGAGGGUUCCACUAUACCUAAAGUUUCAACUAAGCUUCCAAUACCUUUACACUUGGAUUUCGGUUCUAAUGGGCUCUUACACAAUCCCUUCAAGUUUAUACUCACUUGAAACUUCUAACUCUCACAAAACACUCAAAGUACAGAUUUAAACUUCUCGACCUAGUUCAACAAAUGCUCAAAUACAACUCAAAUGCUAAGAAGAAUGACAGGGGUGCACUAAAGAAUAUGCAAGUGAGGAUUUAAUGCACCAAGAAAAGUAUGUGAGCUUUUAGGUGAAGAACUAAUAGGUAAAACGAUUGAAUGUAGGUGUUCUUGUGCUCAUAAAUGAAAUGGAGCUCUCAAUUUAUAGGUUAUAGCCUUAGGAGCCAAAAUGUCAAAAAGUAACCUUAACCGAUCAAGUUGGGGGUCGAUUGGUUGACUAGUCGUUGGGUAAUAAAUGCAUGACAUGUGACCGUUAGGCCUCGAUCGAGCCUCGAUCGAAACUCGAUCGAGCCUCGAUCGAAACUCGAUCGAAACUCAAUCAAGCCUUGACCGCAAUUCAAUAAAGCCUUGACCGUAACUUAGCCGGACCUCGACCAGGAAGACAUAACCAUCGACCAAGAAUGCAAGGCUAUUGGAAGAGAGAGAAAAUAUUUUUUGCAUCUCUCGAUCGACCCUCGACCGGGAAGGCAUAACCGGUUGACAGGUACCUUAAUUGAUUGAUCCAGUUGACCAGUCCCUUGACUGGUUCACAUUUUUUGCCUAAAAACCUAUAUUUUUCUAUUCCUUUCACUUCUAACACUUAGGAAAAGUCUUUAGGUCAAUGAAUAUGUCAAAUUUGAAAUGAUUUACUUAAGGUUCAUUUGUUAAAACUCGAGUUUUAAUGGAAUUUUAACUUUAAUGCAUAAACCGAGUUUUUAAAUAUGCAUGAAAAGAUACGAAAAUCCUAAGUGCACCCAUGCAUUCAUCUUAUGGAUGUUUCAUAAGAUUAAAAGGUCUUUUGUAUGCGUCGAUCUUGCUUCCAUUGGUCAUUUGAUGAAUUUCUUGGAUGUUCUUUUGAAUUUCCAAACUAAAACAUGAAAUUCUUUUUAAUUCAAACAAAUUAGCAACUUAACCAUGAGUUGUUAUCAUCAAAACAUGAUUAGGAGAACCCUUGGGUUAACAUAUAUCACUAGUAACUUCCUCUCUUAUCCGAUGUGGGAUAUCACAAACACUCCCCAUGCAUACACAACGUCCUCGUUGUGUUCUAUGGGAUUGUAAGGCCAAACAGACAAACACACUUAUAAGGUGAAACAAACCCCCACACCAGGGUUGAGGAUUAACCUUGAUACCAUUUGUAAUGAUUCACAUUCAACUUUGUAGAUAUUUAUAAUGACCCACUUCCAACCCUGUAAAUAUUAUUCGCUUAGGGUUCAAAGAGGCUUUUAUGACUUUAAAACGCGUCUACGUGGUUAAAAGAAUCCUCUAUAUAUAUUAUGCCAUGAACUUUCCCCUUUAUUUGAUGUGAGGUUAAAUGGAUAUGCAGUUUGUUUCAAUUUGUUUUAUGAUGCAUUUCUUGAGGGUUUGUUCUCUAUGUAUUUUUUGUGUUCUCCAUAUUGUUUUUGAUGAUUUUUUUUUGUUUAAUUAAUAGUAUAAAUAACAUAGAAAACAACUUUAGAUUGUUCUUAAUAUGAGAAUAUAGAGAAUAACUUUGAAAACAUGAAGAACAAUGCCAAAUGCCUUUUUCAGUGUUUUUUGUUUUAUAAAAUAAAAAACAAUUUUUGGAAGCACUUUCAAAACAUCCCCUAAGAAUGAGUUAUUUCCAAAAAAUUUUAAAAUAAAAUAAAAAUAUAGAGAAAUUAAAAAAGAACAAAUAAAAUUGAUUAUGAUAUCAUUCUUCUCUUCUCUCCAUGAUCCAAUACCAAUAUAAAAAAAAUCUUCAAAUAUGAUAUUAUUUGGAAUUAGUCGAAUUUAAUUUUUUUUAACUUCUCUAAAAAUUUUCAUUAAACAAAUAAAUUUUAAAUCAAACUAUACUUGAUACAUAAAAUUUAUUAAUUUUUAAAAAUAAUUUAAAACUCAAAAACCGAUUUAAUUAAUACUCCAAAGUCAUGAAACUCAGUAACAUUAGAAAGUCAUGGACUAAAACUCAAUUUGAAUGACUUAAUUAGCUAGUUUCUUCUUUGCAUGUAAUCAUAUUUUGCAAAAUUUCACUAGGAAAAUAAACUUCAAAUGAAGCAACAUUUAAUAUAUUGGAUUCAUUAAUAAGUUUAAUAAUUUUUAAAAAUAACUUGAAACUCAAAUAAUGACCCAAUUAAAACCAGAAAUUUAUAGAUAAAAAUUGAUUUAGAAUGACUUGAUUGUUUCACUUCUCCCUAGAAUCAUUUUUUUAAAUAUUUUUUAUUAGACAAAUAAACUCCAAAUAAAAUAAGACUUAAUGCAUUAAAUGUAUUAAUUGACAAGUUAAGUAAUUUUAAAAAUAAUUUGAAACUUAAAUGGUGAUCCAAUAAAUACCAGAAUUUAUGGAUAAACAUUGAUUUACAAUAAAUACCAGAUUCUAUUAUUUUUGAGUUUUUCUUAAUAUUUUUAUGAUAUUUUUUUAUCAACUUUCAUUCAUUGAUAUUUUUUGUUAAAAUAUCUAUUGAUAUUUUUAUCCGAUAUAUUGGUAAAAUCUAAAUAUCGAUAUAUUCAUAAUUAUCGAUAUUUUCAUAAUUGAUAUUAAUAUCUAUAUUUCACUAAAAACUAUUUAUUUUUUAAUUUACUUGUAAUUACACAAAUAUUUUCAUUUUUAUAAGAAUUGAAUUGAAUUAAAUUAAUAUUAUAUAAAUUGAAUUUACAAUAUUUUAUAAUAUAAAAAAUAAUUUUAUAAAACAACUUAUCCAAGAUUUUUAUUUUUUAAAAUAUGUUUUUAAAAACAACUAACCAAACACACUUAAAUUUAUAAAAUACUAAAAAACUGUUUUUGUUCUUUCUUUAAAACAAAUAGAAUAAAAAAAAUGAUGAAAUAGACCCUGUUUAUUUAUUUAUUUAUUUUGACACACUUCUUCUUAUGUGUUUUUGAAAUAAAAAAAAAAAAUUGAUAGUCACUUCUAUAUAAAAUAAAAAAACUCUUUAGGUCUUAUUUUAGAAAAAUAAUAACUUCUAAAAAUGAUUUAAAAUAAUAGAGAUAUUAAGGUAAGUUUAUAUAUAUACUUUUUAUAUUAAAGUUACUAUAUUUUAUAUAAAAGUUAUCAUUAUUUAUUUUUUUUAAAUAUAGAGUGAGAAAUAUAUCGAAAUGAACACUUAGCGGUAAUUUCAAUAUAUUUCUUAUUUUUUAUUUUUAUAAAUAAAAAAUAAUAAUAACUUCUAGGAGAAGUUUGAAAAAUUACAAAUUAGCAAGUAGAAGAGGAUUAAUAUUACAUCCAUCCCCAUUGACAAAUGAAUGAUUUACCCAUUCACUAGGGUUUCUUUUUAAUAGAAUAUAUAUAACCAGUCAUGAAACAAAUCACCGGUUUUGCUUGGUGGGCUGGGAAUGCCGAUCUUAUCGAUUUAUCUGGUAAAUUAUAAUGAUUUUAAAAUUGAUUAUAAAGAGUUUUAGUAUCCCAAAUUUAAAAUUUUAGAAUUAUUGAAAAAGGGUUUUAAGUACAGAAGAUAAGGAAUGCAUAGCUUGACACUGACAUAGCCGAAAUCCAAACGAAAAACCAUACAGUAAACAAAAAACAACCCUCAAAACUCACGGCCACUCCGGCUGUCUCAUCAUUCUUGUAUAAAUUUAAGUGCAUGUACGUAAUUCUCAACCAGAAAUAUCGAUGGCCUUGACAUCGGGUUUGUUGACCUCUGCCUUGGGAACAGUAACAGUAAGAACACCAUUCUCCAUGGCAGCCUUCACCUCCUCCACCUUCACAUUCUCCGGCAACCUGAACCGCCUCAUGAACUGGCCGCUGCUGCGCUCCACUCGGUGCCACUUGUCAUUCUUCUCCUCCUUCUCAACACUCCUAUCUCCACUGAUCUGCAAAAUCCUCCCUUCCUCAACCUCUACCUUCACUUCCUCUUUCUUUACCCCAGGAAGAUCGGCCUUGAAGACGUGGGCCUCCGGUGUCUCCUUCCAAUCAAUGCGAGUGUUCGCGAACGACGCCGUUUCUCCGGGAACCGAUAGAGCCCCGCCGAUGAAUGGGAAGUCCUGGAAUGGAUCCCACAGGUCGAACAUGUUGUUCCGUCGACCGCCGAAGAAGCUUGGAAUUAAAGACAUUUUCUGAAAGUUUGUCGCAGGAGAGAGUGACGGAACUGGAAUAUUGGAUUUGCGUUCUGAGAUAUCAACACCUGUUGCUAUGGUACUGGUUGAAGAAAGUUCAGAUUCAGAUAUUUAUAGGUGCAGAUGAGGGUAAUUUCGUCAAAUUGUGUAGUGGAUUCUAGAUGCUUCAAGAAGAUAGAGAAGUAUCUAAAGAGACUGGAUAUAGUGCAAUGUUGUCGCGAGUGCAAAUAUCGGAAUACUCGCGACACGGUGUGCUCGAAAUCUCUGGAAAACGCGGGACAGCUACAAAAUCCAUCCUUUCGGAUGGCAGUACACAUGGGCCUAAAGUGGUUAGCCCAUAUCCAUAUUCCGCAAAUCCAAGCCCAGGUUAUAAAUAUCUUAAAAUGCAUGGUAAAAGGGAAGAGUAUGCUUUGACGACUUUAUGUGAAAAUAAUUAACAAUGCAGGCCCCGCUUUCAUCUUCCACCUUAUUUAAAAAGAUAGCCUUACGUGAUCCAUCAUAGGUCAUGUUUAGUAUGCAUCACAUAUAUUAGGACACUUAGCAUGAGAAAUUUAUCAAGACAAUGACAAAUCAUUUAUCUAAUUAGAAGAUAAUGCACUACAACUUUUAUUGGAUUACUCAAAUUUAUGAACUAAUUGUGAACAAUUUAUUUACUUACAAAGAACCUAUGACUUAUAUCAUUUGUGUAAUUUCAAAUGUAUUUAAGUGAUGUACAAUAUAAGAUAUAUGAGCUGAGUGUUUAAAUCAAUAUCAAUGUAUAAAAAGGAUAACAAAGGAACAGUCAAGUCUAACUUUGUUAUAUCAUGUCUUGCUUUUUUAAUCCCAACAUAGACAAUAAUUACCAAUUUAUCACAUGUCUCAUUGAAUAACUCAAUUAUGAAUUUCCAAUUAAAGAUCUUGUGUCACGCCCCAAAACCCGCUUCAAGGGCAUGAUGAUCAUUUCACACUUCAAGCCUAAAGGCUUAGAGUGGAAACAACACAAACAAUCAUAUUACAACUGGAAAUUUACUAAUCACCAAAUUCCUGUUCAGAGUAGUAGAACAAAAAUUCUAAAAUCUCCAAAUAACAAUUUUUGAAACUAACACAUCAAACCAAGUGUUAUUGUACUAAUAACUUCAAACUCAAAUAAUUCCAAUGUAAAAUAAAUUUUAACAUCUAACAAUGCUCAAAAUAAAGGGAGUUUUGACAAAAGUCCUAACAAGCCAAUUUCCCUUCCUAAUUGUAACUCCUCACCCGAACUAAGGGUACCUGAAAAUUAUCUAUAAAGGGGAAUGAACUCAAAACCCAAUAAAGAAUAUUAAUACAACUUCAUGGAUCAAAUAGUUUCAAUCAUGCUUACAAAUAGGAGAUUUAGUGUAAAAUCAUUUUCAUAAGAACGUUUGAGUACAAAUAUGCUAAUACAUUUUAAGGUGUUUAACCAAACAUUUUCCUAUAUAUCACAGUCAUUUCAUAUCCAUUUCAAAUAAAAUACAUUUCAAUUGUUUUCACUUUGGUUAUCAAAUAACAAAUAGUGCCGAAUUAAGUGGGACUUUACAAAUAGGUGGUUAGCCUCAAAUAUUCAUUUUAAGGUGGACGAAAUCAAACACUACUAAUACUAAUAACCUCUAACCAAACCCCUAGAGGAUAAGGUCCAAAUCAAUUACAUUUCUUACCACAAAAAUGUAAAUGUCAACUAUUAUAUUCCAUUGACAAGGGUUAAAAAGUCAACUAUUAUAUCUUAUUAACAAGGGUCAACAAACCAGAGUCAAAUUCUUUAUUUUACUUAAUCCAAUGUACGAAAGCAGAAAAUCCCCAAGUAUUUCGAUAUAAACAAAAUAAAUGUUAUAAGAUAUUUUUCCAUACAAAAAUAUAUUUGAUCCAUGCUUAAAAGCAAAAUUAACAAUUACACAUUUCAAACCACACACACACACCUCAAAAGAAGUCCUCAAAAACCUACUUUUCACCUAACAAAAUAUAAGAGAAAUAAUCAUUACUAUUUAUAUAAAAUUAUAUGUUUAACAAUUCUAAAAUUUUAGGUAUUCAAAUUAAUGUUUUUAAUUAUGAAAGAUAAUUUAAUCUAUUCCUAUUUUAGAAAAAUUAAUAAAUUUCUAAUUCAUAUAAAACUUAAAUUAUAUUUUCAAUUUAUUUAUUUACUUUUUGGGACACAACAUAAUUUAAUUAAACUACAAUUUUUUUCGCUAAUUAAAUUGUUUGCUACUUAUUAACUUAAUAUUUAUAAUUAAUCUAAUUAUAAUACUAUAAAUUUAACUAAUUAAUUUGUACUUCACCUCGUUAAUUAUACAUAGUUAUUUAUACCACUUUCUUAUUUUUUCAAACACAACUACCAUAACAAUCAUACACUCCAUGUACAAAGCAUGCCUCAUUAUUAUUAUCACUUUCAUCAUUCUUCUAUCUUCCGGUUUCCACAUGCAUGCAACUUUUUUUUUUCCAUCGUUCUUCUAUCUUCCAAUUUUCACACGCAUGCAAUAUAUGUAUAUAUAUAUUUUCCAUUGUGACAUAGUUUCAAAACCUAUUUAUUAUUAUUACACACUAUUAGAAAUCAUCCCAUACAUUGAAAUCUUAUAAUUUUUUUUCCACUCCCACAUAUUAUCAUAUAUUUAUUUACUCAUUUAAUUUUUGAAAUUUCAUUGCUUAGAUAUAUUCAUCUAAAAAAAAUUUGAAUUUCCUUAUUUUCAUCAAUAGAAUAACCUAUAUUUCUAAUUUCAAUAUUUUGACCUAAAAGUUUUAAAAUAAAUCAAUCAUAGCCUAAAUCGAAAUUUUCCAAAGAAUUUUUUUUUUCCAUCUAAAAACUUAAGGUUUUCUAAUUUCAAACAAUAAAUCAAAAUCUUAAAUUUUCAAUAUUUUGAUAUUAAAACGAAUUAAAAAAAAACUAACCUUAAUUUAAAUUAAAUUUUUUUCAAAGAAUAACUAGAGUGUUCAGAACUAACUAACGAAUAUAAUAUAUUAAUUUAGGGUUAGAAUCUUACUUGGAAAAAAAAAUAUGAAUUUCAAACUCUGAACCUUUAACCCUUGAGUCCUGCAAUCUCCAAUUCUCUAAUUCUAGUUGAUAGGGUUUUUUGAAUGAAGAAGGCAACAUGAAAAUCUAAUUUAUACCUAGGAUUUUUAAUUGUAAAAGAACUCUUUCACCUUUAAUGAAUUUAAUUAAUUACUUAAUUACUUUAUAAAUUACUAUUUUGCCCCUAUAUUAAAUUUGGGGUGUUACAUCUUGACCUUUUACAUUAUUUUCUUGGAAUGGAGAUUAAAUAUUUUGAUAAAAGAACAUUUCUUUCUCAACAAAAAAUAUAUGCAUGAUCUACUUUCAAGAACUAAAAUGCUUUACAAUAAUCCCAUUGCUACACCUCCAGUUCUUGCAAACAAGCCUUCUUUUUUAGACAAUGUCUUAACCGAUGCUAUUGCUUUCCAAAGUGUUGUCAGAACCCUUCAACUUUCAUGUGGUUGGAUAUUAUUCAUACAAUUAAUUGGGUAUGUCAAUAUUUUUAUAACUUUGUUAUAACUCACUUGAAGGUUGUAAAGUGCAUCUUAAGAUACCUUAAGGGAACCCAAUACUUUGGCUUACGUUAUCUUUCCAUCAAUCUAAUAUCUCUUUAUAGGUUUAGUGAUGCCGAUUAGGUAGGUCGUCCCAUUAUAAGGAGCACCAUCGGUUAUUGUGUAUUUAUUAGAGUGACUUGCAUCUUUUGGUGUUCAAAGAAACAACCAAUAGUUGCUAGCUUGAGUAUCGAGGCAUAAAAUCGCUCUUUGGUCUUUUUCACUAUGGAGUUAACUUGGAUUACUUAUUUGCUAUGAGAUAUUAUCAUAUCCAUCUCUAAACUACUACAAUUAUUUUGCACCAAUGUUAGUCUCUUUACUGGUACAUUAACUUUAUGUUUCAUGUUUGUUCUAAAUAUAUUAAGCUUAAUAAUCAUUUUGUGUGAGAUAAAGUUGUUAUGAACAUUUUUAUGUUUCCACACAUUCUUAACUUGCGGAUAUUAUUACCAAAUCUUUAUCACAUGAUGUCUUUAUUAUGUUUUGUGACAAGCUAAACAUCCAUAUUCAUUCAUACUCUAAUUUGAGGGGCAUGCUAAACGAUUUAGGAUAAGAACACACACAAAAAUGUAAGAGCACUCUCAUUAAUAUUUUCAUAAAUAUAAAAAAAUCAAAUAUUGAUAAUAUUUGAUUUUUACAAUACUUGAUUCUCCUAAUUUUAGGAUAUUUUCCUAUAUGUAUUUUUGUUAGGAAUAUGUUUUAUUUCUUUCAUCGUAUACUCAUCUAUAUUUUUGGACGGAAGAAAUAGAAAUUAUAACUUCCAUUAUCAAAAUACACCAAGCUUUACAUUCUAAUGAUUGGAAGUAUUUUUAAUUUAAUUUAACUUUUUUAUUUUUUAAAUAGGUAUUUGUCAGUUUUUUAAAAAUCAAUAUAAAAUUUUUCAUAAAAUACACCAAGCUUUACAAUCUAAUGACUGGAAGUGUUUUUAAUUAUUUAUUUAAUUUAAUUUAACUUUUUUAUUUUUUAAAUAGGUAUUUGUCAGUUUUUUAAAAAUCAAUAUAAAAAAUUUGAAAAUUUACUUGAAAUGAUUUUGACAAUUACUUGAUAAGUGAUUAUUGAUAUAUCAAUAAAAAAUAAUAUCAAAAUAUUUUUUAUUUUAUAUUAAAUAAUAAGGAUUCAUUUGAAUACAUUUCUUUAUUGAUUUAAAUUUUAUUUUCUAUUUUUUCUUUCUUUAUCUAUAUAACAUUUAUAAUUAUUUAUUUUUUAUUAUUAAGGAAUAGUUGACUGGUACAUAGUUUGACACUGACAUAGCCCAAAAUUCAAAAGAAAAAUCAUACAGUAGGGCAAAACCCUCAACACCCUCGGCCGCUUACAUCAUUCAUUUAUAAGUUUAUGUGAAUGUAAUUCUCAACCAGAAAUAUCGAUGGCCUUGACAUCAGGUUUCUGGACCUCAGCCUUGGGAACAGUAACUGUAAGAACACCAUUCUCCAUGGCAGCCUUCACCUCAUCCACCUUCACAUUCUCCGGCAAUCUGAACCGCCGCAUGAACUUGCCGCUGCUGCGCUCCACUCGGUGCCACUUGUCAUUCUUCUCCUCCUUCUCAACACUCCUAUCUCCACUGAUCUGCAGAAUCCUCCCUUCCUCAACCUCCACCUUCACUUCCUCUUUCUUUACCCCUGGAAGAUCGGCCUUGAAGACGUGGGCUUCCGGGGUCUCCUUCCAAUCAAUGCGAGUGCUCGCAAACGACGCCGUUUCUCCGGGAACCGAUAGAGCACCGCUGGUGAAUGGGAAGUCUUGGAAUGGAUCCCACAGGUCGAACGUGUUGUUCCGUCGACCGCCGAAGAAGCUUGGAAUUAGAGACAUUUUCUGAAAGUUUGUCGCAAGAGAGAGUGACGGAAUUGGAAUAUUGAAUUGCGUAAUAAGAAAUCAACACCUGUUGCUAUGGUACUGGUUGAAGAAAGUUCAGACUAAGUAAGAUAUUUAUAGUGGCAGACGAGGGUAGUUUCGUCAAAUUGUGUAGUGCAUUCCGGAUGCUUCAAGAAGAUAGAGAAGUAUCUAGAGAGACCGGAUAUAACGCAAUGAUGUCGCGAGUACAAAUAUCGGAAUACUCUGGUGUUGCUCGAAAUCUCUGGAAAACGCGGGACAGCUGCAACAAUCAUCUUUCGGUGAUCGUACACAUGGGCCUAAACUAGUCAGCCCAGGUCCAAAUUCCAUAAAUCCAAGCCCAAAUUGUAAAUAUUUUUAAAUAGCCCUUCUAAAAGGAAAAAGUAUGCAUUCAGGUCUUUUUGUGAAAAUAAUUAAUAAUGCUGGACAACUUAUUUGAAAAACGACACCUCUUACGAACCAUCAAAUAGUUACUUAAGAGGUUAAUUUAAAGUUUAAAAUAAAAUUUUACUUUUUUUUGGCUAUCAUAAAAUUAUUCUAUAAAUAGUGGUGAUAAAUUAAAAAAAUUAAAUAAUUUUAAAGACAACUUAAGUGUUAAAGUAAUUUAGAGCCUCUGUAGUAUAUGAGUAAAAACAAUUUUUUGAUGUUAAAAAUGGGAAGUUAUUUUUUAAAAAUUCAAAACAUUGGACGACUAAUAUUCUACAUUUUCAUAUUAUAAAGCAAAGUAAAAUAGAUAAUAAUUUUUAAUAAAUAAAUAAAUGAUGUUUUCACUUGUUUUUUAAAAUAUAGAAAAAUAAAAGAAAAUCAUAAAAAGAAACAAAUAAAAUUGAAUAUGAUAUUCUUCCUCUUUUCAUUUCAUAAUCCAAUACCAUUAUAAAAAAUCUUUAAAUAUAAUAUUAUUUUGAAUUACGAAUUUUAAUUUUUUUUAACUUCUCUAAAAUCUUUCAUCAAGGAAAUUAAUUUCUAAAUCAAACUAUACUUGAUUUGUUAAUUCAUUUUAAAUUACUUGACUAGUUUUUUUUUUUUCAUAUAAUUAUAUUUUUAUAGAUUUUUUUCACAAGAAAAUAAAUUCCAAAUCAAGCAAUACUUAAUGCUUUAGUAAUUUUUAAAGAUAGAACGAAACUCAAAUAGUGAUAAAACUAAUGCUUUUAUGGACAAAAAUUGAAUUAGAGUAAAUUAUUUAUUGUUUUUCUUCUUCAUAAAAUCAAGAUGUUAUAGAAUAAUGUAACCGUAGUUAAGUAAAAUGUGUGAAUAUAAUAAAAAACUUGGUUCAUUUAUAUUUUAAAAAUUUUAUUUUGUUUUAGAUUUAUUUUAAAUAAAAUAUUAUUAAAAAUUAUUAUCCUUCAUUUUUAAUAUCCAUAUUUUUCUAACAUAUACUAAAAUAGUAUUUUUUUAAAAAUAAUAUAAUUUAUGACUUAUUAUAAUAUUGCUAUUCAUAUUUUAAUAAAAAAUAUUUAUUUUUAAAUUUAUUUGUAAUUACAAAACUAUUUUCAUUUUUAAUAAGCCCCGAAUUAAAUUUAAUUAAUGUUAUAUAAAUUUGUUAGCCCAAGGGUUCUCCUAAUUAUGUUUUGAUGAUAACAAACCAUAGUUAGGUUACUAAUUGGUUUAAAUUAUAAAGAAUUUCAGGUAUUAAUUUGGAAAUUCAUCAAAGGACUUAAUGGAUGCAAGAUUAAGACUUUUGAAAGACCUUUUAAUUAUAGGAAACAUAUGUAAGAUGAAUGCAUGGAUGUACUUAGGAUUUUCAUAUUAUUUCAUGCAUCUUUGAAAAUUCGGUUUAUACAUUAAAGUUACAUUUUCAUCAAAAUCCGAGUUCUAUUAAAUGAACUUUAGGCAAAACGUUUCAAAAUUAACCUAUUAUUUUACCUAAACACCUUUGUCUAAGUGCUAGAAGCAAAAAGAUAAGAAAAAAGAUAGGUUUUCUGGCCAAAAAUGGUGAACCGAUCGAGACAUUGGCUAAUCGGUUAGGGUACUGGUUGACCGGUUACUCUUUCCCGGUCGAGGUUCGAUUGAGAGAUGAAAAAAACUUUCUCUCUCUUCCAGUAGCCUUUCUUUCUCGGUCGAGGGAUUUGUCUUCCUGGUCAAGGUCCGGUCGAGGGUAACGGUCACUUGUCAAGCAUUUAAUACUCCAACAACUAGUAAACCGAUCGACCCCCAGCUCAACCGGUCAAUGCUACUUUUUGAUUUUUUGGCUCCCGAUGUUAGAAAUCUAUAAAUUGAGAGUUUCAAUUCAUUUAUGUGUAAGAGAACACCUGCAUUUAUCUGUUUACCUACUUGUUCUUGCCAUAAAAGCUCUCAUUAUUUUCUUAGUGUAUUAAAUCUCUAUUUGCAUAUUCUUUAGUUCACCUUUGUGAUUCAUCCUAACCUUUAGUUGUAUUUGAGUCAUUGUUGAGUUAGGUUGAAAGAUUCAAACUUGUUAAUUGAGUAUUAAAACCUUCAAAUGAAUAGAGACUUGAAGAGAUUGUGUAAGAGGCCAUUAGAGUCGGAAUUCAAGUAUAAAAAAUGAUUAAAAGCUUAGUUGAAGUUUCAAGUAUAAGUGGAACCCUUAUUCGGUUAAUAGUUUGAGGAGAAUGGAUGUAGGCAAGAAAGUGUCAAACCAUUAUAAAUCUGAGUUUGCUUUCUGUAACCUUAUCUAUUUAUAUUUGUACUUUUUGUGCUUAAUUUUAUUAUAUUUAAUUUUUUUUUAAAACUCUAAUUCACCCCUCCUUUCUCGGGUGUAUUUAUCUACUUAGAUUAGUCCUUUAUUUUUCUCAAAAUUGAAUUUAUAAUAUUUUAUAAAAUCAAAAUAAAUAAUUAUUUUUAAAAACAACUUAUCUAAAUAAGUUUUUAUUUUUUAUUUUUUGAAAAAUGUUUUUAAAAGCAAGUAGCUAAACACCCUUAUUUUCAUGCUCUUUUUUUAUUAUUUUAUGCUUUUUAUUUUUAUUUUUCUUCCUUUAUCAUUUUAAAAAAAUAUUUUCUUUUGUCGCUUUCACACUAUGUACCUUAUUUUACAAAUAAUCUCUCCCACAUAUCUUCAAAUAGUUACUUAGGCAUGUUAAUUUUUUUGCUUUUUAACUUACGUCUUAAAGCAAGUUGAUUUAAUACUUAAGAUAGAAUUAAAAAAAGAUUUAUAUUUUUUAUUAAACAAAAUUGUCUUAAAAAAAGUGAUAAAUUAAAAAUAAACAAUUUUAAAUGUGACUUAAAUCUUAGAUAAAGAAAAAAGUAAUUGGAUAUUUAACAUUAUUAAGUUAAAGAAAGAAAGAAAAAAAAAAGAAAUUUGACAUCUAAGUCUUUAUUCUAAAAUCGUUUUUUUUUACUUGCUUUAUAAAUUCUUUUAGUAUAUUAUGAGAAAUGUUAAGGACAAUUACUAUGAGUGUAAGGAAAAUCGGAAAAAUUGUUAAACUGAUUUAAAUCAAUCAAAAUUGAUCAUAAUGGUCCGAUUUUCAAUAAUUAAAAAGUUCAGUUUGGUUUUAGAAUUUUGAAAAUUGAUCUUGUAGGUUCAAUUCUCCAUUUUCUUGUCUCUUAACUAAUAAAAACGGAACUAAAUUGAUAUUCUAAAAUUUAUAUAUAAUUAUUUAACAUUUGAUAAGUUUUUUAAUAUUAAAUUCUACUAAAGUAAUUAAUUGCUUCUUAACAUCAAAUUCAACUUGGUUUCAAUUAAUUUUAAAAACAAAUUAGACUUAGAGCUUAAUAUAAACUCAAAUUAAUAGGUUUUAGGUUCAAAUUAAAUGCAAAUCUACAACUGAAUUUAGGACUAAAAAACCCAUUAAAUUAAGUCAAAAUUGAUCUAUGGAAAUCGAACCAAAUUGAUCUUAGAAGAUUUGAGUUAGUUUGAUUUUUCACUCUAAAUCUGAUUGGUUCGGUUUUUAUGACAUAUAAAACCUAUUAUAUAGAUUUGGUUCAUUUUUUACUCAAAAAUUGACCAAAUUAAUUUUAUUUAUACCCCUUUUAAUUACCUUUUUUUUCUUUACCUUUAUUUUUUAAAAUAAAAAUAAAAAUGAACUUCCUUAUCAUUCUUAUUUCCUUGUUAAUUUUUAUUCUUCUCUCAUGUGACAUAUCACACACCAUUGUCGUCUUUUUUUGUUUUUUUUUUCUUACUCUUUCUCUAUCUAGUUUUGAUUUCUUAUUCUCUCUUUCCAUCUAUUUUUAGUUAAAUAAAAAUCGAUGAGGUGGUAUUGUUGCUCACUAUUUUUUUUCUUUUAUGUUUUAGUUAAAAAAAUUGAAAAAAUGAAGAGGAAGAGAAGAAAACGAAGAAAGAAUGAAAGAGAAGAAAAAAAUUAAAAAGAAACAAAGAAGAAAAAAGGAACAAAAAACUAGAAAUACCCAUAAGAGUUUUGGAUGAGAUAAGAAGGAAGGGGAGGGUAUUUUUACCUUUUUCAUACUUAAAUUUUAUUAGAAUAUAUAUAUAUAUAUAUAUAUAUAUAUAUAUAUAUAUAUAUAUAUAUAUAUAUAAUGGUGAUGACUGUGAAGGUAUUCUUCCUCCAAUAAGAAGAUCCAAGUAAUCAUCAGCCUUAUGUCCUUCUACCAACAAGAGUAUUAUCAGCCAAGCAUUUUCAACACCAAAAACAGUAAGCAUGUGACAACACAGUCCAAAGUAGCUUGUUAGCCUUCUUUUCAACCGAAAGAAAGAUUCUCGAUGAAAAUGUCAAAAGUGCUACAGUAUCAUCUUUUACUGUUCACUAUUCACUAUUCAUGCACAAGAUUACUAUUCAUAUCAGUUAGUAAAAAAGAAAACAGUGCUUUGUCCCAUCUUUUUGGCUAUUUAAGGAGGUUUGAUCCUCAUUUGUAAGCAUCCUUUAAUUUUUCAUUUUUCUCUCCCAAGCUUAUGCUCUCCCUUCUCUUUUCUUUCUCUCUCAAUAUGUAAGUCUUCCAAGCCCCAAGCUUUCUUCAAAGCUUUCCUCCCUUCUCCUAUUGUAAGAUAUUCAUCUCCUUAUGUAUCUAUAUUUUAUGUUAUACCUCCUAUGAUGGAUGAUUUUUAAGCUAUGUAAAUUUUCAAGUUUGUUUUAUGUUUUCUGUUUACCUCCUAUCAUGGAUGAUUUUAAAUUUAUGUAAUUAAAAGUUUGUGGUUCAUUCUCUUUAAAUUUCUUAUUAUUUAUCUUGUGUAAUUUCUAACUUCUCUUUUUUGUUUUGAAUUUUGACAUAAUUCCUGUUUUCAUUGCAUAUGAUAUUGUCCAGGGUGUCUAUGGUAUCAAAACAAAGAAGAGGAGUUAGAAAAUACACAAGAUAAAUAAUAAGAAAUUUAAAGAAAAGGAACCACAAACUUUUAAUUACAUAAAUUUAAAACCAUCCAUGAUAGGAGGUAAACAAAAAACAUAAAACAAACUUGAAAAUUUACAUAACUUAAAAACCAUCCAUCAUAGGAGGUAUAAUAUAAAACAUAGAUACAUAAAAAGAUGAAUAUCUUACAAUGGGAGAAUGGAGGAAAACUUUGAAGAAAACUUGAGGCUUGAAAGGUUUAUAUGUUGAGAGAGAAAGAAGAGAGAAGGGAGAGCAUAAGGUCGGAAGGGAGAGCAUAAGAAGGAGGAUAUAUAUAUUAUUCUACUUUUCAUAAUAAAUUUCUCUCACUCUCAUCUUUAUAUUAUAUAUAUUUUAUUUUACAAAUAGUCCAUCUAGAGAUUAUUUAUUUUCUAAUUUAAGUCUUAAACUAAGUUGCUUUAAGAUUUAACAUACAAGUGAAAAAAAGUUAUUGUUUCUAUUAAGAUCAAAUUUUCUUAGAAAAAGUUAUAAGUUAAAAAACAAAACAUUUUAAACAUGACUUAAAUGUUAGAACAACUUGUUUUAAGACUUAAGUAAAAAAGAAAUAAAAAUUUAAUAUUUAAUACUAUUAAUUCAAAUUAAAUAAAAUUAAAAUUUAUUUAUAUUUAAUAUAAAAAAAAUGCCUAACUUAUUCUUUAUUUCAAAAUUGACCUUCUCUCUUACUUUAUCAACACUCCUACCAUAUCAUGAAAAAUUAUGAAAACUCACAUCUUUUGUCUUUUCACUUUUCACCCUUAGUUUUUUUCAAAUAAAAAUAAAAGUUAAAAGGGCAAUUUUAUUAUUUUCUUAUUGUAUUCUCGCAACGCACCAAAAUGCGAGCUCUUUUUAUUCCGAUCCCCGAUGCUUAAUCACAUGUCACUGUUUUUGGUCGGUCGUGUCUAUUCAUGGGCGUAUUUGACUGAGUGGCCAAGCACUCACCCAGAGCUCAAUGGAGAACUCAAGAGGAACCCGGUUGCAACAAAGCAAAGGUCGCCGACUGGUCCUUUUUCCGCUCCCCUUGAAGGGUCACCUCAACCCCAUGCUUGAGCUUGCAAACAUUCUUCACUCCAAAGGCUUCUCCAUCACCAUCAUCCACACUCACUUCAACGCCCCCAACUCCGAUGACUACCCCCACUUCACUUUUCACCCAAUCUCCGAUGGGUUGUCAGAAGGUGAAGCUUCCACCGGAGAUAUUCUACAUCUUCUCUUGUUACUUACUGUCAACUGCGUGGAGCCGUUUAGGGACUGCUUGGCUCGGUUGCUAUCGAAUGUUUCGGAGGAGCCGGUUGCUUGCUUGGUCGCAGAUGCUAUAUGGCACUUCAGUCGACUCGUUGCGGACAGCCUUAAGCUGCCAACGAUUGUGUUGCGAACCAGCAGUGCCUCCUCCUUUCUUGUUUUUGGUGCCUUUCCACUUCUACGGGAAAAGGGUUACCUCCCUAUACAAGGUAUGUGAGUUUUAGUUAGGAUUAAUCUUCUUGUCUCUGUGUGCGAUUUGCGUUUGUCCAAAACAACAUCUGAUCUCUACGGUUUGGCUGCUGAGAAGAGGUGAGAAAAAUAAAAGAUAGGAUUCAUUUUUUUGAGCUGAGAACAGAACGUCUGCUUUAAAGAGACCUUUUCAUUUCUUAGCAAGAGCGCUUGAAGGUAUAAAAAAGAACUUCUGAUUUAGGGCCUGUUUGGAAAACCGUACGUUUUCUAGCCUGAUUGGAAAAAAGUUUCGAACUUCGAAAAUUGGUUUGUAAAAUUUUAACAGGAAUAUAUAGAAGUAAAAAAAAGAACAAAAGAGAAACUUUACCCUUUCCUGUUCCAUUGCACUUUCUCCUCUUCUUUUCUUUAACUUUUUUUAUUUUUUAUUUUUUUGAUAUCUCAGAUUCUAGGCUAGAAGAGCCACUGCAAGAGUUUCCUCCCCUCAGAAUCAAAGAUAUUCCAGCGAUCAAUACAUGCGAGCUGGAAGCUUUUUAUCAACUAGUGGCAGCAAUGGUCAAUGAAAGUAAGGCCUCCUCGGGGAUCAUUUGGAAUUCCUUUGAAGACCUUGAACAAUCUGCACUAGCCACAAUCCACCAAGACUUUCAUAUCCCUAUCUUCCCUAUAGGCCCAUUUCAUAAAUAUUCACCAACUUCAACUACCUUAUCAAUCCAAGACCAUAGCUCUAUUGCUUGGCUAGACACACAAGCACCCAAUUCUGUGGUCUAUGUGAGCUUUGGGAGCAUUGCAGGAUUGGAUGAAACUGAUUUUAUAGAGAUGGCUUGGGGACUAGCCAACAGUAAACAACCCUUCUUAUGGGUGGUUCGACCUGGGUUCAUCCGUGGCUCAGAAUGGCUUGAACCACUGCCAAGUGGGUUCCUAGAGACCAUUGGUGGAAGGGGACACAUUGUGAAAUGGGCUCCUCAACAUGAAGUUCUGGCUCAUCCUGCUGUUGGAGCAUUUUGUACUCAUAGUGGCUGGAAUUCCACGUUGGAGAGUAUUAGUGAGGGAGUCCCUAUGAUUUGUUUGCCUUGUUUUUCUGACCAAAAAGUAAAUGCGCGGUAUGUAAGCCAAGUUUGGAGAGUUGGGGUGCAAUUGGAGAAUGGCCUGAAAAGAGGGGAAAUAGAAGGGGCAAUCAGAAGACUAAUGGUGGAGAAAUCAGGGCAGGAAAUAAGAGACAGAUGCAUUUCCCUGAAGGAGAAGGCAAAUCUUUGUCUAAAGCAAGGUGGUUCUUCAUACCAAGCCCUUGAGGACUUGAUUAGUUACAUCUCAUCCUUUUUCUUCCAGUUUGAAGCAACUUCUUCAUGAUUACUGGAUGGUCUUUUAUAAUUGUUGUAGCGUAUUCUCUUGAAGGAGGUGUCCGAAUAAGCUGGUCAUUAGCUAGAUUUUCUAUUUUUCCUCAAAUUGUGACUGUUCUGCACCCACAUUGGUUAUCAAAAUAAACCACUAAAAUUGUGGAGUUUACAUGCACCGGAGAAAGGGCGUUUGCUAAUAUUUCCUGAUCAUGGAUUCAUGGUAUCAUUGCGAAGUAAACUAGUUUAAUGCACUGUUACCAGUCAACAAAUUUUAGAAAACCAUAAAACUUACACGUGAGGGAAAAAUGUGGUAAAUGGCAAUCGAAAGCCCCAAACCAUAUUCUGUUUGCUAGACGCUAUUGUGUGACCCCCCAGUAAACACAGUAUAAAAAACUCCACUUUUCAAAAAAUUAUAUAGCAUCGCAGUAACGAUUAAUCAAUAAGAGAAGCAAGUCAAAAAGCACUUUGGGAAACAGAUCAUUUUAGCCUCCUGUAUUUAUUGGAUUUUGUUUGUUCCAUUGAAGCCAGGGCCAAUUCGAACGCAGCAGAAACUGGUCCCAAUCCUCAUAAAUAAUAGGCACCGUUUGCACCUAACUCCAAUUAUGCCUCCAUAAUUGUCUACUCACUAGGCCAAGUUUUCUGGGAAGAUCUAGACAGCUUCGAAACUGAGAGAACACCCAGCCAAGCACCAAGGAGAACUCAAGAGAAACCCAUCAACAGAAGAAGGGUUUCCGACUGGUACUGCUUCCACUGCCCCUACAAGGUCACCUAAACCCCAUGCUUCUUCUUGCAAAUAUUCUGCAUGCUAAAGGCUUCUCUAUCACCAUCAUCCACACCCACUUCAACUCUCCCAACCCUGCCAACUAUCCCCUCUUCACCUUCCAUUCAAUCCCGGACGGCUUGUCUAAAACCGAAGCCUCCACCGCAGAUGUCAUAGCUCUCCUCUCACUCCUCAACAUCAACUGCGUCGCGCCUUUCCGGGAUUGCUUGUCUCAGUUAUUAUCUAAUCCUUCAGAGGAGCCUAUCGCUUGCUUAAUCACAGACGCUGUAUGGCACUUCACCCAGGCUGUUGCCAACAGCCUUAAGCUCCCUAGGAUGGUGUUACGCACCAGUAGUGUCUCUUCAUUUCUUGCUGUUGCUGCCAUGCCAUAUCUGCAGAAAAGUGGGUACCUCCCCAUAAAAGGUGAGUUUCUAAUUGAGUAAUUCCAUGAAACCAUAAUUACAACCAUUCAACAGACACAUAUGUACACUGUUUUAUGCCCUUAGGCUUGAGCUGGUCUAAUCAUCAGUCAGUGAUCAUACACAUCAAGGGAUAAAUAUAGGGAAAGUUGUGUUUUAGGGUCCUUAUUUAAAAAAAAUAUGAUAUUUAAACCCCAAGUUUUUCAAAUAUGGAAAGCAGUCAUUAAUGGGCAAAAUAAUAUGAGAUUUGUGUACUCUGUGCUGAGUCAAUUUUAUCUUCCAAAAAUGCCCUCAAUGUCUUAUGCAUCAGCAGCCAAAUAGCCUCCAUGUCAUACUUAAAAAAAAAAAUUGUGAAAAUUGAUAAUUUCUUAAAAAAACCACCCGACCCGACUUUUGGUGUCCCUUUCUCUCUUUCUCUCAUUUUAGUAAAAAAAAACCUUAAGUCAAAUGACAUCUAACUUUGCUCUCAGUAGCCCUAAAUCUGCCUUUUAGUUUGGCAACAACCAAAUCUAAGAUUUUCCCUAAGCCAGAAUCUCAAAAACUUGCCAUUUCAGAAGGUUAUUUCAAAUCUGAAUCAGCCAAAACCUUCACGUCCAACAAACCCAACUGAUACACAUCUUCCUCGAAUCUCAAACUUCUCUGUUUUUCUCUUAACAUCCCGAUUAGUCGAACGUGUUUGUCUCUAAACGUCUGGAGUAGCUGAAACUGAUACCCAUCUUCCCAAUACGUUGAAGUAAACCAAACAGGAGACAUAUCUUGUUUUUGCAUCAUCGAAGUUGGAAUUCUGUUCAGGUUUCUCAAAACGAAACUGAAAUUUUCCCUCUUGUGCGUGUUUUCCGAGUAAUCAAUCACAGGUGAGUUUUCAUUUACGGGUUUGUUUGGAUGAUGCGGAUAUCUUAGGGUUUGAAGUGUUUUAUUUUAGGGUUUCUUAUAUUUACUUCAUUUUCUGUAGAAUGAAAUAUAGGAUAAAUUAUUUUUGGUUAAAGAUAUGUUCGUAUUUAGAAAAAAUAAAUUAUUAUUAUUAUUAUUAUUAUUAUUAUUAUUAUUAUUAUUAUUAUUAUUAUUAUUAUUAUUUAUUUUUAAAUAUUUUUUUGGCUUUCCAGGAAUUCUGUUGUCAUUAGAUUUUUAGGGAAAUUGGUUCAUUUGUAUUACUACUAGUUGAUGGAAAUUUUCUUUCAAUUUUAAUGGUAUAUAUGAGAGUUACUACUAAACCCUAAACAUAUUAUUUGCUUGGUCGUUUGUCAUUGUUAUUGCUUUACUAAAUUUGAAUACCGAUUUCAUUGUGUGUAUGUUGUUAUUAUUUUGUCCUUUGUCUUUGCAUGAUAGAAUUGAAUGUAUGUUGUUAUUGUUAUUGUUUUAUGAAUUUGUCACAAAUUUGGGAAGAAAAAUAAGUGACAGCAUUGUGAAGUGUUGGUCAUGCCUUACUUUAUUUGCAGAUUUUAUUUAUUUUUGAAUCGUUUAAUGUGUUGUUGAGGUAAGAAUUGGUAAGCAUUUUUUUUGAGUUAUGUUUUGGGGACGACAUUACAUUCCUAAGUCUUUAAAUUUGAGAUGAGUAUAGUUUUGUAUUUAUCUUUUUAUGAGUGGAAAAUUGUAUUGUAUCUAUGCCAUAAAAUUAUUCUCAAAAACGCUAACCAAAUAGUAUAUUUGCUUUGUGGGAAGUAAUUGUUGAUGACAUGAACAAACUGAAAAUGGUUUGUUAGGGGCAGUGAUCAUAAUUAUGGCUUUAAUAUAUUCCACAUGUGUUGCUAUAAUGUACAGUGAAAAAAAAAUUUGCCUUAGUGGAGAUACAUGGUUUUUUUUUUUUUUUUUUUUUUUUUGUGGAUGCCAUGGUAUUAAGAUGUUUUAUUUUCUUGGGAAGUGUACAAUCUCAUCAGAAUUGUUAUUUCCUAACAAAAUAAGUUUUCCUAGGCAUUUGCUAUUGCUGUUGGUCCUACCGUUGCUGAUCAUUCUAUUCACUUUCUGUACUUUGCAUAGUCUGCGACUAACAUUGAAUACCUUGAACACAUUCCUCACUAAUAUAUAGAUGGCCACUGUUCGACGGAAAAAAAAAAAACACCUCCCAGCUACAUGUAGCCAGGUUGCCAACAAAAUACAUUUUGUAAACUGAAUUGAAAUUUUUUUAAUUUUUUUAUUUAUUUCCCCCUAUAUUGAUAUGUUUUGAUACUGAUAGAAAUUGCCCACUGACUGCAGGUGAAACUGCCAAAAUCACGGUGUUCUGGCAAAAAAUUCAUUUCAGUCAUCGCGAGGCUUCCCGAUGAUAAACGAGACGCCAUUAUAGAAAUGGGAUUUGGAGGACUUCUACACUUGGCUUGUCGAGAACUACGCUACGAGUUGUGUUCUUGGAUAAUUUCUAAUUAUGACACUGCCUACCAUCAACUGAAUAUGGCUACCGGCGUUGUUGUCCUGGUAACAACACAAGAUGUCGGCAAUAUUAUGGGCAUCCCAUGUAGUGGUGAGGAGAUUGUGGUGCAUACUAGGAGAGGCACCUCUAAUCGCACCUACACCAUAAGUCUAUUGGAGCAAAAUCUAGAGAACUUGGCCAUUGGUGAUGACUUUAGGAAGACUUUCUUGAUUUUUGCAUGUGCCACCCUACUUGCACCUAACUCCAAGCUUGAAGGAAUACAUGACCUAUGGGACACCAUAUGGGACGGUGACGUUGGUGUCCAAAAGAAUUGGUCAAAAUUUGUCCUACAUUACAUAGAGGACGGAAUCAGAGAAUACCAGAAAAACCAGCCAACUUACAUACGCGGCUGCCGUAUUUUUCUCCAGGUACAGUUAAUACUUAAUGAAUCUAUUGUUUUAAUUAUGUCUACUACAUUAUCUCAUUUUAAUGUAGUUUCAUUUAAAUUAUAAUUUAUUUUAAACCGUAUUCAAAGAUGUUGUUGAAUGUGUUUCAACUAUUACAUUUUCCUGUCAUUUCACAGCUCUUCUACAUGACAAAAUUUUAUUUGCCAUCCGUCACGGUUGAUGUCACUAUGCCAUUACUUGCUGCAUGGAGUGAUGACCUAAUCAAAAGACGGUUAUCAGCUAAAAUUGCCACAUUUGGUGGUUAUGGUCAUGUCCAUGUAAGGUCCAAUUGUACACUUCUUUCGUUAUAAAAAAUUUCUUAUCCAUGUUAUCUCCAUAUUUAAAAAAAUAUAUUCUAAUUUUUGUUUAACGACCCUUUCCAGACUCAACAACUACCAGAAUCUGCUGCCCACUCCCAUGCACAGGCAGUAGGUGGGCAGUCCUCGGCUUCUGAUGAUGCUACUGAGGUAGUAAAUGUCUUCAUUGAUAGCCAAGUUCACAUAUGCAUAGUUGUACUACAGUAAUGCAAUUUUUUCGCCUCAUUCCAGUCAUUGAUUUUUUGUUUAAAAUUUUUUCCUCCCCAUCUUAGGUAAUUCAAGCACGUAUGGUAGAAAACUCAGAAAAAUCGUUGAGAUUAGCCUCUUCAUUAGCUAAAGAUGUUGCUGAAUUGCGUUCCCGUCAGUUUGGGUCGCAAUACCGAUGUUCAGCUACUCCAACCCAGCCUUCAGCCCAAGUCCAAGAUGAACCAGCUCCUACGACAGGCGACAUUCAGCUUUCAACUGAAGAAUUUGUUGAACAACCCAGCCUACCAUCAGCACCGCAUUCUCCAACUGAAAGACAUGAAUCUUUAUUUGACCAUGGACCCUCAUCGCUACACCAAGAAUCUCAUGACCAAUCCUAUCCUUACCCACACUUGGAAAGUGUAGAAGAUGUCCAAAAUGUUGGCACAAUAGCUACUCACAGCCAUUUAGACAUACCAACCUCAAGUCACAAAUAUAAACGGACGGGUAGGCGGAUUGUGAAAAGGCCUGCCAUUUGUAAAUCUCCAUUUGUUGCACAAUGCCUUAAACUGUUCCCAAAAAUAUCACAUAAGGAUAGGUUGGUAGCUGAUUUUGCUUUGGACGAAGAUGCUGAUCCAAGGUAGUUUUUGAAUUUCAUUUGCAACCAUAUUUAAUGUGCAUAAAUAUGCCUCUAUUGCAUGAUUUAGCAUAAUCCUUUAUGACAUUUCAGCGAGGUUGUAUGUGAUAUGCACGGACUGUUUAUUACGAGGGCCGAGCUCGCUUCUCUUAAUGGAGGUCGAUGGGUGAACAACAUUGUAAGCUACUAAUCCUCCAAUUUCCUGAAUACCCAAUUCACAUUAUUUUUUUCCAAUAAUAGAUGCUUUAAACUUGGCUAAUAAUUGAGUACCGAAUUUUUUUUUUUCCAGAUUAUUGGUGUUAUGUCUCGCAUGUUGAAUGCUAACCAACCACAUCCACGACGCUGUCACUACUUCGAUCCUUCAUUUUCGGUACACACUUUUCUAGACUUAUUUAUUACAUUAAGUAAAAGUAAAUUGUAUUCGUUUAUGUUAUUAUUAACUAAUCCCCAACUUGAACAGGUUGUUCUUGCUAGUCUUUUACCGAAAGCCAGAAAAGAAGAAAUACUUGACAGAUCACGCAUGUUUCUUCAAGCUGACAUAGUGGGACACGAUGUAGCGUCCUGUGAAAUGGUACAUUAACAUACUCCUUUCAUAGCUACCUAACAGUGUGGCUUAUAUCUAUCAACAUAGACCCUAACAAUUCAAUUGUUGAUAAUGUAGUUGUUCAUUCCCGUAUGUCAGAAUAACCAUUGGCACCUUCAUGUGCUGAACAUUCCGGCUGGCCGUAUCGAGAUCCUUUCUAGUCUGCCACUAUGAAGAGGGAACUACAUUAGUGCUUCCACUAGGCGAUUGCCAAUGGCUUUGGAGAGAGCAUUGCAUGCACAUGGAAUUCAUGUGAAUGUGGAGGUUUCAAAAUUGGUCCAUGUACAGCCAGAUCUAGUGCAACAAAAAAAUGGGUAAAUUUUGUUGUGAAUGACAGUUUUGGUUGCAAUAAAGUUGUAGUUAAAAUGCGUUAGACGAUUGAUGUAUGUGUAUGAUAAUCCAAAUGUUAUGGUCUUCUAGGUAUGACUGUGGUAUUUUUGCACUCAAGUACAUGGAAUAUUGGAAUGGGGCUACCUUAACACAAGCAGUUGCAGAGGUUAGUGUUGCGUUACAACAUGUUUUAAUCAUAUCUUCCAAUUUUGUAUACACUUGCAAAUAAUUUUUAAUGUUAUUUGUAGGAGAAAAUGCAUGUUUACAGGUUGCAAAUGGUUGUGACAUUGCUCCUUAAUGAAGCCAACAAUGUUAGGGGAAAUAUUAUACAGGCAUGUGGAUUGUGAGAGGUUAUCGGACCGGAAAAUGUCAAAAUAAGGUAUUUCGUAGAAUGACACCUAGUUUUGCAUUUGUAAGUAGUGAAGUUAGUUGUGUUAUCCCUUUAAUUUCCUUUUCUGAUCAUUUUGAUGAAUUUCAGCCAUGUCAAGCUAUUUAUUCAUGACUUUAAGUUACAAAGUUAAUAAAGGUAAGUUUUGUUUUUGGACAAGAAUGGACAAUAAUUUGCAUAUUAACAAAUUGGAGAAAAUGGAAGGUACUGAAUGACAACGGUAUUUUUUUCCAAAAACUGAUGUGUCUUGUGAUUUUUUUGUUAGCUAGUUAAUAUGUCAAAUUAUUACCCUAUUGUUCCUUCAUUGGAGGACCUACCAAUUGCACAACUCUCAACUUAGUUCUUUAAAGUAUGAAGUUCCCUCUGAAAUAGUUGUUCCUAAAUUUGCAUUGAAAAUGAAACACUUAUAAUAUUUAGUAAAUAAGCUAUAGUUUGACACUAUUUCCAGGCCUUUUUGCAUAUAAGAUAGUAUUAUGUGAUAAAUUUCGAAGUUGACCUGUGUAGUUAAAAUUAUGAGUUUUUUGGUUCUUAGUUCAGUUUUGUUGAGCUCGCUUUUGAACUUAAAUUUUCAUUUAUUAUGAAUUGAACUUUGAAAAAUGAUAUGAAAAAUAUUAUGUUACAAUGGAUUACACUUGAGAAGACAAAGAAAUUUGUAUGCCACAUUGAGUUGCAUUUGGAACGUGCUUUUAUAAGCUUGGCCAUUUAUGUUUGAUUCAUAAAUAAAUGUUUCAAAUACAUUCGAUUUUAGACACAAAUAAAUUAAUUUAACAGGAAUUCGUACUUUGCUUUCAUAUGAGAGAUGUGGAUUUUAAGCCAAUGUUUGUAACUGCUUUUGCUUUGUCGCCUAUAGUUUUGUUCGCUUUUAUUUGGUAUCCACUAAAAAAUUAUUGUAGUUUUGGUUGGUGGUCCAUUGGUUGAUUAUGGGAUGGUUUCCGUGACUUUUUCCAGGUAGAGAACGAAGAAAAUUCGGGAGAUGGGGUAGAAAAUGAUGGAGAUGGAUAAAUGAAUGCAGAAACUGGAGAAACACAACCUCAAAGUGCUGAAAAAAUGAGGCACAACAGGCAGUGUUUGACGAGAGGACAUGAUAUUAAAUUACACUGAAAUGACGAUGAGAAAAAUGCCAGGACAAAUUCGGUUAAUAUACAAUUGGAAAGUAUUAAUUUUGGCUUCUAACCAUUUGUAUGCCAUAUGUAGUAAACAGAUAUGUUUUAACUUCAUUGUGUCUGUAUUUGAUGAAUGGUAUGUGGGCCGCUGCAUAAGCCAUUUGUUUGAAGAAUUACAGUCCAUGGAUGCUAACAAUGUGGCUAAUCAGAAACUUUUGUUUCAUUAGAUUGACUGAAAUUGAAUUGUUAAUUAACUUGAGUAGGAUAUCACUGCUUUGUGCCCAGGUACUUUCAUUUAUAUUGGAAUGAGAUGACUAUGUUAUGUAGAACAUAGAAGCAUUAUUUAAUCUAUGAGAUAACAGUGUGUUUGAUGAGAUUUUUUUUUCCUUCUCUUCAGCCUAAUAGAAGUACAUGUAGGUCGUAGGAGAAUAAUCAGGAUAAUUGGAUGCAUGUUUCCAUGGUAGCAAUUGAAAGUGCUACUGAAAAUUUUCCAGUAGUUUGUAAUCUGAACCCCAUGAAAUGUGUAAUGCAAUUAUGAUGGACAUGCAUUUAAUAGUAGGACAUGACAUGUAGUUGUUAAUGGUGAUAAAAAACUUUAUAUAGUUGUUCAAUUGCUGUGAUAAAUAAAUAGUCACAACAAAAUAUUGACAAAAGAACAACAUUUCUCGAAUGUCCAUUUAGGUAGUACAUGAGGUACAUUAAGGUAGUACCUCAGGGUCUUAAGGUCGUACCUCAUGUGCAUUAAGGUAGUACCUUAAAUUUCUGAUGAUUACAUAAGCUAUCGAAUGAGUCAGCAAGAGGAACAUAACAAUGGCAUGCUGUAAUAUGUAAUGCAAUGAACUAAUUCUGGCUUAAAUCAUAGAAGAACAUCAUUUCUCUAAGGUCCCUUAAGGUAGUACCUUAGGUACAUUAAGGUAGUACCUCAUGUGCAUUAAGGUAGUACCUCAAAUUUUUUAUGAUUACAUAACCUACCGAAUGAGUAAGUUAUAAAAACAUAACAAUGGCAUGCUGUUAUAUGUAAUGCAGCAUGACAUUGUUAUGUUCUCAUAGGUUACCUUAUGUAAUCAUAAGAAAUUUCAGGUACUACCUUAAUGCACAUAAGGUACUACCUUAAUGGUCUUCAGGUACUACCUUAAUGUACAUAAGGUACUACCUUAACGCACCUGCGAGAAAUGUAGCCAUUUUGUGGCUUCAGAUUUUUAUUAGUUAAUUUCAUGACCUAUUGUAACAUGACAUUGUUAUGUUCUCAUAGGUUACUCCAACGGUACCUUAUGUAAUCAUAAGAAAUUUCAGGUACUACCUUAAUGCACAUAAGGUACUACCUUAAUGGUCUUCAGGUACUACCUUAAUGUACCUCAUGUACUACCUUAACGCACCCGCGAGAAAUGUAGCCAUUCUGUGGCUUCAGACUUUUAUUAGUUAAUUUCAUUACCUAUUGCAGCAUGACACUACCUUAAACCAUAUUCGAUAAAUUUUACUCUCCCGACAAUUUUUCACUCUCAAUAUUUAUUUAAUCAUACUGUUGUUUUCUCAUUUUUCUGGUUAGGUCAAGUUACGAUGGUUGUGGUUGGAUACGGAAGGUGAUCAUGCGAAGCAAAUAUUUAUUGGUUUUCUACCACAUUUAUUUUUUCUAUAACAACCUGUACAUGGUUUGAAGCACAAAAUUAGCAAAAUGCACAAUCAUUUAGGAACCCUGAGUAGCCCGUGCCAAUGAGAAUGUGCAAUAGUCCUGAACCCUGGUAGAUCAGGAUUUGAAGGGUGCCAUUGCAAACUAUUGGUAUACCAGCAAACUGUUUCUAAUGUAGUAAAUCAAACCAAACAAACCUCCCAACUUACCAAUAACAUUAACAGAAGAUGAUAUGUAAAAGCUUACACAAUAACUAAAUAUGAAAGGAAAGUCGUCAAACAAUUUACUAAUGUGAGUAUGGAAGGAUAAACUGAAACUGCAUCAGUGUACAAACAAAUAGGUUCCAGUCUAUGUUUGUUGUUCUCUUAUGAAAUUAGUACCAUACCCCAUAAUAAACCUAUCACUGUGGAUCACAUCUUACAAUCACAGUUGUUGUCCAAUCAGUUGCCAAUACAACACUGACCAGCACCCUUAACUAUAAUAAAAGAACAAAUACUGAGUGUUGUCCAUGUUCCUACUCCCUAACUUUACAAUAUUGAAGGAAAAAUGAACAGCCCUAUUACAUUGCUGUGACUGCAUCCCAUAUGCUCCAACAGCAGCAUUACCAGGUACUCUUCCUUUCCCUUACACGUUGGCCAUUCUUGUACAUAAAGUCCUCAUAUUCAGCAUAACCCAACUGCCACUGUUACAAUGGGAUGUGGAAUACUUCAUCAGAUACAUCACAUAUAGAACAUAAAUAAUGGUUUUACAAUUGGAACAAAUCACAUCAGCACACAACAUGAUAUGAAUUAAUAAAUUUUGGACAAACUAAAAUCAACCCUUGGUCAUUUUGGUACGUAGCAGCAGAUAGGAAGAAACUUAUCAUGAACUAUGAACUCACAAAUGACAUGCGGCCAUGAUUGUAUCUCUGACACUGUUGCGUUCAUUGAGGACUAUUUGCAGCACUAGCUGGAGUUUGUACAUGUUCGUCUUGUCCUACGGAAAUGGGAAAAAAUUAUUCCAUGCGGUUGAGAAAAUAACACUCAAAUCAAAGGACAAAUAUGCAGAUAAUUAAAUGAAACAGGCCAGCUGACACUGAUAUUAGCAACCAGCCUCUGAAAAAUGCCACCAAAUGAUGCCAUUCAUUCAAAGUAUUUAUUUUCGGAUAAUUAAAUGAUGCCACCAAAUGAUGCAUGGGAACACAAACUACAGUAUGGUUGAAAUGGCUUAAGCAAUGUAAUCUUACCAAAUACAUGGGAUUUGAGUAAAUACCAUUAAAACAAGAUGUGGUGCAAACAUAGUUCGGACUUUUUGAAAGAACUGAAUCAGUAGAGAAAUAUAAUGUAACUCAAUGAACAUUGUAGGUGAAUGGAAAGACACAAAACAUUCAAAUAGUAACGAUGAUUGGGUGACAACCAGUUAGUUGAAAUAGAGUAAUACAAGAUGAGCAUAAUGCAAUAAGUAGACAGAUAUAGAUUUAGGGCAAAGGAUUUUUGCAGGUUUUUCUGUUGUGGCCGGACAUAUGAUAACGAGAGCAAUAAACAGGCCGUUUAUCUUGAAAUUGAGACUCAAUGCGCUUCUUCCUUGGCCUUCCGGGAGGGCGCUUUGUAUGUGGAGGCUUUAGAGAGAAGAACACCUCCCCGGUGAUAGAUUGAACCAAACCAUCAUCGUCCACAGUAGGCAUGUCAUGGGUCUCUAUGCCGGAGAAAGAGCCCCCAUAUAUCAACUCUUGCAUUGGGUAUUUGUAGCAAUCAUCAACGAAAUCAGUAACAUUUUGACCAAUGGAAAUAAUGACGGCUAUGGCAUGCUCACAAGGGAUUCCCAACAUUUGCCAACCCCUACAAGUGCAUGUAUGGUUCAAAAUGUCUACAUUCAACAAGGCUCUCCCGAUACAUACCCCAAAUACUCCAUUCUUGAACGGUGUGACUGGAUACACUGCACCCUUUGCAAUAUUUUCCUGCACCUUAGCUUCAAUUUUUGGCCCUAUACACCCUUUCCAAUUCUUAGACUCUUCUUGAUGCUUCACAAGCAUAGAAGCUAACUUGGACAUGUGCUCCAAUAAAAAGUUACAAAUAGAGUGAUGUCUUUCAAUCCGUAACCAAGCAUUAAAUGACUCGGCAAGGUUCGUAGUCAUUUUAUCCCAUCUUUGUUUUGGGAAUUUUGACAUGGCCCAAUGGUGCGGCGCAUUUUCUUCUACCCAUGUGGCUAAAGCCUCGUUGUAUUUUUUUAGUUCAAACAUGGAAAUGUUAUAAUCAUGUUCUAGCCUUCCAUACGCAAUGCUAUCUAGGAAUUGCAAUGCAUUUUCUUUACCCUUGUUCCCUCGUGUGUUAUGCUUGGACAAGAAACUACUAAAAUUCUCCUUCAAGUGACGGUAGCAAUAAGCAUGGUUUUCAAUGCCAAACACCUCAGGGACACUACGAAGCAAAACAUGAUGUCUAUCUGAGAUAAUAAUAACUUCCUUGUUUCCCACAACUAUCUUCAGUUUUUCCAAGAACCAUAACCAAUCUUCAUAAUUUUCCGAGCUCAUCACUCCAAAGGCUAAGGGGAACAUGGAGUCAUUAGCAUCGUAAGAGGUGGUUGAAAAUAGAGCACCGCCAUAAGGCCCACUCAUAUGGGCCGAAUCAAUUGCAAUGAUUGGUCGACACCCCUGUGGACCCGCAUUUUUCACGUGCGCCCCCACUCGAUCGGCGAGACUCGCUUUUUAUUUGUGAAAAAUUGAUUUUUGAAAAAAAGUUGGAGUCGCCACCUAUUUUAUUUUUAUUUUAAAGGGAAAAUAAAACAAGAAAGAAAAACCCUAAAAUGUGACUCCAUAAAUUUUGGAAAAAGCAUGUCUUUGAAAACCCGAGUCUAAGUUCGGGGAUCAGGUUACUUAUUGGGAAGGUACCUCUAGGAGGUAGCACCCCUCUAAGCCCUAAAGAGGUCUCUACUGACUAAGUUAAGGGAAGCGUGGCAAUUAAAUGGUUGAUCAUGGAUACCUAAGUAGGCUAGGUGAUUCCAAAAAACAUAACAUAUCAAACAAGAUCAAAUCACAAUUAAGGAGAGUUAAAAAUGCGUACCUGGACGGCUUCCCAAGCGCUAUCAUAAAACAUAAGAGAUUAGUUUGGAGAUACAUCAUACAACAUUUGUUUUAUUCAAGCAAAUCAGGCAUAUAUCAAGACAUUCAAGAAUCACGCCAAAUAUGGAUACGGUCAUCAAUGACAUACAAGUCCAUAGAGUUCUAAAAAAAUAGAUGAGAAGAGAGCGUACCUGGAUAGCAAGCUAGUAUUCCUCUAUGAGAAACAAGAGUAUCUCAACAAUAAAUAUUAAGUGAAUUCAGGUAUUUCAUCAAGAAGAAUAAAAAAUCAACAUAUCAAGCAAAUAGUAUUAAAGUGAGUGUUAUGAAUGUCGGGCCCCCACCAAAGCCCUAAUUAAUUUUGCAUGAGUUGGUUCCAUAAAUUCCAUGAUUUGGAAUUAUGAAGUUUAUUCAUGCUUAUUGAAAAUCAAGAAAAACACAAAAAAAAUAGUUAAAAAUCAAAUAAAACUUUGAAAGUGCAUACCCGAAGGAAAGUGGCAGCAAAUAGCAUGUUAAAACUGGGAUUUUAUACCUAGAAAGAGUUUGGGGGUAAUUCCCUAAAGUUAGGAUUAUUUGGAUGAAAACGAUUUUGAAAACACAAUUCAAAACGCGUAAAAGCACGAGGAGAGCAGGAGGGUGCAAGAGGAAAAUGGUAUUGUGCUCUAGAACGGUCUUCAGAGGAGAUCUGCUGGAAUUGAUUCUGAUGGCUUCUGUUGAUGUUGACUUGGAAUGAACUGCUGUUGAAACUGAUGAGGUUGUUGCGGAAAUUUGUUGUUGUUUUCUCUUCGAAAAGGUCCGUGUUCAGAAGCCGCAACUGGGCAUCCCAAAAUCAUCUAGAUAUAGGUCACAACCUUCAUUAGGCGCCUUGGCGGUUUAUUGGCAUGUCUUAAAGCUCCUUAUUGACAUUUAAAACAUAACCAGAAACAACUUUUCCUACUCCACAGUGCUUAUGGAAUUCUUGAAAAUCUGGAACAUAACUGUGAGUAAUCUUGGAAACAAUUAGGCAAUCUGUAGGUUCUUCACUUGCUCUCAUCGUUAAGUUACCCCAACCUUUCUGAUACCUGGACUUGCUACCUCUGAUUCACUUGGAGAUCAUCAACAAGAGGACAAUCAAGGUAAAGUGAGCCCACUGAUUCUUAUUCAUGCUGGUCAGAUGCUAACUUGCUGAUGUGUUCUGUCAAACUAAGCAAGCCCACUGGUGGGUUCUAUUGAAUUGAGAAACAUUAUAUUUACUCUCAAAUUUAAAUCUUUUAACCUGAAUUUAGAAUCAGCAGCGCCAUUAGAGUCACUGACAGUGGCAAGCUUCAAUUUGUGUUGCUUGUCACUUGCUCUUUUUAAUACUCUCCACCUUAUUUUCUUCCACCUGUAGUUUGGUUGUCAAUCAUUUCUUCUCUUCUUCAAACUCUCUAAUCUGUGCCUUUGACUUCUCAAUCUGAAAUUCUGGAGCAGCUUGCUUUUCUCGUAGAGAUUCAGUUUCUGCUGCAUUGGAUUUUCUCUUCAAAUCCUCAUUUACAAUUUUUAGCUGCUCAUUUUCUUUCAUCAGCUUUGCAAUUUCAUCAGCUUUUACCUGAGCUUGUCUUGCCAGACUGAAUGCAGUAAAAUUGGUUCCUAGAUAUGUUCUCUUCCCUCUUCUAUGCUUAUUUUAGGAGGACAUGGCAUUUUAGAUUCUUCGAUGUGGCACAAAGCAGAGGAGGGAGAUAUGAUGGUUCGAAUUUUGACUGAUUCAAUCCGUUGUGUUUCUGGAACCCUGUUAGAGGAACUAAAGGUUAUCAUGUCUUGUCCUUCUUUCAGAUUCAAGGAUGAAAUCUUUACUGCCAGCACCAGAUGCAACAGCAGCAGCCACAACUACAGGUUCUGUUUGAACUGUUUCAGGUAUUGUAUCAUCUGAGAUUAAUAGAUCUUUUGGAACUAGACAAUUUUGAUUAUUAGAUGGAGUAUCAUCUUCACCAUUAGCACCACUAGCAUUGUCACGGAUCUGCUGAUGGGUUAAUGCAUAACCAGAAUUUGCCAAAAGUUGAUUUAGGACCCCCAUCUGGUGAGGAACUCAAAGAUAAUCAGCAUGGUUGGUAACUUCUCGAUGAGGAUGCACAUAAGGCUGCAAAUAAGCUGUGGUUACUGGAAUAUUCAUCCGAUAUUGCUACUGUUUCAAAGGCUCUUUAAAGCUUAUAUGAACGCUGCAAAUCUUACCAGUAUUGAUGGCAAUCAACCAAGCUAGUGAGUGCAACACUUCGUCUUUCAUGAUCAAGUCAAUCUGAUAAUAGGUCUCGCAUCAUGGCUGGUCAUUUCACAUAAAAGACCAGUUUGGAAAUAGUAACAAAGACCGUUAGCGUUAUGUUCAUUGGGCAAGGGGUCAUACUCUGAGCCAAGGUGAAUCAAAAGACUGUCAUUGGAAAAUAUCCUUCAUAAAUUCUUGGACUAAAAUGAGUCUUUGCUAGCAAACUCUAAUCACAUUUAUCUCACGAAUUUCCUCAAGGACAUGAGUAUUUUUUUUUAUGACAUGAGAAAUGAGUCCUCUUUUGGCAGGCACAGAAUUUGUUUUGAAGAACAGACAUGACCAGCUUCAAUCCUGAAAUCUUGUCAUGAAAAUCUCCAAAAUUGGAUGAAGCUGGUGAAUAAUGGUCAUCUUCUUUUCAUCUAAACCAGCCAUUCUCUAUAUUCUGGCCAUGUAGGAAGCCUUUCGGAUUGUAAAUCUCGAACAACGUCACGCAUAACCUCCAGUUCUGAACUUCCGGGGUACAGUCUCUUCAUUAAGCCUUUGUUGUUUCUUUCCCCCACUGAUAUCACAGUAAUUCAACUCAAGCAGCCAGCUUAGCAAGUUACACAAGCACUUCUCGGGAAGUUCAUUUAAACAGCAUAGAUGCUUCCCAAAUAUUCUGAGAAGUCAGAAAGAGAUUUCUCAUUAAUCGACUCACUGCCCUCCAUCAAAGUCACCGUAGAUGCAGCAGCAUGACUAUCAAAGAUGUACUUACAGUGAACAUCGGCUUCAAUUCAUUUGCUAUCCUUAUUAAAUUCAGUAAAGUCUUAUCACAGCUAUAUGAGUGCCAUGGUUCCAUCCUCAGAAUCAUCAGAUUUAAGCUUCAGGUCCGUGCCUGAGCUGCUUCAUUAAUCUAGUCAGGGGCUUCCCUAGCUUGUCGAGUGAAUACUUGGUGGCUCCCCUGCUGCUGUGGAUUUCCACGAAGUAUGCCAUAUCCUAGGCAGUAAUGGGGAUGAUGAUUCCAUAUUCGCUUGUGGAGACAACUGCACAUAUACUGAAUCAAAUGGUGAAGAAAACUUUAUCAUGGAAGACAUCAUUUCCCUCCAUUUCAGGCAUGACUUAAUUAAUUCCUCCAAAUAAACGCUUAGGCCCAUGACUUAGCAAACAGCAGAGUGCCCUGAUGAUCAUAGCAAGAAAAAUCCAGCAUGCUUUUGGGACCACCAAGCUGGUUCAAAUAUUGUUGUAAGAGAGUGGCAAUUACAGCAGCAACUGAUUUGACUUCAGGCGGACAUGCUGACCAGUCUUAGUAGGGAAGAAAAAAAAAGUGCGUCCCAGGUUGCUUCUCUGAGAGCUUCACAAAAGCAAUAUGUGUUUCAUCAACGUUCAGAUCAGAUAUUGGAGUUUUAUGUAAACUGUUGGAACUGUUGGAGACUUUGGCAUCAUAAAUUGCAGCAAGAUUGAAAUUUUGAAUUACAUCUCUAAGUGUUCCAGAGAACUUAGUCACGUCCGCCUCCUAUGCCGUUUCUUAAUAAUUCUCAUUCUUUCCAAAUGAUUCCGAAGGUUGAAAUUAGUACCCUUGUUCGUCUCAAGGAAGCAAACCGUUGUACUGACUAUUCUUGUACUUAGAACCUCCAAGAUCAACUAGAUUCAGAUUCUGAACCAGCACUUUGCAAUUCUGAGUUUCACAUCCAUCAAGAAAACCCAAGAGUGUUUCAAUAUCUUCUUUGCCCAUUCUGAUGGAUCAUUGUCUAAAGCAUCAUAGACACUCUUCCUAAUUCUAGCACAACCUGUUAUGCAUUGUGCAAGUUUGAAAGAUUGGGCAUCAAAGUGGAGUUGGGUAAAAAAAGUCCUAAGCAGUGGAAGUACACAGCAUGAUGCUGUCAAGUUUCAAUAACUUAAAUAUUGACCAACUUAAGCCAGACCAUAUUCCUAAAAAAAAAUCCAUUCUUCCUCUGCUCAUGUAAACUUGUAAUGCUGUUAGAAAUCUUGUCUUCAGAAUAGCAACCCUGACAAUUGAGUAUGGAAAGCAGAAUAUCCAUGUGCUUCCAACUAAGCUUUUUACAACCAUCCUCGUAAACUGAGGUGUGCCAUUCUAGAGAAAAGCUACAGUCUUUUAGAAAUCCCAAUACUUCUAAAGCAGCUUGAAUUAGCAUAUUGCAGCAAUUGGAAGUUGGAUUGACUGAAAUAGGGGCUUGAACACAUCCAUCUGUAAAUCUUACAGACCGACCACCCUCAGAGAAAAGGUCUCCAAAAAAAAAAAGGCUUCAGCUUCAUGACAAACAGCAUUCUCUGUUUCAGAUUUGCAACUGCCCCUGUUAUACUACUCCUGUGCACUUCAGCAUUUAUUCUUCAGUUAUAUCGUCCCCUUAGAUAGCAUCUAUCCCACACCGUGAAGCAAGCAAGGUUCACUAUAAUACGAUCUAAUAGCAGCAACAAAAAAGGUGAUCCUGGAGAUAUUUUAAACUCAACUUCAUCAAUAUCUUCAACGUGCACUUCUGUUGGAACACAAGCGACAGUAGCAGUGAGAAGAGGUGUUAUACUGAUCCCAUUAGGAUUGCAGCCCAGAAUACCACGAACGGAGAGCCCCAAAAAUUGAAGCAACUUCUACAUCCAACUAAAUCACAUCCGGAACCCGAUUUAACGACUUUCUUACCUUGAAGAGGAAAUACCCAAUCUGACUCAACAAUCUGUUAUCAUGUGCUAACCCCACAAACAGCCCACAUUCUACACGGCCUUUAUGAGGUUUCUACCUUUCAUGAAAUACUCAUGCCAUCAUGGCCUCUAUAGCCCAGAAUACCAAAGGGGAAAGGGAAGAAAUAUGGAUACAAAAUCAAAGAGAAAAAAAAAUAAUAAUCCAAGAAAAACAGAACAAGGAAGAUAAAGGUGGGUAAGCAGAUAAGCCAAGUCUCUAUUUCAGCCAUUUAUAUAAGAAAAAAAUCAGAGAAAUCAAGAACACAAUCAUAACAGAGCAAGCUUGAAGGCAAAUUUCGAUUCAACAACGCAAAUAAAGUGGUCCUCAAUGUCUACUCCAAUCAGCAAGAAUAACUUCUCAAAAAAAAACAGCCAAAGAAUCCAGAGUGGAAUGUAAACGGGAAUACCAAAAUAAAAGUAAAUAAAAAGAUCAAAAGAACAAGAAGCGUACCUGGCAGAGGCUUGGCUGCAAUCUCCUUUUCUUUCUGCUCUGCUGUGCUUCUCCGCAAAAAAAUCCUCCAAUGCGUGCUGCUCCAGAAAGAAUCUCCCCCCUUAAAAAAAAGCUCUUUUUCUCCUUCCUCUCUCACGUAUAUAUACGCCUUUCCCUAAAACUAAAUCUGUUUCCAAAAUGGAAAAUUCUCCUCUUUCCUUUCUUCUUCUCUUCCUUUUUUUUUAAAUCUUCCAAUCAAAAGCAAUCUUCCCAAUUUUGAAUUCCCCUCCAAAACCUUCCAAGGAGAGUCCCACCUUCCUUAAACUCCAAUGGUAAGUUUCCUUGCAAAAACAUGAAAUUUUAGAAGUUAAAUAAUUGCAUGAAUAGAUAAAUAAGUAAAUAAAUUAGAAAAUGGUAAAAAUAAUAAAUAAAUAAAUAAGUUAAGGAAAAAUAAUAUAAAGAGGAAAAUAAAAAAAUAAAAAAAAUAAACAAAUUAACAAAAAUGGGCCCUACGAGCCAUGCAAACACGCAAGUCAUACAAGUCACACUAAAAAUGUCCAAAUGGGCCAAGUGUGCCUAAACGGCCUAUGAUGAGACUAAGUGGGCCUAGGGUGGUGCCUAAUGGGCCAAGUGUAUCUAAAAGCUAUCUUAAAAAAACAAGAAAAGCCUAAGUCUAAGUUAGGGCUGCCAAGGGUCACAAUAAGGAAUCAAAUAAUCCCUCAACCAAAGUCUCCGAUGUGACUCAGAAAAAGGUAAGUGGUAUGAGUAGCUAUGGGCCACCAAGGAACUAUUGCGGAGCAUUGAAAACGGAUUUAAAGACAUGAUGUCUAUCUGAGAUAAUAAUAACUUCCUUGUUUCCCACAACUAUCUUCAGUUUUUCCAAGAACCAUAACCAAUCUUCAUAAUUUUCCGAGCUCAUCACUCCAAAGGCUAAGGGGAACAUGGAGUCAUUAGCAUCGUAAGAGGUGGCUGAAAAUAGAGCACCGCCAUAAGGCCCACUCAUAUGGGCCGAAUCAAUUGCAAUGAUUGGUCGACACCCCCUUACAAACCCAUCGAUAGAUAUUGAAUGAGCAACAAAAAGCUUCUCAAAAUGGUUAUCAUUGGAAUAACUCAGCUCAACACUCGAUCCUGGAUUUGUUGCAAGCAUUCUUUCACACAUCCAUGGCAACAAUUUGUAAUAAUUCUUGGUUUGUCCAUAAAUGCGCUCCUUAGCCUUCUCCUUCAUUUGCCAUGCUUGUAGGUAAGUUAACUGGAUGCCAUGUUGCCUUACAAAGUCCUUACAAAUUUGGCGUGGUUGGUAUUCAGGAGUAGAUCGAAUGACAUCAUCAAUGACCAACGAUGCACUAGUGGAUCUCACUAAAGGCUGAGACAAGACAACAUCUUCCAAGCAAUGGUUAUGCACAUUUCGGAAUGUGUGUACUUGAACAAUGUUUGAAUCCCCUAUUGCACGCGCAGUGAUUUUCCAAGGACAAUCUUCAAUUGUGCAUACUACGGUCAUGUGUUUUGGACUAUUCUUUUUGUAAGAAUAUCGAAAUUUUCCAGCCAAAUACAUCAAAUAGAUUGCAUCUCAAAACUCCGACGCAUUUGGGAAGGUAUGUCCACUACCUACAAUUGAAUGUUCGAAUCGACUUGGUUGAAGUUGAACGGUAUUUGUCAUAGCACAUCUUUGGGAAAACCCAACUGACUGAAUUGUGGGCGACUCAUUAGAGAUGUGUAAUGGGGGCUCGCCAAUAGAGGAAACAUGAGCUGAGUUUGAAGCAACAAUGGGGGUUGGGCCACUGCAAAAAACAUAAGGAAAGAAUUUGAUCAUCCAUCAAUCUAAGUGUGAAAAGCGAUUAUACAAAAGGGAACAUUAUUGUGGAAGGACAUUAGGUACCUAGUAGGGCAAAUGAGGUCAUCACCACAUUCAGUACACUGGGAGAUGUAGACAUGACAAAACAUGUCGUUGAAUUUGAACAUAUUGACUAUGUCGCCAUCAUUAUGCAGUGGCAAUAGACAUGAUGGGUCAAACUUGACUGUGAAUUCCAAUUUAAUGGAAUUGGAAUCCAAGUUCAGUACACCACAUACUUUUGAAACGAAUUCAGAUUGUGAGAUAUUCUUGCUAACAACACUGCAAUUGGUCCGACCUCCCUUAUAUUCGACAGACCCAACAGCAGUCUUAACAAGCUCACCACCUUCAUGAAUGUAACAAAACAUCUCCUCUUCCAUUUCCUUAUUGACAUAAAGAUUUGUUAAAAACAAUACAACAAUGAAAGAUUGAGGAAUUAUGCAUGUUGAUUCCAUAUACUUUAAGGUUCAAACAUGCUAAUUGGCUGAUGCACACAAUUAAGGUUCAAACAUGCUAAUUGGCCGAUGCACACAAGUAGUAUACAAGUCUAACUACGGUAGUACCUAAGGAUAUCUAACCUAGUACUUAAAGAUUACUAAGGUUAGACCUAAGGUUAAUUAAGAUAGUACCUAUGGUACAGUCUCAAGUAAAGGUACGGGGAACCAAAUGAGCAGAGUAGUCAACAUUCAUCUUUUACAUGCUUACUGCUAUCAUUUUAUCAUGUCUCAAAUCAAAUUCAUAAAACAAUAACAAUAACAACAUACAUUCAAUUCUAUCAUGCAAAGACAAAGGACAAAAUAAUAACAACAUACACACAAUGAAAUCGGUAUUCAAAUUUAGUAAAGCAAUAACAAUGACAAACGACCAAGCAAAUAAUCUGUUUAGGGUUUAGUAGUAACUCUCAUAUAUACCAUUAAAAUUGAAAGAAAAUUUCCAUCGACUAGUAGUAAUACAAAUGAACCAAUUUCCCUAAAAAUCUAAUGACAACAGAAUUCUUGGAAAGCAAAAAAAAUAUUUAAAAAUAAAUAAUAAUAAUAAUAAUAAUAAUAAUAAUAAUAAUAAUAAUAAUUUAUUUUUUCUAAAUACGAACAUAUCUUUAACCAAAAAUAAUUUAUCCUAUAUUUCAUUCUACAGAAAAUGAAGUAAAUAUAAGAAACCCUAAAAUAAAACACUUCAAACCCUAAGAUAUCCACACCAUCCAAACAAACCCGUAAAUGAAAACUCACCUGUGAUUGAUUACUCGGAAAACACGCACAAGAGGGAAAAUUCCAGUUUCGUUUUGAGAAACCUGAACGGAAUUCCAACUUCGAUGAUGCGAAAACAAGAUAUGUCUCCCGUUUGGUUUACUUCAACGUAUUGGGAAGAUGGGUAUCAGUUUCAGCUACUCCAGACAUUUAGAGACAAACACGUUCGACUAAUCGGGAUGUUAAGAGAAAAACAGAGAAGUUUGAGAUUCGGGGAAGAUGUGUAUCAGUUGGGUUUGUUGGACGUGAAGGUUUUGGCUGAUUCAGAUUUGAAAUAACCUUCUGAAAUGGCAAGUUUUUGAGAUUCUGGCUUAGGGAAAAUCUUAGAUUUGGUUGUUGUCAAACUAAAAAGCAGAUUUAGGGCUACUGAGAGCAAAGUUAGAUGUCGUUUGACUUAAGGUUUUUUUUUACUAAAAUGAGAGAAAGAGAGAAAGGGACACCAAAAGUCGGGUCGGGUGGUUUUUUUAAGAAAUUAUCAAUUUUCACAAUUUUUUUUUAAGUAUGACAUGGAGGCUAUUUGGCUGCUGAUGCAUAAGACAUUGAGGGCAUUUUUGGAAGAUAAAAUUGACUCAGCACAGAGUGCACAAAUCUCAUAUUAUUUUGCCCAUUAAUGACUGCUUUCCAUAUUUGAAAAACUUGAGGUUUGAAUAUCAUAUUUUUUUUAAAUAAGGGCCCUAAAACACAACUUUCCCAUAAAUAUAUGUAUUCUGAUCCUCUAUGUUUGCUCCAUGGGGAAUUCAUAUGCAUUUUCCUUUUCUCUUCUCAGAUUCUCAACUAGAGUCAUCAGUGUCGGAGCUUCUUCCACUCAAAGUCAAGGACCUUCCAGUGAUCAACACUCGGAACCCAGAAGAUUUUUAUCAAUUAUUUGUUAGCGCGAUCAAAGAAACCAAGGCUUCCCCCGGGCUAAUCUGGAACUCCUUCGAAGAUCUUGAAGAAUCUGCACUUGUCAGACUUCACCAAGAUUAUCUUAUCUCAUUGUUCCCAGUAGGCCCAUUUCAGAAAUACUUCCCAACCUCUUCAAGUAGUUUACUAGCACAUGACCACAGUUCCAUUACCUGGCUAGACACACAAACACCUAAAUCUGUGAUCUAUGUGAGCUUUGGGAGUAUUGCGACAAUGGAUGAGAAUGAAUUUCUGGAGAUGGCUUGGGGGCUAGCCAACAGCAAUCAGCCCUUCUUGUGGGUGGUUCGACCAGGGUUAAUCCGUAGUUAUGAAUGGCUUGAAUCACUGCCAAACGGGUUCCUUGAGAUGAUAGGUGGAAGGGGACAUAUUGUGAAAUGGGCUCCUCAACAAGAAGUUCUUGCUCAUCCCGCCACGGGAGGGUUUUGGACUCAUAAUGGAUGGAAUUCCACGUUGGAGAGUAUUUGUGAAGGGGUUCCAAUGAUUUGUCUGCCUUAUUCUGGGGACCAAAGGGUGAACGCGAGGUAUGUGAGCCAAGUUUGGGGAGUUGGGUUGCAAUUAGAGAGUGGGUUGGAGAGAGGGGAGAUAGAGAGAACAAUCAGAAGACUUAUGGUGGAGGAAGAAGGGCAGGAAAUUAGACGUAGAAGCAUUGAGUUGAAGGAGAAGGCAGACUUGUGUCUAAAGCAAGGUGGUUCUUCACACCAAUCCCUCGAGAGCUUGAUUAGUUACCUCUCAUCUUUCAAGGGACUCCUUCAUAAUUAAGUUCUAGAUGGUCUUCUGUUAUUGUUAGGAAUUCUCCUGAGCGAGGUUUCCAAAUAGGCUGGUUCUGUUUCUCACAAAAGAUCCGUUGUCUUAAUUACUUCUUUAAGAUUGUGCUUAAAUAUUAUUUCAUACUAUUACCACAUUGAUGAUCACUAUACUCCUACGUAAAAAAAAAAAUUAGAGGUGAUUUCUAGCAAUUGUCCAAUUAAUUACCCUCAGUUUCUAGUACCACUAUUUUAUAAUAACUGGAUACAAAUAUGUCAGAUUGAUGACUGCUUCUUUAGUUAUCCUUAAAUGCAUAAGAGCUUGUUUGAUAGUGAUUUUAUGAAAUUUUUUUAAUAUUUUUAAUAUUUGAAAUUUUUUAUUAUUUAAGUAUUAAAAAUGCUAGAAACGCUUUAUAAAAUCACUCCCAAACGGGCUCUAAGUCAAAAUUGUUGUUGCGGUUGUUGGUUCCAUUUUUCCUUUUUUAAAUUAUAUUGUCAAGUGAAGGAAGCACACUAAAAUACUUGGAAAACCAUGUUUGGCCUCCUUCAUUCAUUGGAUUGUGUCUGUUCAUUCACAUGGGUUUAGAUCCAAGUUGUACAAAAAUUGGUUCAGUUGGAUUUGCAGUUUUCCACCUAACUUUCAAGAUAUUGAGUGAGAGAUAACACCAAAACUGAGCAGACAAUGCUCAGCUAAGCACCAUGGAGUGAUUAUUUGAACUAAUAUGUACUUACCACUUUCCUAUGAAUCUUGUCUUUCACAAUUUAACUUUAGAUGAACCCUAGGCAGCUGAAAGGAACUUCUAAUUCGAUUACUGGUGAAGCAAUAAAGUUGGAAGAAACAUACAAAUAAUUAUAAUCCAUAAAUACUCAUAUUUAACAAAAUAAAGACUCUUAAUAAUAAAACAUGGAAACCUUCUCGUACUCUAAUAUUUGAAUAUAGAAACUAAAUUAAUCAUUCAAAUAAAAAUGUUCUCUUUGAUUUUUAAAAACUAAAUCUAGUUCUAAUUUUAGAAACUUCCUAAAUCAAGUUUAACUUUCUAUCUUGCCCUGUAAACUUGAUUUGUAACUCCAAGCACCAAGCACCAUUCUUAACCAUUUAUAAUCUUCAAAUUUGAAACAUUUUGUAAAAAUAUCCACAAUUUGAUUAUGAGAAUUUGCAAAUUUUAAUUACACUUUCUUUUUCAUGAUGGACUCCUUGACAAAAUGAAAUUUUGUAUCAAUGUGAUUGCUUUGAUCAUGAAAAAUCAAUGACUUCUUACCCUCUUGUUACUUGUAACUCUUUGGUAUCAAAUUUGCUUUGCAUCUCCCUAUUUUUCCUUUUACGUUCUUCUUUGUUUCCAAUACUUAUUUUAAUUUUUUUUUUCCUUUUAGAAGGGAUUUUAGUUUCCAUGUGUCAUUCUUUCUCGUUGCUUUUUAUUUCCAUAACAUUUUGUCAUGUCUUAUCUUAAAUUACUACUUUAUAAUCUAUUGGUUCAUAAUUUGUAGAAAGAUAAAAGAGAAUUAGAUUAUUUUGAAUAUUAUAUGUUACCUUAUUAAUAUUUUCUUACUAUUUAACAUACUUUGAGCGAUGUCAAGAGUAGUUUCAUUUUUUUUUCUCUCUAUUAUACUAUUUAUUGUGGAGGAUAUGAAAUCGUUAAAGUCGACAAAUUUUAUAAGCUUUACAAUAUUUUUCAAAUUGGACCUUAUAUGUCUACAUGAAUGAAUUUAAUUUAGAGGCUUUUUUACUCUUGUAAUUAUUUCCUUUGGAAAAUUUUUUUGAGCAUGUUUUUCAAGUAAGGGUCCUUUACAUAAUUGAUCUAUAAAAAGUAAUUCUUUCACCAGUUUCUUCUUUAUUAGCAACUUCAAUAUUCUAAAACUAAGAUGUCUAAAUCUUAAGUGUCAAAUCCAAGAGGAAUAAUGGACAUAAGAUUUUAAACAUUUUACAACAACAAUUUCAAUGUACAACAAAAAACAUUCAAUUUCUUGUUAUGAGCAUAUUAACAAUUAAAUUGGCAUAUUAUUGACCUCGUAUUGAGAGACUUUGAAUUUCAUAUGAAUAUCAUAACACUUUUCUACGAGUUGACCCAAACUUAAUAUAUUAUUUUUCAUGUUGAACACAUAAUAGAUGUUCAAAAUAAAUUAAUGUCUUUCAUUUUUCAAACAAAUUCAGAUUUUACCUUUGCCUUUUCAUCAAAACUCAUCCAAAUAUGACAACCAUUUUUGGAUUCCUCAAGUGCUCCAAAAAGAUACUUUUAAAAUCUACACAUGAUUGUUUAUUUCAAUGUCAAGAUACCAAGUGUUUUUUUCCUUACUUUAAUUUCUCACUUAUAUACCAACAAUAAAGUAGGUUGUUCUUGAUUUUGCUUUUCAUAAUAUAUAUAUAGACACAUACAUACAUGAUUAUAACAUUCAAUUUGAGAUUUAUUUAUCAUACACGAUUAUAACUUAUAUAUUGUGUCAUCUUCCACAUCCUCAUGAAUAAUAUGAGUCUUAACUUGUUCCUUCAUUGUUUGAUGAAUUCAAAUCACUUCUUCUUCUAUAAUCUUGACCAUAACCAUGUAUACGACUAUGCCCAUGAUUAUUUUGACUUCUUUCAUUAUCAAAAUUUUCUUCAUUCUCCUUUAAUAUAAGUUUAAUUUGUUUAUAGAAUUUGCUCUAAUUUUUGUUAGUUCUCAUUUUUAAUCUUUUCAUGAACUUGCAAUGACAACAUAAGUUACUCAAUGGCCAUGAAAUCUAAAUCUUUAGAUUCUUCAAUGGCCACAACAACAUAAUCGAAUUUUGAAUAUGUAUAUGAAUAUUGAAGUUUUUUUUUCAAUAACAUGAAUGUCAUUUAAACUUUCAUUGUGCCUUUUUAAUAGAAGAUUGUUUCAUUCUUUUACAUUCAAACUUUGAAAUUUCAUUUUUAUAUGCUUUGUAAUAUCUCACAAGCUUCUUUUAGGGUGGUUGUGUUUGAAAUCUUCUCAAAAGUACUUAUUGGAGCCAAAAUAUGUGCUCUAAUGGCACAUAUUCGAUAUGAUUUGUGCACCAAAGGACAUUCAAAUCACCCAACUUGACCUAAAUCAAUGCUAAGGCCCUAGCCAUGAGUUUAAUCUAUACUUUGGAGAUUUAUCUCAGGUUCAAGGGAAGAAAAUUGUGCAAAUUGAAUGACUUUAGAUUUUGAAAGAUCAAGAAAGGGCUAAAUGAGGAAAUAAGUGAGUCAAGAUUCAUUGAAUGUAAGGAAAGGCAAAACAAGGAUAUCAUGAGGUUGGAGGAUGAUAAAUGACCAUUAUGGAGUAAUAAAGAAGGCAAGAAAGCAUGGAAAAUGAGGCAUGAAGCAAGAUUUAGCUGCAUGGAAAUUUAGAACUCAAAAAUCUGAUGGCAUUAUAUACUCUGAUUUUGAGGACAAAUUUGGAGCACUUUAUGGAGUCCAUUAUAUACAUACUAUAUAUAUUGUUUCGAAGCUCGGGAAGUCAGGAGUCCAACGCUUCAAACGGUUUGGAAAUCGGAGCUGAAAUGAAGAAGUUAUGGCCAUUUGAAGACAACUGCACCAAGCUGGAGGGUCAUUUCGAAAUGAUUUCGAAAUUCAACUUAUGAAUUCGAAAUCCACUUCGAAAUGACACCAAUUUCGAAUUCACCCACUGCCACUUUGAUGUUCCGCUUCCUCUACCUCGGGAAUUGCAUCUAAAGCACUCCAUCCGCCUUAGGUGGACCCCACACGACUAGAAAUCACCAUUUUAUUAUUUUUUAAUCAUUUUUAGGAAAUUAUUUUGUAAUAAGUGGCCAAUGAGAGUGUGUCACAUGUUAAGUAAUUGAGGAUAUUAUAUAAACUCUCUCAAUUCUAGGUUUUAGGAAUCUUGGAUUUUUUUUUCUGGAGAGUUUGAUAUUGAAGGUGGAAGAAGACGAGAAUUUUGGUUUGUUUUCUUUUUCUUCUAUAUUGAAUAUAUUGUUUUUAGUUUCUUUUGAUUCAAAUUAUGGAUUUUUACCCUAUUAUGGAUUGUGAAUGUGACAUCACCCCCAUGAGAGGCUAAGAGCCAACUUGGGGCUUGAAGCAUGAAAACCUAAGGGUUAGGAAACCUAUAGGGACAAUGGGUAAAUUAUUAUAACAAUGAGAUUAAUUAUUGGUUGAGUGACAAUUUAUCAAUUUUUUUAUACUAUCCUUGUGAGUUCGUUUAGGGAAUGAUACGGUAGGUUAUUUCUUGAUACUAGUGAUUCUUGGUAAUUCUUGAUCAUUAGUUAUCCUCAUCUUACCUACCGUUAUUUGCCCCUAAACAAAGCUAUAAGGAGUAGAAAUGGUUAAAAAUCCAAAUCUUAAAUUGAUAAUCAAUCUCAUUCAUUUGAUGGUUUUAGGAAUCUGUUUUAAAAAGGAAAAAUUAGGUUUCAGAUGCAAUUUUGAGUUAUAGAACUCAACUUGAUCGCGAGUGGCCAAGGAUCCCAAAACCCUAAGAUCAUAUUACUUAAAAUACCCUUGUUUUCUCUAAUUUCUAUACCCUAGGUUGGAUUGUGGAAAACCCCAAACUUGAAUCAAUUGAAUUUAAAAUCAAUAUUCAUUUUUUUUCUUAUUAAUUUAACUUCUUUUACUUAGUUUCACAUUAUUCACAUAUUGUUUUUCACUUAAGGAUUUAAACAAAAACAAUUCAUUUAUUCUAGUAUUGAUAAUUUUCAUAAGUCAGUCCUUGAGAACGAUACCCGGAAUACUACAAAAGUCGUAGUGACUCUUUCUCUAGUUUUUCUUGACCAGAGUUACUACGUAAAAAAGCUAAGUAUUUUGGUACAAUAGAGAAAUUUCGGUCAAGUACAUUCAUCCGUUAUUUAAUAGAUGGUGGGAAAAGGUUUCUUGUCUUUCCUUAUGUCUUUUAAAAAAACUUUUUGAUUUAGGAAUAAAGUUGUUUUGACUCUUAUAACCUUUUUGUUACAUGUGUAAAAUUCCCACACAAGUUUUCGCGUCUAUGUAGCGAUUUAAAGCUCUCGAAGCUAGCAACUUUUCCCUACAAUAUGACAACAACAUACAAGACCCACACGAGGUUUACAAGGCACCAACCUCAACUUGUAUUUUAUUAACUUACUAAAUAAGAAUACAAGACUUUAGCCAGACUCCCACAAUAACUUCAGUGAGUUGAGGUUUCUCUCAUGAUCUUCCUUUUUAGAUCUCUGUUACGAGGCUCUUUGUAGUCUUUACUUAAAGAGUGGCUUUACCCACUCUUUGUUAGACUAAGAUUACACAUCUUAGUUCUACUGGGACUCUUACUGAUAAGUUGUGGCACUAACCACUCCUACAAGGGCUCAAAGUCCUAGUUUUACUUAGACUACAAUUAUAAUAGGCAUUAAGACUCCUACUCAUGCUUAAUUUGUAAUCCCACUUUGAGUCCAACUCUUUGUGCUACUACCACAUACAUCUAUAUAUAUGGUUCAAGUAUACGCCAGAACCUUUUUUGGUAUACACAUCUAGAUUGCGUUCGUAUCGAGGCAACAUGCUCUUGCAUCCGUCUUGUUGUUGCUACGACUCCAUAUCUUGUCUAAGCUCUAUUCUUAGUGCAACAACAUGUCAUGAUAUUGUGCUCGUGACUCUCCAUGCACAAGGUAUUACGCCCUUAUGUAUUGCAUCUGAGUUGGCACUGCUACUUCGUAUUGAUAUGCCUAUCUAUGUCUUUCUUAGUGUUGCACUUGCCAUGACAUUUCAUCCAUGGCUCACCAAGUCAUCUUCCUUUACAAGGCGUUGUGUCCUUGUACCACUUUGUUGUUGUCAUAGGUUACUCAUGAAGCUAGGGUACUGCCCUAUGAGACUUUAGUGUUGCAUGGUCCAUAUCAAGGGGCUAACAAACCACCUUCACCUGAUGUAGUUGACGUUCUCAUCGACAUGGACUAUAGUUAGGCCUAUACUGCCUUUUUAAACUGCCAUAAUGUCAUAUCUCAUUCCCAACUUGCUGAUGAUUUAGGAUUGACUUUCCAUUGAACUAGAUAAUCAACAUUUCAAUUUUUCUUGCUCAUUCCCAUAAUUCGAUGAUUCAAUAUUUUCUCUACCUCAUGAUGAAACUAUUUUUUGAUCAUAGGUGGAGCUCAUCUCACCUAUAUUUUUCUUGGGUCUAGGUCCUCAUGAUAAGGUUUUAAAAAGCUUACAUGGAUUAUGAGGUGUAUCUUUAACCUGUCAGGUAGCUUUAAUUUGUAAGCUACAUAUCCUACCUUUUGCAUCACCUCAAAAAGUUUGUCAUAUUUGGGAACUAAUCCCUUUGCACAAUCUUGCUACUAACAUUUUUCCAUAUCUAAGGGGUUAAUAUGAAAUUCCAAGGGUCUUUGGCCUUUGCGUUUGCAUACUUUUUCAUCAUUCUUGCGACUUUCUCUAAGCUUUCACAAGCUUCAGUGAGCAUCUCUUACCUAGACCUUACAAAUUUGUAUUUUGUAGGACAACUACCACAAGACUUUGGUUUAGCCACAUCCAAGGGCAUAAUUGGCUAUUGCUCUGUGGCCAACUCGAAAUGACUCAAUCAUGUUGUCGAACUCUUCUACAAGUUAUAGGAUAACUGAGUUAUCUUCAUUAUAUCAACCCAGUUCUUUUAUGUUGUAGAAAGAUAGUGUUUGGGGUACUCCUCAAGUAAAAUGUUGAUAUGCUUUGUUUGCUGUCUGUCUGCGGAUAAUUUGUUGUUGAAAACUUCAACUCUAAAUCGAGGAGUUUGAAUAUUUUGGUCUAAAACUAGCUAGUGAAUCAGACAUCACGAUCACUUACUAUGUCUUUAAGCAACCUGAAGUACUUGACCACAUGGUUGAAAAAUAGCCUAGUUGUCUCUUUUGCGAGACAUGCAUGUGGUGUAGGCAUGAGGACAACAUAUUUAGAGAAUCUAUCGAUUUAUUAUCAUAAAAAUAUAUUUGAAUUCCCCCACAUUUGGAAAGCCACCAAUGAAGUCUAUUGAUAUGCUCUCCUAAGGUCUCUCUAGGAUAGGGAAAUGUUGCAACAUUAACCCCACUACUUUCUUCUUCUAUGUUUUGCCUAAGCGACAUGCUAAAUAAGAACGGGCAUAUGCUUGGACAUCCUCUCACAUUUCCGACAAGUAAUAUGACUUGGACAAUAGUGUUGGUGUCCUUUCUUUAAUAAGGUGACCUGUCCACUUGGCCUCAUGGGUCUUUCUUAACAGCUUCUUGCCUAAGCACUUCAUAGUACAUAUAGUUUGCCUCAUUUAGCCACUAGGAGGUCAUCUUCUAGUUAAUAUUUUCUUGUUGCCCCAUCUCUGACUUGUUAUUUCAUUUUCUCAUAAGUAGAAUCAAGCUUAGUAGCCUACUUGAUGCUUUCAUUAAAAUCUAACAUCACAUGUGAUAGAGUAGUUACAUACUCUGUCACCAUCUUCUGGCUCAAGGCGUCUACAACUACAUUAUGUCUUCUUGGUUGAUGCAACCAAUCAAACUUGAAGUUGGCCAGGAAUUCUUGCCAUCUAGCUUGCUUGAGGCUCAACUUUUUCUAAGUCUUGAAGAAGGUAUUAGUCGCACUGUUUGUGACUAUAGUAAAUAUACUCCCAAAUAGAUAAUGUUUCCACUGCUGCAAGCAAUGGAUAAUUACUAUCAUCUCUUUCGCAUGAGUGAAGUAUCUUUGUUUUGCCUCAUUGAACUUCUGACUCUCAAAGGUUAUUGGGUGUCUUUCUUACACUAGGACCUUUCCUAAGUAAUUGGCUGAUACAUCUAUCCGAACCUUAAAAAACAAAUCCAAAUUCAGUAGAUGUAGCAUCGACUCAGUUGAAAUAACCAACUUUCAACUUUUCAAAAUCUUUAUGGCAUACCAAGCUCCAAUCCUAGAGGAUAUCUUUCUUUAGAAGGUUAGUUAGGGGAGCUACUAUCUUGGAAUAACCUUUUAUGUUCAAUAGUAGUUUGCCAGUUCUAAGAAGGAUUUUAAUUUUGUCAUCUUACUUAGAGCAUGCCAAUCUCUGAUGACUUGGACCUUUGCUUUAUCCAUCUUAAUCAAACCUUCACUUAUCUUGUACCUUAGGAAGGUAAUAUGUUUUUGUGCAAACUCGCAUUUCUCCUUUUUCACAUAGAGUUUGUGUUCUCUUAAUCUUUAGAAUAGUAGUUUCAGGUGAUGCAUUUGGUUUUUUUAUUCUCUCUAAGUGCAAGUUCCCACAUAAGUUUUCGCGUCUAUGUGAUGCUUAGAAGCUCUCUAAGCUAGUUUACACCUUUCCCUAUGAGAUGGUAACAACACACAAGGCACACAUGAGGUUUAUAGGGCACCAAUCUUAACUUGUAUUUUAUUAGCUUACUAAAUAAGAAUACAAGACUUUAGCAGCUUCCCUCAUGAUCUCCAUCUCUAGAUCUUUAUUAGGAGGCUCUUUGUCCUCAUUUUUUAUAGAGUGGCGCCACACACUCCUUGUUAAACUAGGAUUACACAUCCUAGUUCUAUUGAGACUCUUAUUGAUAGGUUGUGACAUCAACCAAUCCUAUUACGACUCAAAGUCCUAGUCCUACUUAUACUACAAUUACAAUAGGCAUUAACACUCCUACUCAUGCUUGACUUGCAAUCCCACUUCAAGUCCAACUCGUUGUAUUGCUACCGCAUGCAUCUAUAUAUAUGGCUCAUGUGUAUGUCAAACCCUCUUUUGGCCUGCACAUUCAAAUUGCAUUCAUGUCGUGACAACAUGCUUUUGCAUCCAUAUUAUUGUUGUUGCGACUUUAUGCCUUGCCCAAGCUUUUUUCUUGAUGCAGCAACAUGUCAUGACAUUGUAUCCAUGAUUCCUCACGCACAAGGCAUUGUGCCUUUGUGUAUUGCAUUUAAGUCGACAUGCUCCACAUUGAUGCCUCAUCCGAGUCUCUCUUGGUGCUCCACUUGGCAUGAUAUUUCACUUAUGGCUCACCAAAUUGUCUCAUUGCAAAAGGCAUUGUGCCCUUAUUAUAUAUGCCACCUUGUUGAUGUCAUAGGUUACUCAUGAGGCUAAGGUGCUAUCCCAUGAGACAUUAGUGCCACAUGGUCUAUGUCAAGGGGUUAACACUUUCUAAACAAGACAUUUAUCCUUAUACUCAAAUUAUCGUAAUUAUUUUUAUUGAGUUUGAGGAGUUCAAAUGAAUACCUCCUAUUUUUCAUUUUUUUUUUGUAAUAAUACAGAAGAAUUUAAAAUUUAUUGUUUUUCAUUUUCUUAUUAAUAGAUUAUAUAAUUUUUUAUUUUUAAAUACUCAUAUUUAAUAAAAUAUAAACUCAUAAUAAUAAAAAUAUAGGAAUUCCCAACAAUUAAAUAUAAUAACUUUUUACAAGUCAAUUACUUAUAUAUAAAAACUAAAUCCAACCGUUUAAAAUAAAGUACUUUCUUUUAACUUUUAGAAGUUAAAUCUAAUUCUAGUUUUCAAAAAUUCUCAAUCAAGUUUACUUUCCAAUAAUUACUUAAAUUAAAUGCCACAUAAAAACCAGAUAAAAGACUUUCACAAAUCUAAACCCGGAGAAAUGUCAAAAGAGAGGUAGAAAACUAUCCCAAGCACCCCAAGCAAGAAAAAUACGGGCUAUUUUAUUUUCUCACCAUGUUGAAAAAUUUUAAAAUUCCAACAGGCAUCAAAGAAUUGCCGUCCACUUAGCUAUAAUAUACAUAGAUGAAGACAAGAAAGCCACUUGCGCUUUUCGGAAUAUAUCGAUUAUUUCCUUGCAAAUACUGCAUAAAUUCAUGGUCUAUUCUGCAAAUCAUUUUUUCAAAUUAAAAUUGAGCUCGUCAUUCGAGUGGGAAACGCAUGAGCCGAAAUACGGGGUCCACACUAAUAUUUGGUAUUAAAACGCAUAACAAAAAUGUAUUUAUGUGUCGUGGAAAACAUCCUCCGACAAACAGUUGACAGACGUCAAUCUUGAAACCCUAUUGUAUAUAAAUAUUUUACUUUUUGUUCUGUCAUUAAUUGUAGUGAUGAGACAAUGUAGUUGGAUAAGUUGAAAGGAGUUAUUUUCAAUACUGAUUUAUGACUAAUUCACCUAUUUAUGAAUUAGGGUUCUAUUGUAGAAUUGAUAUUGAUAAAGAAAUGUUUUCCGUUAAUUUUUUCUUCUCAAAAACAUUAGACUGUUUUUACCCUCAGUUCUUUCCCGGCCAUUAAUUCAAAUAAUUUCACAAGAAACGGCGUCAAAGAAUUGCCGUCCACCUAGCUGUAAUAUACAUUGAUGAAGACAAGAAAGCCACUAGCGCUUUUUGGGAUAUACCGAUUAUUUCCUUACAAAUACAGCAUAAAUUCAUGUUCUAUCCUGUAACAAUAGUCCACCAAUAGUCAGAUGGAUCAAGGGCCAGUGUCUCCUCAUGUCCUCAUCUUCCCCUUCCCGGCUCAAGGCCACGUCAACUCCAUGCUCAAACUCGCCGAACUUCUCUCCGUCGCCGGCCUCCACGUCACCUUCCUCAACUCCGAAUAUAACCAACACCGCCUCCUCCUUCACACCGAUAUUCAGACCAGGUUCAGCGGCUAUCCCGGCUUCCGUUUCCAAACAAUAUCUGAUGGGCUUACCACGGACCAUCCACGUACCGGUGAGCGGGUGAUGGAUCUGUUUGAGGGAUUGAAAGCCACAGCAAAACCAAUUUUUAGGGAGCUAGUGAUUUCAAGGGGCCAGGGUUCUGAUACCCUCCCGCCGGUCAACUGCAUCAUAGCAGAUGGGAUUAUGAGUUUUACCAUUGAUAUUGCUAAUGAAGUUGGAAUUCCCAUCAUUUCUUUCCGCACCAUUAGUGCUUGUUCCUUCUGGGCAUAUUUUUCUGCGCUCAAACUCAUUGAAUCUGGCGAACUUCCCCUCAAAGGUAUGCUUUCUAGAUUGAAUUCCACGAAAUCAUCUGUUCAUUAUAAUUCGUUUAUAUUUUUGUUUUCUUCUUUUACAAUAUAGUUAGAUCAUGAAUAAACUACAGGUAACGAUAUGGAUCAGCUAGUAACCAGUAUUCCCGGCAUGGAGGGGUUUCUCCGAAAACGAGAUCUCCCGAGUCUUAUCCGAGUCAGCAACCUAGAUGACGAGGGUCUCCUACUUGUAAUGAAGGAGACGCAACAAACUCCUCGAGCCCACGCGCUCAUACUUAAUACGUUUGAAGACUUAGAAGGACCUAUUCUCGGUCAAAUACGCAAUCACUGUCCAAAAAUCUACACCAUUGGACCUCUCCACGCGCACCUGAAAACCAGGCUUGCUUCUGAAUCGACGACGUCACAGUCUUCAAACAGUUUCCGGCAAGAAGACAGAAGCUGCAUAGCGUGGCUUGAUCACCAGCCUUCAAAGUCUGUUAUCUACGUAAGCUUCGGAAGCCUGACAGUCAUCUCAAGGAAGCAGCUCAUAGAGUUCUGUCACGGUUUGGUAAACAGCGGUAGCCGCUUCUUGUGGGUCAUACGGACGGACUCUCUUGCCGAAGAAGAUGGAGAGCAUCAGACUCCGGCGGAGCUCAUGGAAGGGGCAAAGGAGAGGAGUUACAUCGUGGAGUGGGCUCCACAAGAAGAGGUUCUAGCGCACCCGGCAGUAGGUGGGUUCCUCACCCACAGUGGGUGGAACUCGACUCUUGAGAGUAUAUGCGCCGGCGUGCCAAUGAUUUGCUGGCCAUACUUUGCAGACCAACAGAUCAACAGUAGGUUCGUAAGCCAUGUUUGGAAACUUGGUUCGGACAUGAAAGAUACUUGCGAUAGACUUAUUGUUGAGAAAAUGGUGAGAGAUCUGAUGGAAGAGAGGAAGGAUGAGCUUUUGAAAACGGCUGACAAGAUGGCUACAAGGGCUAGAAAAUGUGUUAGUGAAGGUGGGUCCUCUUACUGUAACUUGAGUAGCUUGGUCGACGAGAUAAGAUUGAUGGGCAGGCUGAGUUGAAAGUAUAUUUGGGUUUUCCAUGGAAAGCGAAGGCAAAAUAAUUUAAUUGGAAGCAUUCGGCAAAUGAUUGGGCGAAGGGAGAAAGGAAUCUUGGGGUCCCAAGCCCGAGAAGUGGAUGCCUUCAGCUUUUCUCUAUUUCUUGUUUCUUUAAAUUAAAUGUUCGUCCGAAUUCAGUUAGAUCCAAGCUCAAUAACAUCCACAAAACAACAACACAUGGACUCGUUCUUACAGGAACAAUUCUUGAGCUUUGACCCAAACUAAGUUCUUAGUGGAUGCUGCCAAGGCAGUAGCGAUGCCAUAGUCAAAAAACAAGAGACCCAUUGUAUUAAGAGUGUAGUUCAGUACGUGACUCAAAAUUAUCUCCAGGGAAUUAGGUGAUAGCAACUUAAUUUCUGCGCAGACCAAAGACAAUGUAUAACACAUUAGACAAUGUUAUAUAUGUAUGGGAUUUUCUCAUUUUUACUGCUCCAUCUUUUACACUGCUUAGAAAUUUCAUUACUUUUCUUCUAUUUUUAGGUCACAGCAGAUAGCUCCUAGAAAAUGCAUAUGGAUCAUCAUGAGAGUGAGUUUUUACUCGAUAAUUGACCAUGCAUUUGGCCUUAGUCCUUGGCCUCAGCAAAUGGUUCUGCACUCAAACAUCACCAUCACCAUCACAAGCAGCCGCCAUGUCUUGUUUUACCAUCUGUUUCACUAUCAAAAGGAAAAAAAUAUUAACAAAUUAAUUAUUGAAAAUAUAAUCAAAAGACGGACCUUCCAUCCUUUGACGUCUAGAAGGAAUAUUUAAUAAAUUUCCAUGAAAACAUACAGUAAGUGUGUUGACUAGAUGACUGUAAUAAGCAAUAAAUAUAAAUAUAAAUAAAAAAUAAAAAACUUCAAAAGCAACCGGAUCUGCCCUAUUGCAUUGCAUUACCUACUCAACACGAAAUCUUGACAACAAUUUAGAGGGAAGUCU
rnacentral:lncRNA from 1 species